rnacentral:lncRNA from 1 species
AGGGGAAGGAAGAAGGAGGAAGGAAGAAGGAGAAGGAGGAAGAAAAAAAAAAGUUGCAGAAGAAGGAAGAAGAAGGAAGAAGAAGGAAGAAGAAGAAAAAAGAAAAAAGAAAAAAAAACGUGGAUGACAUGUAGCACCCAAUCAUGGCACCACGUCACAAUUAACGACAGAUUUAACAGUUUGACUAACGAAUGUAUGAGACUGUCCCAAAAUUUACACUUUAGGUAUGAAUCUGAGACGAAAAAAACUUGAUGUACUAAAUGUUGAAAACCACAAAACAUGAUGGUAGUAAACAGUCUUUUAUCCUUUCAUUAUUUAUCAGAAUCUAAAUAUUUUUAGGUUAAAAUGUUCACAUAAAUAAAUUAGGAUAACUUUUUGACCGUUCAAUAGAAAAAGAGUCAUUGGGCUCGUUUUGGGUGGCCGACAACGAUGUCAGCGUGAGCCCCACCCGCUGUUAGUGUUUCUGCACGUUGUGCACGUCUGUCCUAUGAGCUCUCCAAUUUUGUGGUCGCGUCCACGUGCGUUUCAACCUAGGCCAAAAUCUUGGCUGGCCGGUAUUUGCUCCAAAAACUAUUUCACUCAAAACUUAUUUUAGGUCCAAUUGUUUUACAAGGUUUGGGGAGAGGUUUAUCUUUAACUGAACUAUUGGAGUUGGUCUGACGAGUUUAUGUUUAACUGAAGCAUUACAAUAAUUUGGUAGAAUUUAAACUACGUGAGUACCAAGUAACAUACUUAUGAUAAAUCAUCUAUUUAUUCCAUAUAUUUGGAUGACUAAACGAUUUCGGAUUUAAAUGAUUUUUUAUAGACAUGAUCUUCAAAUGAAAAUAAAAAAAUUGAACGGUUUUGAUUAUAUAAUUUAUAGGGUAAAUUACACAAAAUUACCUCAACUAUGGGUCGAACGACACUAUCAUACCACAUCUUUUAAAAAUGACUAUGUCAUAGCUCAUCUUACAAAUUUGUUCUAAUGUCAGACCUCUGUCAGUUUUUCUGUUAAUUUCUCUGUUAAAUACUGAUGUGACUAGAGGUGGGGCCCACUCACUAAUCCAACUGGAUUAAAAAUAAUUAAAUAUUAAAAAAUUAAAAAUUAAAUUAUUUUUUUAUAUAAAAUUGUGGAAUCCACCUCUACAAACCCUUCCCCACCCGUCCCCCAAACCUUCCUCCACCAUCCUCUCUUUCUGGGCAACCUGCAAUCUAUCUCCCCCAACCUUCCUUCACCACCAAAACCAGAACCCACUUCCCCACCGCCACCCUCACCUGCUAAUCACCCUCUUCGAUGCUAAGAAGGCCGACGAUGGCUUCACCCGCAGCUCCUUGAGCUGGUCCCUGUUCAUGUGCAAUACCCUACCCAUCUGCAUCCUUCAGAACCAAGCUGAUCCUUGUUCAUAUGCAGCAUCGUCCGCCUCGGCGGAGUUGUUGGUGGCGCACAACCCAUUGGACCCGGUUACCGGACAGAGCGAUGCUUUGGUGGGUCCUUGGUGGAUGACUGAGGAGGCACCGAGGAUGACACAUUUGUCUAAGGUAGAGCUGAAAUCGGCCCUCGACCUAAGCAGAAUUUUGUAGUCGAUGCCAAGCUCGCCGUUAGGAAGCUCGAUCCGGCGAGUGGUGGGUGACACCAAAUUGGUCGAGACUUCGCCGAUCUUGUUGAAAAUGAAGGAGGAGGGAGUCGGGAAGGCGAUCGUAGUGGUCGUUGUCGAUGGAGGAGUAGGAUUCCGAGAAGAUUGAAGGUUGCAGGUUGUACGGGAAGAUUGAAGGUUGCAGGUUGUAGAGAGGGAUUUUAGAGAGGGGAUGAGAGGAGAAAUUAUGGUAGGAGGAGAAAUAUCCACAUGGGUUAGGCUUGUAGGGAUUUUAGAGAGAGAGUGGGGGAUGGGGGAAGAAAUUGCAGAUUACAGGUUGCCCAGAGAGAGAGGAGAAAGAGAGAGAGAGGAGAGAAAGCGUAGUGGAGGAAGGUUGGAUGGAUGGGUGGGGAAGGGUUUGUAAAGGUGGAUCUCACAAUUUUAUAUGAAAAAUAAUUUUAAUUUUUUAAUAUUUAAUUAUUUUUUAAUCCAGUUGGAUUAGUGAGUGGGCCCCGCCUCUAGCCACGUUAACAUUUAAAAGAUAAAUUAAUAGAAAAACUGACGGAGGUCCGACAUUAGAACAAAUUCGUGAGAUGAGGUAUGAUAUUGUCAUUUUUUAAAUUGAGGUAUGAUAGUGUCAUUCGACCUAUAAUUGAGAUAGUUUUGUGUAAUUUAUAGUGUUAUUCGCCUACCAAUUUUUACUUUUCACACACCCUUCUUAAUAUUUGACCAUUGAAUCGAAUUAAUUGAAAAGAUCAAUAGUAAAAAUUUAACAAAAAUGUAUGAGAGAUAAAAAUGAAUUGGUCAAUAACAUUAUCCAUCGAAAGUUUUGGAGGCUAAAUUAUACCCGAUUACCCGUGCACUUGAACCCGGCCUACUACCAGACUUGAAAGUUGAACCCCUCUCUCCGAGUCCGAGCGUGGUGGUAGAGUGAAUACUGACUUGCGCAGGUGCAAGCACUUCCCUCUUCGUUUACGUGAGCUUGAUUUCUCGUCAUUCUGCUUGGACUCACGACCUGUUUGGUUCCUGGGAAAAUUGAGUAAAACAGAAAGAAAAAGCUCAAGUCUUGCAAUUUCUCAUAAUUGAGUGGAGAUGUUUUAGUUGCUGCUGCUGAGUUCCCAAAACAAAUGGGUAAUCACCAAUUUCCUUCCUCUUUUUUCACUUUUCUUUUUUCAGCUUAUUUUUCUUCUUGCAUCCUACAAGAUUAGUUAGCAAAGAGAACAUUUCACUUUGAAAUUUUUGAAAUUUGUAUAAUUUUUUUUUACAAUUUUUCGUAUUUAUUCUUAAUUUUGAAGCUUUUAUUAUUGAUUUUUUGGUAUCAGGUAAUUCAGUGAAAUGAGCUUUUGUGUUGUGUAAGCUUUGUCUGAUUCUAUGGAGAUAGAUCUUGAACUGCCCUCAUGUUAGCAGGACAAGUUAGACAUUAGGGCAGAUAAGGAUGUUAACAUUGUAGAUGUCACUGAUGAGAUAAAUGUUGAGGAGGAGCGUGUUAGUUACCCGAUAAUGAGUGAUCGUGUUAAGGAAGUUGAUGGAUUGAAUGCAGAACAAGGUAUUGGGUCGGAUAAAGAUGUUGACAUUGUAGAUAUUUCCUAUGACGUAAAUGUUGAGGAGGAGCAUGUUGGUUCUCCACCAACAAGCUAUCAUGUUAAGGAAGUUGAUGGGUUGAAUGCAGAACAAAGUGUAGGGUUGGAUAAAGAUGUUGACAUUUUAGAUGUUGCGGAUGAGAUAAAUGUUGUGGAGGAGAGUGUUAGUGCUCUGACAACGAGUGAACAUGUUAGGGGAGCUGAUGGGUUGAGUGCAGAAGAAAGUGUUAGGUCAGGUAAACAUGUUAAUGGUGUAGAUGUCCCAUAUGAGAUAAAUGUUGAGGCGAAUGUUAGUUCUCCGACAACGAAUGAUCAUGUUAAGGAAGUUUAUGGGUUGAAUGCAGAACAACGUGUUGGGUCAGAUAGAGAUGUUGACAUUGUAGAUGUCAAUGAUGAGAUAAAUGUUGAUGAGGAGCAUGUUAGUUCUCUGACGAGUGACUGUGUUAAGGAAGAGGAUGGAUUCAAUGCAGACCAAAGUUUUGGGUCAGAUAAAGAUGUUGACAUUGUAGAUAUCACAGAUGAGGUAAAUGUUGAGGAGGAGCAUGUUACUUCUCCGAUAACAAGUGAUCAUGUUAUGGAAGUUGAUGGGUUGAAUGCAGAACAAAGUGUUUUUAGUUUGAAUGAUCAAAAUGAUCUGAACAAUGUCGGGGUAGAUUCCCUUGAUAAGGGGAAGGGGGUAGUUGAGGAGCCCGAAAAUGGUUUGGAGUUUGAGUCUAAGGAAGAAGCUUACUCUUACUACAGGGAGUAUGCCCGGUCUGUGGGAUUUGGCAUCACAAUUAAAGCCAGUCGGCGCUCAAAAAAAUCUGGAAAGUUCAUUGACAUAAAAAUUGCAUGCUCUAGAUUUGGAAGCAAGCGUGAGUUGGGAACAACUGUCAAUCCAAGAACAUGCAUCACAAAGACGGACUGCAAAGCUAGCUUGCAUAUAAAGAGGAAAGAGAGUGAAAAAUGGGUAGUACAUAGUUUUGUAAAGGAGCACAACCAUGAGAUUUGCCCAGAUGAUUUCAUUUAUGCUAUCAGCGGAAGGAACAAGAAACCUGCUAUCGUUGUUCCUCAGAAGACGGGUCUGCAGUUGGCUUUAGAUGAGGAAGAUGUAAGAGUAAUGUUUGAACAUUUUAUGUCUAUGCAGGAUGAGGAUCCCAACUUCUUCUAUGCAAUAGAUUUUGACCAUGAGAAACGAUUGAGUAGUGUGUUUUGGGUUGAUUCAAAAUGUAAGCGUGAUUAUAGCAGUUUCUGCGACGCAGUCUUCUUUGACACUUACUAUGUUAGAAACAAUUAUAAAAUUCCUUUUGUUCCUAUUGUUGGAGUUAAUCAUCACUUUCAGUACAUUUUGCUUGGAUGUGCAUUGAUUGGAGAAGAGACUACAUCGGCUUUCGUUUGGUUAAUGCGGACGUGGCUUAAAGCAGUGGGUGGCCAAGCUCCAGUAGUGGUUAUCACCGAUCAAGACAAAUUCCUGAAAGAAGCUGUAGAAGAUGUGUUUACUGAUGCACGCCAUUGUUUUUGCUUAUGGCAUGUAUUGACCAGGAUUCCUGGAAAUUUGGGUUCCAUAAAUGAGAAAGAAACAUUUAUCGAAAAAUUCAGCAAAUGCAUUUACCGGUCUUGGACAGUUGAGCAAUUUGAAAAGGAAUGGUCGAAACUGGUUGAUAGAUUUGAACUAAGAGAAAAUGAGUGGGUUCAUUCAUUGUAUGAAGAUCGUAAAAAGUGGGCCCCAACUUAUAUGCAGGAUUCGUUUUUAGCUGGAAUGUCAACAAGGGAGCGAUCUGGAAGUAUAACUUCAUUCUUUGAUAGGUACAUUUCUCAAGAAGCUACAUUUAAGGAUUUUAUUGAGCAGUACAAAGCAUUUUGUAAAGAUAGUUAUGACAUGGAAGCUGGCGCUUCUCUCAAAACACAGGAUAAACAACCUGGAUUAAGAUCCUUCUCGCCUUUUGAGAAACAAAUGUCAACUAUCUAUACUGAUGCUGUAUUUAAAAAAUUUGAGGACGAGGUUUUUGGACUAGCUUCUUGUCAUUUGAAGAAAGAAGGUGAAAAUGAAGCAUCUGUAAUCUUCCGGGUCACAGAUUUGGAAGAACGCCAGAAUUUCAUCGUGUCUUGGAAUGAAGCAGACCAAAAAGUAUGUUGUUUAUGUCAUUCAUUUGAAUGCAGAGGUUUUCUCUGUAGGCAUGCAAUUCUGGUCCUCCAGGUGUCUGGUGUUUACACAAUCCCAUCCCAUUAUAUUUUGAAGCGUUGGACUAAAGAUGCAAAAGUUAGGCAUACUGUUAGCGAUGGAUCGAAGAGGCUUAACUGCAGGGUGCAGCAUUUCAAUGAUCUAUGUAAAUUAGCUGUUAAGUUGGGUGAAGAGGGGUCUUUAUCUCCGGACGCUUACCACAUUGCACUUCAGGCAUUAGAAACAGUUAUGAAACAUUGUGUCGAUGUGAAUAAUUCUGUAAGAAGUGUUUUGGAACCCGUGUCAGCUAAUCAUGGUUUUAUUGACGUUGAACUAGUGGAUCCCAGCUGCAGUGUAGCCAAGUUGUCGAAGAAAAAGAAAACAUACAAAAAAAGAAAGGUUAGUUAAGGCUUGAUCUUUGGCAUGUAGAUCUUGCUACAACUUGUUUUGGGUCAUCCUAAUUGAUGUGUGCCUAAAGUCGAUUUUACAUGUACUGUAGGUGCAAACUGAACUGGAUGGCACUGCUAUCAGGUUGCAAGACAGCUGCCAGCAGAUGGUUUGUCUCACGAUCUUUUUUGUUCCAAAAUUCUCUCGCUCAUCGAUUCUUUGUUUUCAACUUUAAUAUAUUAUGAUUCACCUCACUAUGGUUUUUAAAUGUAGGAACUGAUGAAGUCCAGAGCACAUAAGCUUGAUAAUUGUUACGUCCCUCAGCAAGAAUCUGAACGGGUAAUAUGAAACAGCUAUGUUAUCCCAGAAUAAUGCAAUAAGAGUUUGUUGGUAUGUAACCAUACAGUAUUUUCAUCCAGUGGUUAAGUUAUAUCCAGGGUUGUUUUAUACUUAUAUCAGGGACAGUUGAACUCAAUUUCUCCUAUCCAUGAGGGUUGUUACGACAACCAACGGGUCACCCAGGUACGACCCAAACCUUUAUUUAUUCUGACCUUGAUUUUUCAUAUUGAUUCAGGAAUCAGAAUGCAAACAUUUUCUUUCGAUUUCAUUCAGGGACAGGUUCAUUCGUUACCAACACAUACUCGUCACUUAGGGACCCAACAGAGCCUGCAAGGAAUGGUACUGGAUUUUUCGUACAUGGCAUUCUAUCAAGCAGUACGAUUCAUCAAAUCCAAAUACUAAAAUUGCAGUGUGUUGUUUUUGGCUUUUUUUAGUUGCAGCUACAACCUAGUCCCAGAGCACCGAUUGUGCAUGGCUGUUAUGAGAUUCGGGGCAAUCCCGAAGAUAUGGUGGGCAUUUGAAUAGCCUAUUUGGACUUCUGUUUCCUAUUUGACAUUGGAUUUUCUUUGCACGAACUUAAUGCUCUUUGGCUGCAGGAACAGUCUGUAGGCUCCUCGCGCAAGCAUCGACGUGAUAAGCACCCACCAAAAUAGCUGAGAGACAAUGCCCAUCCAUUGAGAUGAAGAGACUAUCGUCCAGUUGUAAAUUCAGCCUCAUGCCUGUAAACGAGGAUUGAAAAUGAUGAACUCAUAUAUCCACGUUUUUUCGGUACGUAGUGAUAAACCAAAUCCCAUUCCAUCUCCGUUUGCUAAUGCACAAUCACAAUCCAAUUCCAACAUGGAAUCCUCAGACGACAUGCCUACUCCAGAACAAGUUUCAUCCUGACUUAACUUCUAUUUAGUCCACGUUCUGUUUAGAUUGUAAUCCUAGUUCUACGUGUGUUUGUAUACUACUCCUAUAAAUAUCAAUGAACAUCGCUCACUCUGAUUAAGAGUUGAGAUUCUGCAAAUCAUAUUUACCAUCUUUCACAUAGAUGUUUUCGUUUUGUUCUUUUACUGAACAGUUGUACAAAACGAUGUCGGAAGAAACAACAUAAGUUGAAUUUUAUGUCAUGCACUCUUCAACUGCGUUUCUCUUCUCAACGAGUUCUAUUUUAAGACUCGAUAGGUAUGAUGAAUCUUUUAUACGAGGCUACGCCAUCUCUUCAUGGUUAACCUUUUCAUUUCACCGCGUUGCAGUGGUCUAGACAAAGGGUGAUUGGCUAUCAGUCCUAUGGUUAGUCGCCCACGCGCUCAUGUGAAGUCUGACCGUUGAAGUAUGUGGAACCCACGAUGCAUCAAUGGCGAUCGAGGAUUGCUCAGCACACGGACGGCUGACCUUGGGAAGAGUAUACAUUCAUAUAAGUAAAAUAUGUCAUAUCAUUUCUCCUGCAAAUUUUGUUUGAAGUUAUGAUACAUUAUGCAACAAUCUUCCGCUUUCAUUGCUAACAAAAUUAUUGUGUAUGGCAAUAGAAGACGAAUGCUUUUCCGUCAAAAAUAUGCCGAGCUUGUAGCGCUGCACAAUCAUCAUCAGUGUUCCUUUCGUGUAUUGUUGUUCGGUAUGUCAGUUUAUAUCGGACCUCUUCUGUAACUUGCACCACAAUCCGUUCUUUGUGUGGAGUGUUGCCCCUGUAACUUGUUCCACUGAAUCUGGGGAUCCUUUUAGCUCGACGGUGAACUUCUGCAACAGCAUAGCCAGUGCCACAGUUGACUCCAUUAGAGCAAACUGGUCUCCGACGCAUUUUCUUGGCCCUCCACCGAAAGGUAAGAAGGCGAAAUCUGCUAUAAUCUGAUAGUUGCAAUCAUAAAAUCAUUACAUGAUAGAUAUCAUCAAUGAUGUAGGUGCAAAAGUGGCAGUGACUAGUAAUAAUAACCUCAUUCGGGUACAACGCUCCAGGGCUUCGAGAAGGGUCAAAACCAGCCCAUCCUUCAACGUGACUCUUCUUUUCGACUAAAAACCUCUCCGGUUCAAACUCAUUAGGAUUGUCCCAAAAGUAUGGAGAUCGAUGGAGAUUAUAUACCUGAAUGGACAAUGGUUUUGGAAGUUCAAAGCAAAUAGCUUAGUGUUACAGCUGAGGUCCGGGCUUAGUGUUACCUUAACAAACCUUUUUACAGAACUUCAUCAAGAAACAAGGAAACUUAACUUCUUAUACUCACAGAAAUGAAGAGAUCAGUCCCAGCGGGAACCGCAUAACCAUCUUUUGCACCGUUGUAUCCUCCUGCACGAUGGACAUAAGUCCGUCUUAACCUAGAUAUGACUUUGAUAAAAAGAACAAAAUGUUGUUGCCGUUCAGGGUCUUUUCUUCUGUCCUAAUACCUGGUAGCUUAUCUGGUUUGAGAGAACGUCUAAUAAGCAAGGGGGGUUGGGGAAACAAACGAAGAGACUCUACCGCGAUAAGUCUGGUGUACCUAAAAGAAGAAAAACCAUAUACUGAAUCAAUCAUUCGGGUGAAAAAGAGCCAAGUUCAAGUAAUCAUCGUAAUGUCUUAGGAGGAACGGACUCCAAUUUUUUUAUUGAUUCGUAAGUUGGUCCGUCCUGUCCAAGCACUGAAUCAAUCUCUUCUUGCGCUUUCUUCAUCUUGGACGGGUUCUGCAAGAAAGCAAAUUAAUUGCGCCUGUAUCAUCAUCACCGGUUCUGCAUAACUUUAUUCUGAAACCUAACAUGGCUGCAACAUUCAAAUUAGAAACGAAUACUUGUGCAAGGAAGAAAACAGCCCACGUAAGCACAGCAGCCGUCGUUUCAUGGCCAGCAAUAAGCAUUGUCAUCAAAUCAUCCCUCAACUGUUGAAAUCCACAGGUACCGUUUAUUAGAAUUAUACGCAAAUACUCUAAACGUUGUUGAAUUAUACGCAAAGUAAAUUAUUUUGGUCAGAUUUGCUGUACCUAAAAGCAUUGAAGUUUUUCAAGUAUUUACCUGACGAUCAUCAACAUCUGUUCCACGCAUAUCAACUAAGAAACGCAAUAGGCUUGCAUCCUGCAAACUUUAUAGUUACAAUGCCAGAAUUUUAACGCUUCCGCAAAGCUCCUAAUUGCAAUCAUUUAUCUUUAGAGUUCACAAGCAAAUGUGGAUUGAAUUAUUUUUUGAGUUGGAGUUUUCCCCACCUUCAGAUUUAAGUAAUCCCUUUGUUGCAGUUUUUCAACAUCUGUUUCCUGUCACAGAAUAUAAUCAAAAUACGGUUCUUAAUACUCGAAUUUUUUGUUUAACAUCUGUUUCCAAUAAUGCUACAAACAUCAAUAAUUUCAUUCAGCUCAAGUUUCAUCUAACCUCUCUGGUCUCUUUCGCAUUUCUGAUGAGUACAUCAAGACAGUCAUUUAUAACCUUCAGAUCACCGUAGAACUUCCGUUGCCUGGGCACUAUCCACUUUGCCAGUGGAAAUUUCCAAUAUGGGAUAUAAAAGGUGGACCGAUGUUCAGCUUCAAAAAGAGUGCCAUACACUGCCUGUAAUAUAUUUGCACAAAAAUCUGAACAUGAAUUCUCAGCAGCAAGUACAUUAACAUGAAUUCUAAAUCAAUAUCAAUAAUAGUUGAAGGGGAACAAGGUCAUAUCGUAUACUAAAAAAAAGUAACGGUUCGCAAUGAUUAGUGAAUUGUAAGAUUAUGUUCACUCCAGAAAUUAUAAGAAAACCCAAUGUAUGUUAAACAGAAUACAAAAAAUGCAUGUACAACUGAUAUGAAAACCCAAUGUUCUUCUGAAAAAGGAGAUCAAGAUGAGAUGCAUCAAAUGCCCGAUACAACAUUACGGAAUCUUUAGAAUGUGAGCUCAUUUUGCCAAACCUUAAUUACAGGAGAUUCUUUGGUAACAGAACCAAAGUCGUAGUUGAAGACACCAAGCCCGAUAAUAUCAAGAGCCAAACUCGAAAACUCUGCUUCAAGAUCCAACUCUAUUGCCUUGCCACCACGCAAGCUCUCUCUUUCAAGUAGCUUCUCAAAUUUUACUAUUGUUCUUUCUGAACAAUUUCUGAAUGUCUUGACCAUAGCUUCCAAGUAUAAAGAAUGGAACGCCGGAGCAAUAACUGCAAAAACAGAUUAUGGCUGGUAAAUCCCUAUACUAUGGAUCACUAUCAGUUACAAACUUACAAUAUGGACCCCAUAUUCUUUUCCCCAACCUGAGGUGAAAACUCUUAAUAUUAACUGUUACUGCUCACCUCUUCUCCUCUGCUUCCAAGUGUCAAGGUCAGCGGGUAUAAGUCCCUUGCCCAUAAUUGGUUCUAGAAUAUCAGCCAGAACUCCCUAUGUGCAAGUGUGCAAGCAAUUGGAAAGAACAGAUUAGAAUAAGUAAAAAUUAUUUGACUCAAAACAGCUUAUAAAUGAAAUAUAUACAUUUGCACAUCUUAUAUAAACGACUGAGAUGACAAAAAGGGAAUUCGAAAAUAACUCAAGAUUAUAUACCGAACGGCAAAAAGGUUAACCAUGUUAGCAAAUUACGCGGGAAUGAUGAGUUUACUUGUAAAGGAACAUGAUACACUAACAAUGAUGGCAUUACAAACAUGGAAAAUGAAGAGAGAACCAACAAUUCAAAUUCUUGCAAUACAAGGGGAGUCCAGAAUCCAGAGCACAUUAGGUAGUACCUUAUCAUAACUAAAUGCAUUUUCUCGAAGAAUAUGCCUCGCAACAAUUGGAUCUGAUACAACAACAAAAGCUUUUGGUCCAAAUGCAAGCUUGUACACAGAGCCAUGCUGCCAAGACAAACAAAAUUUGUAAAACGGAAAAACAUUCAAUGAAAAAUGGAACUCAGAAAGCCAAUGUAACAGAGUCCCCAGUCCCCGCAGCUGCGAAACUGUGAUUUCUAUCUGUAUAUACCAUCAAAUUUUAAAGGGAGUUUUAAUGAAACACUCUCGAUACUGUUCACUUUUAACGAAAAAUCACAUUUUUACCUUUCCUGAUACUAUUCACUACACCUUUAUUUGUCAUUUUUCAUUAAAAACUAAAGUUCUUUUUGAACUUUUCGUUAGUUUUCCUAAUUUUAAAUCUAAACAAGCAAAUGAACAAUUGAUGACAGGGUAAACAAUUCAAAUAAAGCAGAUGCAUACCUCUAUAAACCAAUCAUACAGUGAAAAGAAGAGAGGCCGAUCAAACAAAUCGGUGACUGCACCUUCAGCUGUGGGCAUGGACCCAAUUUUCCCACCACUUAAAAAAUUGGUAAGGAGGUUGCUUGCAUUGUCCAGUAAAUUUCUCUUCGUUUUUGGUUCCUCGGUACUGGUCGAUUGGCACCUACAUUUACCAAAUUCACAUCAUAUUAUCUAAUUUUAGAGUGAAUUGAAAGUUCAAAUCCACAUCAUAUCCUCUCUCAAGAAACUAAAGCAUUCAACUUUAAAAGAAACAUCAUCUUAUCUAAGAAACCCAGAAGCUAAAAAAUGUUUAUCUGAUAAAAUGAUUACAUGGGUAUCUUUUAAUUGCUGCUUUCUCCAUUCUCCACCAAGUUUUAGUCACCCAACUGACCAAAAGUGCAAAAAAUCAAAGGAAAAAAAAACUCAGUAAAACAGUAAAAGAAAGAGAGAUACCUGAGAGGACAGUGCCUGGGCUUGGAAUUGAGAAGAUGGGAGGUAGUUGAAGAGUGAAAGUAACCCAAUUCAUCUCUCCGGAAGUUGAGAUUAAUGAGAGUUGGAGGAGAAGGAUGCAACAGAGAAGAACCAGCCAUGGCCGUUAGGCAAAUAGUUAGGUAGCAGUUCUUCAGUUGGAGAAGUGGGAUUUAGCUGGGGAUAUUAGUACUUGGGAUAUUUUUGUACAUACACAACACUGAAAUGUAGGAAGCAUGACAUGAUUUGAGAAGCGGAGGUGUACGGAUUUAGUAAAAAAUGGAAGUUGUGGGUGCUUUGGGUGGUUGGUUUUUGUCACUCUCUCUUGCCUGCCCACUAAAAUCAGGGAAGGACUUUUAUCCAGAGCCUGACCAAACAAAGUGUACAAAAUUCAUGAGUCAACAAAUAAAUGGUUGUCUGCUUCUUGUCCACUUUCUCCAUGCUUAGGUGGAGAUAAGUUUUGAUAAAACUGCCUAAUUUCUUCGACUCUUAGAGAUCGAAUGAGAUCAAAAUAAAAGAAAAUUAUAUCUCAUAAUGACAAUUAGGACAUUGAGCACUCUGCACAUAUUCUUAAAUCUUUUGAGUAACAACUUAUAUAAUGUAUAGGCCUAAACAUAACUCAGAAGCCCAAGGGUUUUGGAGCCUUGGCCUAGGAGGCUUUUAAUUGCAAGCAUCAAUUUAUUCCACAAGGAGGUAUUUCUGAAAAAUUGUGCAUGGCUACGUCGGUGUUUGAUUAAUUUUUUACUAUUGAUACAUGUGAGUCCUACAAUAAGACUCAUACGCGCAACAAUUAUGAAUUAAUUAUAUAUUUACAAAAAAAUAACGAAAGUUUCAUAAGGGAAUCGAAGCAGGCUACCAUGAGACAAAAGAUCUUUCUAAAGAGAUUCUAUUCCGAAACUAUUAUAUGUCCAAGGUCCAAUCUUGAAAUAAUUUCAGAGGUUUUCCUUAACUUUGUCUUGUCAACAAACAAUUCGAAACGCCUCGACUUUUUUAGAACAGGUUUCAAGUCAAAUAGCAAUGAUUCGAAACACUUCUUUAUUUUAUACACUAUUUCGGAAACCCAAGGACUCAAUCGUAUGGAUAUGUAAAAUACAGGAUUUCCAAUCCUAACCAGUAAGGGGUUGAACAACCAUACAUGCAUCCUUUUGCAUUGCAUACGGCUUUAUAAUGGAAUUUGUUUUUACCUUACUUAAAUAUCAAAUAAAUUAAAGGAUAAAUUAUGUUUUCAUCCCUCAUUUCCCCUUCUCAUUAAUUGAAACCUUAUUCAUUUUUUAUCAAGGUCCUUGACUUUCUUAAUGUCAUUAUUUGAAUAUUAAGUUAUUUACAAGUCAUUAUAUGUCAAUUUAAAAAUGAAAAAUUAUUAAUCACCUUCAUAUGUACCCAUAUUUUUAAUUUAAUUUUUAUCAAUAUUUAUGAACAUACCCAUGCUAAUUUCGCAUAGUCUUGAAUUUUAAUAUGUACCCAUAUUUUUAAUUUAAUUUGUACCGAUAUUUAUGAACGAACCCAUGCUAAUUAUAUGUUGUUAUUUUAUGCUUUAAAAUAUAUCAAUAGUUAUUACUUGCACUAUAUUAAUAAUUACUUUAUUAUUGAUUUUUAAGUAAUUGUUAUAUUCGUAACAAUAUUAUUUGGAUUUGUUUAAAUUUCAUAAUUUGUGGGUACAAUUUUUUUUUUUUUAGCUAGAACUAUGAGAAGAACACAUUACUCCAUUAUUGAUUUUUAAGUAAUUAUUAUAUUUGUAACAAUAUUAUUUGGAUUUGUUUAAAUUUCAUAAUUUGUGGGAUAUUGAAUGCAUAAAUGCAUGAGUUAAAUCCCUUAAAUGAUGCUAAGAACCUUGAUCAAACUAUUCAAACAAAUAAGGUUUCAUUCUAACAACUAGGUUGAUUAUGGACAAGAACUAAAAUGACCCUAAAUUAAAUAUAGGGUAUAUCAGACUCGGGUUGGUGAAUGACCAAAUAAAUUAAAUAUACUUGUUGACCAUUGAUCAACUGAUCGGAUUAACCAACCAAAAUUAGCUUCAGUCAUUAUAUGUUGAACAGAAAGCAAAGGCUUUCGUAACGGUCGGUCGGACGAUAAUAAAAAGUCGUAGCAAACCCGAUAGCUACUUGUACUAAAAAACAAGUAAGCAUAAUUCCCCCUAGACAAAAAAAAAAUGAAAACUACAAAUAUUCAAUUUUUUACGAACGGGAUCGUGAAUUUUAUUAAUUCGACACAAGAAAGGGUUGGGUAAAAAUUCCAUUUCUUGUGUCAAGGAUUAGGAGACGAACAACCUUCCCUAAAAUCCUUUGUUCCUCUCAUUUUAUACUUUGGUUUCUAUUCUCCGCUUAUUUAUCUUUUGUUAGAUUUUGAUUAUAGUCAAAUAUAAAACUAUUGAUUCAUUCUAUAUCAUACUGUUUCAAUUUUGAUUGAAAAAAACAAAUAAAUAAAGAAGAGUUAAGUAAAACUGUCGCCUUCACAAUAUACUAUGACCAAAGAAUGCGGUACUAAGUAAUUCCUGAAAUCCGGUAUAAUAAAUAAUAUAAAUAAGCAAAAAAAAAAAAUUGUGUACACAAUUCCCAACAAAAAUUGUUUGUUUUUACUAAAUGGGGAUUAGUUGUGGGGUCCACACCACAUUGAACUUCGACGAUCCGAACCGUCUAUUUUUCAAGUUGGAUCUUACAGAUUAUCCUUGCAAAAUAUUAGCCAAAUUGGAAAUAUUUGAGACAUCUAAUUGAAUUCAAAGAAAUUGACAAACAUUUUGUUGUAUAAGAAACAAUGAAAGUUCAUCGUGAUAAUCAAGUAGGCAAAUAGUUUCAGAUUAAAUUGAAUCUUUGUAAGGAUGAUCUAUGAAUUGAGAGUUACAAAAUAGAUGGUUCGAAUCGUUGAAAUUCGAUGUGGGAUGGACACUACAACUAAUUCUCAUUUUUACCCAAAAAUAUGGAUACCUUUAGAUGAAGGGCAUAUAUAUAUAUAUAUAUAUAUAUAUACACAUGCACACGCACACGCACACGAGCAAGUGUGAAAACAUGGUAAAGAUUACUUAGUAAAUUACUGAAUUAUCUCAAGGAUCAUAACCUCCAAUAAGUCCUUAGGAGAGCAGGACUCUCAUAACCUAUGUUCACAUACACAUAGGAGAAGCCACUGAAUAAUGUUGCCGCAGAUUGAGCAAUUAGGAACAUCAAAUAGCCAUAUAAAUAUAUACACACACAUAUGUAUAUAUAGACAUUUGAAGAAGUGAGUAAUAGUCAAAGGAACGUGGGGAAAUAGGACGUCAUCUGUUUGAAAUUUCGUAUCACUAUAUAUAAUGGAUUUAUAUUCUUAAAUCUUAAUUAAUCAUAUAUCUCCCGCCUAACGUGUUCUUCUUUGACUUUCCUCUCUAUCUCUCAUUCUGGUGGUUGAGGGUCGAGACUACAUUUUUAUCUGCUUGUGAGGCACUGAGGCAGAUUGAUAAAGAAAGAUUUGGACUUUUGUUUAAAAGGAAUAUGAAGAAAUAAAAGAGAUUAUUUACCACUUUAUAUAUACUUUCGACGUGUCAUAGUAAUCGUGCGUGGAAGUGGUCAGUCUUCUUAAACCUCUCAUUUGAUACAAUUCUUAUGUUACAUUAAUAGGAGCCAAAACAUGAUUCAUGAAAUUCUCGAGGAUCGAACUGAUGCUUUGAUACCAACUGAUUCACCGUUUGUCGGUAAAAAUGAUAGAAAAUUUUCAAAUCUUCCUCAAUUUUGUUGAUUCUCUAAAGAAUUCUAGAACAAGGGCCUCGACGAUUUCCACCAUUAUACUAAAAAUAGAGAAAAGUCUCUCAAUUUCAUCCAACACAUGAUUGCUGGAUUUGAAUAGCAUGGUCGUUGGAAUACUGAGAAGAAGAAAACCUGACAUAAACUAAAGAACAUUCAAAGUAGAAAAGUCUACAGCCAUCCACAUAAGAGGGAAUUGGAAAACCAAUCAACAAUGAUUUUAAUUGACUUAUUUGUUUAUAUCUUUCUGGUUCAUAUUCUGAGUUUAAAAAUGCUUGUUUCAGGACAUGAGACACAAAGGCAAUGCAGAUAUAGCACUUUAUAGUUUGGUCUUAAUCUACCGGAAAAUUCAGAAUUUUAUAUCGCCUUUUAAAAUGGAAAAUCUAGGGCUAGCCAUGGCUGAAUCAGAUGGCUCCAACCAGCACAAAAAAAGUAAAAAGAAUUAUCAAAUGACAAGAGAAAGAGGAAAUUAAUACUGUUUUUCGUAAUGGUUGGAGUUACUGCUACUUCUGAAUUAUUUUCUAUCUUUGGUAGAUAAACUGAAUUACCUUUUCCAUUAAAGAGCUUAUUACAAUUAUUAUUAUUUUUUUUGUUGAAAAUAUUUGUGUGGCAAUAUAGCUCGUAAUAAAAAAAAUUCUUGACAACAAGGGUAACGAAUCAAACAUUAUUUAUGCUUUGUUAUUGAAGGAAUGUUUAUUAACCAUGAGCAAGAAUAAUGGGAUAUGAAUUGUUUGGGUAAGGAAUAAUAACAACCUACCAUGGUAAUCUCAAACCUUUUUACCUUUUUUUAAGGGGAAAACAACUAGUGGCGGACUACAGUAAUCCACUCUUUCAGGUUCAAAUAAGGUUAGUUGGGAAUUGCAGCUUACACAUAACCACGAUCAAGCAAAUUCACAGCUUACAAAGUAUCAAACGUUGUACAUCCCUUUUCUUUCUUUAUUUAGAGAGUUGUUGUUCGCAUUUUUCUACUAGGUCACUUGUUAUGGUAAUUUGGUAAUCUCAUACCUUAGCUUUUAAGGUAUAAAAAGGUAUGAGAUACCCAAAUGCAUCAUGUUUUUCACUCAUGAUUAUUAAUAAUUAAAAAUAAAUGGGAAUCACACUAAUUCCUUUCAAAUCUUUGAUUGUUAGUAACAAAAAUGAAAACAAUAAUACCCAUUCUUUAAAAUUUUAUUUCUUCUAAAUAAACAUGAUCUGAAUUUUUACUCCACCACUUUCAUUAAUUAGGUUUAUGAUGUGGAUUUAUCUCAACAACAUUAAUAAAAAGGAUUUGGGGUGUAGGUAAGAAAAAAGAAAAGUAGUAAUAAUCUUUUAAUCUCAAUAAAUAGUAAAUUAUACAAUGACCAAAUAGUUUCGUUGGUUUCUGCUCAACAGCUUGACUUUUAGGCAAAAAAAAAAAAAAAAAGGAGUCAAAUAAUAGGACAAAAAUUGUUUCUAGUGCUUUUUUUAUCCAGGAAAAUAUAUCUGAUUUUUUAGCACAAUAAAUCAAAAAAGUGCUUAUUAGGAAUUGUCAACUAGAAACUAUAAAGCAUUAGAAAAUCUAUCAUUUAGUAAUUUAAUUUAAUAGUAUUUAACUUCAUUUGUAAGUAUGUUUAAUUUUUAUCAAAAAUAAAUUUGAAUCACAAUAUUAUUGCUAGUCCCUAAUUAGAAAUUUAGCUUACUCUCUUAUCUAUUUAAUAUAAAUAAUAUCGUUUAUUAUAAAAAAAAAGCAUUGAAAAACUUCGUGUAUGAACGCUUUAAGGAUAUAAUUAUUAAAUUUGUAAAAGUAACUAUUUAUAAUUUUAUAUGAAAACGGGCGAGUUGGGGCAAAGAAUCAAAUAAAGACGAGGACUUGGAAGUUGGAAGGUGCUUGGUUGUUUCAUUGCGGCCCCAAAGACGUCUUCCGUGUGUCACGAGUGAAGUCACCAACAGCCUCCAGAGAUUUUUUAGUGUAACUCGUAUAUGAAGAGAUACAUUACGUGUUACUAUUUAAAUUGUAUGAUAUGUGUGUUAAAAAGUUAUAACUUGAAAAAUAAAAUUUCUUAUCAUUUAUAUAAAAACACGUAGUUUAUCACUCGUAUUCCGGUCAUAAUAAAAAAUUUCUCCUCCACCACCACCAUCACCGCCAUUCUCUUUCUGACGUGGACACCACCGUGAUGACGCAAUCAUUAUCAAGCUGGCGUCUGCCAAUAUGUUGCUUCCAGGAAACCAUAUAUGCUUUUGUACAAUACCUUCCAGAAACCCUGAAAAAGCUAAAGCUAUUUUUCAUUUGCCAAUAUUUUGAUUUUUCCUGCCCACAGCCACCACCCCCACGUGCCAUAUCACGUGACAUCACCUAUCUCUCCCAAAAUCAACGGUCAAGAUCAUCCCAUAAAAUCCUCCUAGACCCCCCAUUCCCACCUUCAUAAAUAUAGCGUACCUUCCAUCAUAUUUCUUCCCUCUAACCCCAGACUCAAAUUUGUGCUCUCUCUCUCUCUCUUUCUCUCUCUCUCGACAAUGAGUAGUACUGGAACCAUGUCCAGCAACCCUAAUGAUCACUGGCUCCAAUUCUACAACCAAAACCUGAAUUCUUCUACCCCUUCUUCACUGUGCCAUGACCAAGUCUCUGAUGCCACCGUCGUCACCACCACCACUACAACUUCAUCUUUACCAGGUCAUGCCGGUUCAGGCCACCCGAGCUCCAGCACCAACAACAGUUUGAGUCCGGAUCAAGGCCGCGUUUCGAAGCCGGCCCGGAAAAGGUCUAGAGCCUCAAGAAGAACUCCCACCACGCUGCUCAACACUGACACCACCAAUUUUCGUGCCAUGGUGCAGCAAUUCACUGGGGGUCCUAGUACGGUGUCGUUUCCCACUGGUGCUUCGAAUUUUACCUUUGGUCUCGGCCCCACUAGGCCACAGAGCUUCGUGGUGCCUCCCGGGGCGGCCGGGUGCCAUCCUCUACAGCCUCAGCAGCAACAACUCUUACAACAACAACAACAACAACAACAACAACAACAGCAACAAUACCAACAACGCCAUAACCAGCAAUACUUGUUUUCGCUGAGGAACAAUGACAACGUUAACGGUGAUCAUGGGUUUCUUGAGAGAUUGUCAUCAAGAGUGGGACCCACAAGCAUGGUGAUGGGACUGUCGUCCGAUCAUGAUCAACAUGAGUUUCUGAGGGAGGGUAUUGCAUCCCAAUUGCCUUCUUCGGCUAGGCCGCCCAGCUCUAAUAGUUCUGCCAAUGAGAACAGGAGUUACAUGUUUUGAGAAAAUUGUGAGGGACAUAAAGCAGAAAAGUUAGGUAGACUGACUUAUCUUAGGACAAAAUUCUUGACCAAUGUAUAUGCACAUGAAAAAGAAUAUUAUAUAUUUUCUCUUUUUCAACGGACUUGAAACUAAAUCUCUUCCUUUCUUAUGCAAUGUGGUUAAUUGUUCAAUUCUUAAUAUCCUUUUUCAUUUUGUAAUUUGACCGAGGAUGCUAUGUAUACUAUGUAUAUGCACAUGAAAAAGAAUACUACAUGAUGUUAACACUACAUAUAUAUGUAUACUAUGUAUAUAUCAGUCAUCAUGCUCUGAAAGUAAAAAUGGUUAUAUUAUUUUACUUAAAUUGUUGGUAUAUUCCUGUUUUUCAUUAAGUAUGAUUUUUCUCUUCUUUCUUUUUGGGUUGUGGCUUGCAGUUGUUUAAUCUUGUUAUUACAAAGUCGUGGGAUUGUAUGGGAGUGAACAAAAUUCUUUUUUUCCUCUCCUUAAAAAAAAAAUCUUGUAUUCUUCAUAAAAAUGGUCCUGUAAAUAGCAUAUCAGGAGUUAAAUAUAAUUAAGAGAGAGGAUUCGUUUAGCUACUCAAUUUAGAGGUAUUGACCGAUCUCUCCCCGAACUUGUAAGAAGCUGCUAAUUUCUCUUAUGAUAUUUAAUUUUAGCCAAUUAUUACACCCCUCAACUUUUAUAAUUGGCCAAUUUCUCUCUUGAACUUUAAUUUAGCCAUUUACUUCCUAAACUUUUAUAAUUGGUAAAUUUCGCCCUUGAACUUUAAUUUUAUAAUUACAAGAAGAUAAUUUUAUCCCUAAUCUAGAUACCAUAUUGUUUUUCCUUCUUCUUCUGUUUUGCUAGUCCAUUCCGUACAAUUUUUGUUUAAAUUUUAGAGUUUAGGGAGAAACUAAAGUUCAAGGGAAGUUGGCCAAUCAUAAAAGUUCAGAGAAUCAUUGGCUAAAAUUAAAGUUCAUGGGGGAAUCAAUCAAUUAUAAAAAUUUAAAAGGGUAAUUGGCUAAAAUUAAAAAUCAUGCAAAAAAGUGGCAGUUCUUUACAAGUUUCGAAAGAAAAUUAACAAAAUACCUCUAAAAUUUAACAUGUUUGUUUGGCUAUUAAUUUAAUUUGUAAUUUUUAUAUAGUACGUUGCCAAAUAAAUUCAAUUAAGGUAGAUCAUCAGGUUUUGCAACUUAACCUAACACUGAAUGCUCGCCUAACACGCUUGCUAGCUCACCAGUAAUUAACUCAUCUAAACCGCUAGCAUUUUUAAUUUGUUUACACAUUGGCUUAAAAACAAAGGCGGCGAUGGGGCAGCUGCCCCAAAAAUCCCAUGCCUUCCAUGCAUAUUUAAUAUAUCCACAUAUAUAGCCCCAAAGUAUGACCAAAAUAAAUAUUCUUAACUUUCUUGUUUUCACGUUUCCAAAAAUUAAAGGUCCAUAUUAAUUAGUACUAGGAAAAAGAAUUUGCGUAUGUUGAUCGAGAAACAAAGAAUGUGUUUAUGAAAGUUAAAAUAUAACUAAAUGGGUGCUCGAGAAAUAAAAAUUAAUAUGGUGAAUACGAAAUGAAGAAUGUAUUUAAGAAACACGUGGUCGAUUGAUUAUCUCAGUAGCUAGGCUUUAAUAUUAAUUUCGUUGCAUUUAGGAUCAAACUCUCCUCACCACUUUAACGUACGUAGUUUAGAUUAUAAUUAUAUCUCGUAACAAAAGUAGAAUAGUAUUUGGUUUACUCAAAGAAUGAGUAGGAAAUCCUACUCAAAACAGUUUGUUAACGAUUCAUAAAACUUUAUGUUUAUAAUUGGAACCAUUCAUAUUAUGGAUGACUCAAUAAAAUCGUCUAUGCAAAAAAUCAAUUAAAAAUAAGGUCUUUUAGUUAUCAAAUUGUAUAAAACCAAAAGAAUGAAAUACGUGAAGCAUUAUGAACCGUUUACUUAUUUGCUACAAUAGAUUGACUAAAUGACCUUAGUUUGAAUUUGUUUUUUUAAAGAGAUAUGAUAUUUGUUGAGUGAUUUAUAAUAUAAACAGUUCUGAUUAUAGACACAAAACUUUGUAAUUCGAACACGAAAAAUUUUGAGCAGGAAUUUUUACUCAUAUUUAAGUAGCCCACUAUUGUUCAGAGAAGUAUGCAUGUGCUUAAACGAAAGAAAAGAGCAGUACUGCGGUCUUCAAAAUCUUUUCUUCUUUCGAAAAGCGGGCAGUGGAGCGGCGCGUCCGGCGGAUCUUGAGUUGAGAGCGAUUGCUGUUUUUGAGUGAGAAAUGGAGAGGGAAGAGGGGAUGAAUGCUAGGUCAUCAUGGGACCCAAGUGGCGUAAAAGGCAAGAAAUUGUACACUUUAACGAAGUCAAAUAUAUACCCCUAAUCUUUGCUAAUUUGAAUUUAAAUGGGUGCCUUUUGAUUCACCAAAGAUUACAUUAAUCUUUGAUUUGGUUUGUUUUAGUUUCAUUCGUCCGGGGAGCAUCAUUAGCAGUAGCACAACCUAAUCUUCAAACAUGUUAUACUUGUUCCUGAGCCAUCUCAAACACGUGGAUUUGUAUAACAUCGAUAUCCACUCCACCCCUACAUUGUCACAAACAUUAAAACUUGGUUAUAUUAUAUUGAGAUCACAUCUUCAAUAAGUGUAUUUUCUAUCUUUUUUUAAGACUCAUAUAUAUAUAUAUAUAUAUAUAUGUAUGUAUGUAUGUAUGUAUGUAUGUAUGUAUACACACACACUAUUUUGGUUUUGGUACUCUUUAAUUAUGUGUAGAAAAUAUAUAUGAGAUAGAAUCAAAGGACAAAUACUUUUACAUUCUUUUUAUGCCUUUGAUGACAUGACAUCCAAUGGUUCUUAUUUAUUCAUUAAAUGACAAUGAUGCUUAUGAGGAUUUUAACCAAUAUUAAAGAUAAAAAAAAACUGAAAAAAAUAAAAUCUGAAAAAUUAAAAAUAUAAUUAAAAAAGGAAGAUAAUUUAACUGAAAUUGGUUCUCCCAUUCUCAUUUCGAUCAAACUUGGAUUCAGAAUUUGAACCAUAAUAAAAAAAAAAUCAUGAAACUUUACUGAAAACAGCUUCGAGGGAUCGCCCCAUUUCUUCUUCUAUUAUGUCAAGGGCAACCUGAAGCAAUGCAUGCCAUAUGCUAUAAUAAGUUAAGCAAACCCCACAAAGUAGAAGUGUCUCAUCACAAAUGCAAGCAACUAGAACCAAUAACUUUUUGGCAAAUUGAGAUUUUACUUGAUUGGGGAAGGGAGGAACAUCAUCUUGAAGAAUGCACAGUUCGUUCAUAUAAUCUUCUUUGAUAAUAUCAGGUCUGUUUGUGAGAACCUUUCAAUACAUGGGUGAAAUCAGGCAUGUGUUUAAUUGCACAAGCAUAUGAAUUUAAAGAAGUUUCAUGAUAUUUUUAUUAGGGUUCAAAGUUUGAAUCCAAGUCUUGAUCGAAAUGGGAAUGGAAGAACCAAUUUCAGUUAAUUAUCUUCCUUUUUUAAUUAUCCAGAUUUUAUGUUUUAUUUUAUAUUUAAUAUUAAUUAAAAUCCACAUAAACAUCCAUGUCAUUUAAUGAAUAAAUAAGAACCCUUGAAUGCCAUGUAAUCAAACGGCUUAAAAAGAGUGUAAAAGUAUUUGUAAAAAUAUUUGUCCCUUGAUCCUAUAUAUAUAUAUAUAAGUGGGUAGCUAAUAAUCUACGGUUACAUCUUAAGGGUCAUAAACAUAAAUAUAAAUAUGGAGUUACGACAUAAUUGACAAUUGAUCAUUAUUCUAGAAUUAAUGUCUUUAACUAUUUGUAACCCCUUAACAUCCCCUGCAAACAUGACAUCGACGAGGAGAAAAGUUUGGAAUAAGACGCACAAGACGGUCUACAGACAAUCUCUUGGUAAAAACAUCUGCCAGUUGCUAGUCUUUAACUAUUGUAAAUCCCUAACAAUGUGGAUGAUCGUUGAAUGAAGAGAUCUACGAAGUGACGGUUGAUCAUGAGACAAUAUGUAGAGUUGAUUUAAAUGUGUGGUUAGCAUUGUAUUAAGUUGCUAACUGGUUAGCGUUUGAGCGCUUUUGUAUAUGUGUUUAUACUAAGCAUAAAAACCAUUUGUAAUUAUAUGUUACUUAAAAUGGAAGGUUUGCAGUUUAUAAGGUAUGUGUUUGCCUUGCUUACAACCAAACCAUGAAAGAGGAAGUUACAGUUUGGAAGAAAAACAAUUGAUAUAUAUCCAAUAGAAAGUACGUAAAAAUUAGAAUAGAAAUAUCGAUGAGUGUCGUUUUCCCUUUUUUUUUUUUUUUUUUUUUUUUUUUUUCUGUCCAGCUCUUGAGCCGAAUAAUGUAUGUUUUCUGACUUUUUGUUAUAAGAUAAUUGUUGCUAUCACUUUUAAAAGCAACUCGACGGCAGAGACGAAAUGGGCUUCAUGGUUUGUUUGAUGAGUCGGGACAAUGGCAGGAUAGCAAGGCAGGUAUGGAAUUAGUUAUUUUAUCUUACUUCAUGAAAUUGUUUGGCUCCACCGAGGUAGUAGAUGCCUUGGGGAUACUAAGUAAGAUUGUACCGAAGGUCACAGAUGAGAUGAAUCAAAGUCUUAUGUUACCAUUUUUUGACGAAGAAAUUAAGGAUGCGUUGUUCCAAAUGCAUCUUACCAAGGCACCGAGACCUGAUGGAAUGACGCCUAGGUUUUAUCAAAAUCAUUGGGCAGUUGUCGGUAAAGAUGUUUGUGAUGGGGGUUGACACCUUGAGUUAGGGGCAUUGUUGCGGAAAGUUAACUACACACAUGUUACUCUGAUACCCAAGAAACUUGAUCCAACAUCUAUGACCGAAUUGUGGCCAAUCAGUUUGUGUAAUGUGAUAUACAAGAUAUGCUCAAAGGUGCUUACGAAUAGAUUGAAGAGUAUCUUACCAGAUAUUAUUUCGCCUUCACAAAGUGCGUUUAUUUGUGGUAGAUUAAUUUCUGAUAAUUGUUUGGUGGCAUUGGAAGUUGUUCAUUUUAUGAAGAGGAAAAAUAGUGGUUGGAAUGGUGUGAUGGCAUUGAAGCUUGAUAUCAGUAAAGCAUACGACCGUAUUGAAUGGUCUUUCUUAGAACAAAUAAUGCGAAGAUUGGGUUUUGUGGAAGAAUGGAUUACUUGGAUUAUGAGAUGUGUCACUUUUGUAACUUACUCAUUCAAGCUCAAUGAGGAAUUAACCGAUGGGAUUAAUGCAGCCUAAGAGGGGCAUCAGGUAAGGUGAUCUGUUGUCUCCUUUUUAUUUAUGAUUUGUGCCGAAGGUUUAUAGGCAUUAUUGGAUGCAUGGGAGGCCCAAGGCAGAAUAAAAAGGAUAAAGGUUUGUAAUGAUGCACCUAAUAUAAAUCAUCUACUCUUUGCGGAUGAUUGUUUUAUCUUUGCUAGGAGUAAUUUACAUGAAUACUGCGAGUUGAAGACCUUAUUACGAAUUUAUGAAGUAGCCUGGGGGCAAACAGUUAAUUUAUCGAAAAGUGGGGUGGCAUUUAGUACCAAUGUAAAUGAGGUGGAUGGUUAGCUGCUUGCGGAUUGUUUGGGUAUGACUCGUGUGCAAUACCAUGAGAUGGCCUGCCAGUGUACACGGGUAAGUCAAAGAAACAAACGUUUGCAUAUAUCGAAGAUAGGUUAUGGAAAAAACUUAAUGGUUGGCGUGGGAGUGUCCUCAGUAGUGCGAGGAAAGAUAUCUUAAUUCAAACAGUGGCCCAUGCUAUUCCGUUAUACACCAUGCAUACUUUUUUGCUUCCAAAAAUGUUAUGUGAGGAAUUGAAUCAAAUGGUUGCUCGAUUUUGGUGGGGAAAAGAAGUCGGCAAAAGAAGCAUUCAUUGGGUGAGUUGGCAGCGAAUGUGCAAGCCAAAAAGUGAGGGAGGUUUAGGUUUCAAAGAUUUGUACGCCUUUAAUCUUGCUUUGCUUACUAAGCAAGGUUGGCGCAUUAUAAAACAACCACAGUCUUUGCUAACCCAAGUUUUUAAGGCUCGAUAUUUCCAAGAAUUGGAUUUUCUACAUGCCCUAGUAAAGUCCAAUUCCUCCUAUUAUUGGAAGAACAUUGUAGCAGCUAGGGUUCUGAUCUACCGAAGAGCUAGACGAUGUGUAGCUGACGGUUUGAAGAUAAAAAUCUGGGGGGAUUCUUGGUUGCUAAGAGAGAACUAUGCCAAGGUGUUGAGUCCGGUUUCCCUUGGAGUUCACCUUAAUCUUACUGUUCGAUCUUUGAUGUUGGAGGCGGAUCACAUGAGAUGGAAUAUGCAGGUGGUUUCUCGAAUGUUCUUCCCUGAAGAGGUCAAUCUUAUUUUAAGUAUUCCUUUGAGUUUCUUUAAUUUGCCUGAUGAGUUGAUUUGGAUCAAAGAGCCUAAAGGAGUAUUCAUGACUAAGAGUGCAUAUUUUGUAGCUCGGACUUGUAAUGACAUCUGCAUGGAUGUUCCCGUGGGUUUUAAGAUGCCGGCAGAGAUCAAAUUCCUAUGGAAGGCACUUUGGUGUGCUAAGGUAUCGGGGAAGAUAAAAAUUUGCAUAUGGAGGGGUUGCUUAAAUGCUCUGCCGACUACAGUAAACUUGAAGUUGAAGAAGGUUGUACUGGAUGGCUGUUGUAUUAUUUGUGGGACUGUCCCUGAAACGAUCAAGCAUAUUAUGCUGCAGUGCCCCCAUGCUAGAGCAACAUGGUUUGCUAGUCUGUUGGGUUUACAUCAUAUGCAACAAGGAGAUGUGGGGUUGCAAGAUUGGGUGGCACGAAUGGCUUAUGAUGUCUAGGGAGAGCUCUGAUUUAGUCCUUAUGUUGAUGUGGAAUAUUAGGAAAGCUCGCAAUGAGUUAUUAUGGAGGGGCUCAAUUUUACCACGACAUGAACUCCAAAUUCAAGCAUAUACUUGGUUGUUGGAGUUUAAGAAAUGGAAUGUGGUCUAGCCGAAAUCUCAGGUUGUAGAGGUUCAUAAAUGGAGGAGGCCAGGGGAAGGGUGGAUAAAGUGCAAUUUUGAUGGGGGCAUGGGAUAAGCCGAACAGCAUAGGAGGAGCUGGACUGAUUAUCCGAGACGCGGCUGGGGAGUUUAUUGCUGCCAUGGCGAUGCAACUGGAGGGGAUUACAUCGGCUCUAAUGGCUGAAGUUGCAGCAGCUCGGGAAGCUGCUAUAUUUCUUUAGAGAUGGCGUAAUCAGAAAGUAAUGUUGGAGGGAGACGCCUUGAUGGUAAUAGCUGCUAUACAAAAUUACGAGGUUAAUUAUGGUCCCCUUGGCCAUAUAUUAACUAACACACGGAGGCUACUACAACAUGUCCAACAAUGGAAGGCUAAUUUUGUGCGACGUGGUGCCAAUGAAAUGACAAACAGACUGGCUCGCCGCGGUCUUACUCUGCCACAGCCAGUUUCGUGGUUUGAAGAACCUCCCAAUGUAAUUUUUGAUCUUAUAUUGGAGGAUAAUUUUCACUUUUAAUUUAGUUGGUGCGGGACACUCCUUUUCCCUUCAUUUGGGUUUUACCCGGAAAAGUUUUUAUUGAGACCCAUUGUUAGCACCCUUUCUCAUUGUUUGUACGUUGUUCCCUUAUGAAAUGAAUAUCGUACUUGAUUUAAAAAAAUAGAAACCAACCCACAGGCCACAUAAUAAUACAUUCCUAAUUUAUUAAUUUUCCUAAUUACAACAAAAUUAAGUAUUAAUGAUUUUUUUUCAUUUUUAUAUUAAAAGCAAUAAUUUACACUAAAAAAAAAUUAGAAAGUUCACUUGGAAGGUAGUGAGAUGAAGCAGAAAAUCCUAAUCACUAAGGUGAUUUACCACUCGCAUGACUUCUUUAAUAAAUGCAGUUUAUACACACAAACUUGUUUUUAAUUAAGUUGAAUUGAAAAAAAAAACUUUAAAUAUGGGGAUGAAGAUUAAAAAUAAUAAUAAUAAUAUGGAGAAGAGAAUGAUAUUGUGAAGAUGGACAUACAUGAGAGACAAAGAUAUGGUGCAAUCUAUUUAUUUUAUUAUUAAGAGAAAUGUAUUUCGUUUACUUUGUUUUGAUGUAUGAUUGUGUCAUGAGUGAUAGUGGUCGUGUUUUAGCCAAUGUACACACUAUACAGUAAACACAAGGUUUUGCAUCUAGUACACAUUUGAUAUGCGGUCGAAGCUAGAAGUCAUCGCAGAUGUCGGAAUGGGAUUGAGUUUAGCCAAUACAACACUAUGAGUUAGCUGGUAUGGUGUUACGACUCUCUUUGGGAUGUCCGACGGUAGUGGCAACAUGAUUUUAUCCUUUUUAUUUUGUUUAUGUUUAAUAAUUUCUAGGAAUUGUCUUGGAAUUUGUUUGAUUUCUCUCUUUAGGGGAAUUUGGAAAUUAGGAUUUUUAUCUAUAGGACAACUACUUCUUUUUAAUUUUUGUUUUUGUGUGCUAUACAUCUAUUUUGGAUCUAUGUGUGAAGAGUGGAGCUGUUUGAUUUGUUAGAUUUACUUUGCUUAGUGUUAUGGGAUCUGGCAUUUGAUGUGGAGAUGUGAUUAGACCUAUGAGCAUUGUACUACAUGUCCCAAUAUAAUUUGAAAUUUUUUUUAUCACAUGAUCUCCGUGUAACACGAGGUUUAAUGAUUUUAUUGAUCUGUGUACGCUUACAAUUCCUAAUGAGCUCAGCUUUCAACUUGUGCCUGAAGUCUACCAAUUGCUUUGUGAUCAGUAAUAUUUUAUUGUAAUAUUUUAAAUCUAGUACCUUUUUAAAACUGAACUCUUUAUAAUAUCUAUUUGUAAUGUCCAUUUUGAAUGAUUGAAAUAAUUAUAUAUGCCUCCCCACAUUCUGAAUUGUAUAUAGACUAAUUGUUUUUGUUGGAGAAUAAAAGUUUGGUAGCUUAAGGUUGGAAAUGUAUUCCCCUAAGAUAACUGGGACAGGGUGAUUUGCAAGACAUUCCAUCAAUACUUUCACUUCAAGUGCAUACAUGUCUAGUUAUAUAUCCAUCCAUUAAAUUCAAAUCCUCUCCAUAUUCCAUCAGAAAAAAUGAGUCCCAAAACCACUAUACUAACAUAUUUUGUUGCCACUGUUGCAAUUUUAUUGGCAUCUCAAAAUCUCAUUGAUAUUCCAAACUCUUCAUCCCCCAAAUGGAAAUUAUGAAACAAGAAUGUUGCCCCAAUUCCGAAGCCUGGAGAUGUUGGAGCUCAAGUUUAGCGAUUAGAAUAUCAGGAGACCAAGCUGCAAUUUUGGGUUGUGGGUUCUUUGGAGCUCAAGACACCCUUCACGAUGAUAGGGGCCGCCAUUACUUCAAGGAUUGCUACAUCCAGGGCUCCAUUGAUUUCAUCUUUGGCAAUGGAAGAUCAUUAUAUGAGGUAACCCGUCUCAUUUCUGAUAUGCAAAUUUCUUUUCCUGUGAUUGCUUGAGAAAAAACGGUAUGGGGUUACUGUUUACCUGCAAAUCACAAUUUGACAUACAUAUACUAAAAUAAUUCACUAAAAUUACAAAACAAAAAGUUUUUUGCACGACCAAACUGUGAUUUUUCAUUUACAGAGGAAUAGCUCCUUCAUGCAUGCAGGCAAGGAGCCAUGUAGUCUAGAUUAGUACCCAUUACCAAGUAAUCAUUUUUCAUACAGAAUAUAAGUAGAAUGUUUAUGAUCAAUUGAUAUAUAAAAAAACAAAAAAACCAGUGUGCUUCUUGGACUGCUUGACACAGAAUUGUCAGUUGAUUUCGAUGUCAAACCCAGAGUUGAAUAUCAGAGUGCGGAACAAACAAGACUACAAAAUAAUAAGAAUUUUAUUGAACAAAUUGAGAAUGCCGAGACGGCUACAAAAACCCUAGAGACUACAUUGUGAAUGAAUUAUUCUCUAACUAAAUUACAAGCUCUAUUUAUAGAGCAAUAAACCAAAGAAACCCUAAUGCAUAUAUGCCAAAAGUACCCUACUACAAAAUCAAAUCAAAUCUCUAAUUAAUUUCCUAAAUAAACCUAAUAAAUUCCAACACCCCCCGUCAAACUCAUGGCGGUACACGACAUGAGUUUGCCAACAAGCAGAUGUGGAUGCAAGCCUCCAAAUUCCGAUGCCGAUGCCGAUGCCGAUUUCCGAUGCCAAUUUCAAUACGAAAUUCCAUCGGUGCAAGUGCAAGAUUCCAAUGCCAGUGCAAGAUUUCCAUGUCAGUGCAAGAUUCCAAUGCCAGUACCAGUGCAAAUGUCGAUGCCGAUGCCUAACAAACAAUCAAAAAAUCCAACCAAAUAUUUUUUUUCUUCCUUCUUUCUUCCUUUUUUUCCUUCUGUGCGAUUCCUUCCUUUUUUUUUUUUACCUUCUGUGCAAACCAAUGUGCGACCCAACAUCACCAACCUCCUUCCUUUUUUUUCUUCUAUGCGAACCAACAUCACCAGCCUCCUUUUUUUUUUCGCGAGGGUACGGUUGUGGACGGAUCCAGAUGCAGGGUGGGGCUAGGGAAUGCAGAAAUCCUAGUGCGAUGGAUUCACCAAAUUCCUUUUUUCAAAAAACAGAAUUUUUUUCCCUUUCUUGAAGACUACCAAGGACAAACUGAAAACCAAACCAGAAAACGUAAAAAAUCUACGGACAAGACUAACACAAUUUGACGGUCAAUACCGAAAUCCAAAGACAAAGAACAUAAACAGAAAUCCAAAGACAAAACGAACAAAAACAGAGUGACCAAGAACAAAGGACAUAGACCAAAGCGGAAGCGAAAGCCUAAACGAGACCCAAACUAAACCAAAAAACAAAAAGCGACAAAACAAAUUGAUACCAACAAGAACGGAUUGAACCAUAAGGAUCGAACCCGCUCUGAUACCAAGUUGAAUAUCAGAGUGCGGAACAAACAAGACUACAAAAUAAUAAGAAUUUUAUUGAACAAAUUGAGAAUGCCGAGACGGCUACCAAAACCCUAGAGACUACAUUGUGAAUGAAUUAUUCUCUAACUAAAUUACAAGCUCUAUUUAUAGAGCAAUAAACCAAAGAAACCCUAAUGCAUAUAUGCCAAAAGUACCCUACUACAAAAUCAAAUCAAAUCUCUAAUUAAUUUCCUAAAUAAACCUAAUAAAUUCCAACACCCAGUACCCCUAGGAACAAAGAGUAUAAACGGCGCGGUUACAGCGCACGGCAGAGCUUCCAAGGAUGAAAACACUGGCUAUGCAUUUGUCAACUGCUUUAUUGGAGGGACUGGAAGAGUAUGGCUGGGUCGAGCAUGGAGGCCUUUCUCUCGAGUGGUUUUUGCCAGCACAACAAUGACUGAUAUUAUAGCUCCUGAAGGGUGGAAUGACUUCAAUGAUCCAACAAGAGACCAGUAUGUAAAGAUUAAUGCAAGAGUUACGGCUCUUUUGAUAGCCAUUUAGACAAAAACUACUUGUUGGUAACUGUUUUCAAGUUUUUAUAUUUAAAAAAAAAAUUAAAAGUUAAAGACCUAGUGGUUUUCAAAGGACCCCCCUCAAUUAAUCAAUAUUCAUUUAAAGUUUGAUUAUUGGAUUAAUCACAAAAUUAAUCUAAUCGAAGUAUUAAUCAUUUGUUUAAAUGCAUGCAGGACUAUAUUCUAUGGAGAAUACAAUAACUCAGGUGCGGGAGCAAAUAUGAGCUUGCGUGCGCCUUACGUACAGAAGCUGAAUGACACACAAGCUUCUCUUUUUCUUAAUGUGUCUUUCAUUGACGGGGGAGAUUGGUUGCAAUCAGUCAUUGAUUAGACUCUAUAUUGGGCCUUUUUUCUUAUCUCUUCCAAUGUAAUAUCGUGAUUAAAUUGUUUGUUCUCGUCAAUGUACAUGACAAUAAGACACAUCAUCAUCUUUAGGUCUCAAUAAUGCAACUGACACUGACAAGCUAAAAGAUAAAAGCCAUGCAUAUAUAAACGGAGUAAUUAGGUUUUCAUCCUUAUUUUUACUACUCUAUUGAUUAAAACCUUAUUACUUUUCAAUUUUUGAUCAAGGUCCUUUGUAUUAAUAAUAUCAUUAAUUAUUUCAAUAAUAAAAUAUUUUUUAUUUCUAAAUAUAUUCAUUUAAUAUUAAAAAUGUUACAAUUAUUAUAUUUAUAUUUAUGGCUAAAUUUUUUAUCAUAUAUUUUUAUUUUUAGUUUGUACCCAUUUUUAAUUUGCAACCCUUUUUUAAUUUGUACCAAUUUUCCUUUCAGUUUUAAUUUGUACCCAUAUAUUAAUUUCUUUUUGUGCCCAUAUUUUUUAAAGUUUUAUUUGUAUUGUACCCAUAUUUUUUUAUUUAUUUGUACCCAUUUUUAUUUUUGCUAAAUGUACCCAUUUUGAAGAAUGUACCCAUGUUUUGAUACAAUAAUUUUUUGGUUAUUUUUUAUGAAGGUACCCAUGUUUAUACACACACACACAAUAGUAUAUUUAUAUUUUAAUAUUUUUAAUCCCACAAAUUAUGGUUUUUAUUUAAAAUCUCAUUACUAUAAACAACUAUAAAUUUUAAUUUUUAAUUUAAAAAAUAUAGUAACGUACAUAGAAAUAAAUUAUCAAUUAAUUUCAGGGACUUGGAUCAAAAAUUGAAAACCAACAAGGUUUCAGUCAAAGACUGUUCAUAACUAGGGACCGCAUCCAAAGUCUCCCUAUAUAAACCCUUGGACCAAGGUGGUCUGGUUCGGGUCCCCCCUUGGUUUUAAGGUCAAUGCCCAAGCUAUUUCCUCUUUUGAUCGCUGGUUCUUGAAAUUAUCCUCUCUUCUCCCUGAAGACAAUGUCUCCCAAGAUCGAUUUCAUUCUUUCGUUGCCUUCUUUUGUUGGGAAAUUUGGAAGGCUAGACGACAUGUAACGAUCCAUCCCAGAUUUUACGGUUUUUAUAAUUUUAAAACGUGAAUUUACAAAAAUGCUCUUUAAGUUGAAAUCUUUGACUUUUGUUGACCUUUGUACCGUGCAACGUAUGACCUAUUCUAUUAGCUUUUCUUGUAGUACUCGUCGUUAAGAACGCGUGGGAGCAAGUGAAUUUGGAUUUGGAGCUAAAAUGAAGGUUUUACAGGAUUCGGAACAAUAAGGACAUUAUGGUAAUUUCACAUCCCGUGAGAUAUUUUUUCCGUUUUAUCUUUUCUUGCUUUGUUUGGUGUGCCAAUGGGGCCCACCCUUGUUUUGGUGUCUCCUGGCUUUCUCUCUUUCUUCCCUGUCUUUUCUCCCAUUUCUCUCAUCGGUAAACUCUUUCACUCUCCUUGUCUUUUUCCCCUCAUCUUUGCAACUCUCUCUCCGAGCUUGCACAACCAACAACGAUAGUACCAUCUCCAUCACCACUAGCCUCACCACUCUAGUGAGCACCAUCACCAUCUGUGGACCCUCCAUCCUCCCUUUCUCACCUCUCUCUCAACAAUUAAUGUUCAUCAUAUUCUCCGAAACCAUAGCGAGUCAUCGCCUUCCCGACGUAGGUAAGCUCCUAAAAUCUUCUAGAUCAUGUUUUAGGUUAGAUUAGAGUAGUUGGUAAAAUUUCCUAGACUUAUGGAAUUUGAAACCGUGGCAGUUUGACCACUUUCAGACACCUUUUUCCGACCAACUCCUGCCAUGUCACGGCCUCCAAUGGGUAUGUAUCGAUUCCCUACAUUUUAAACUUCAUUUUGGUUCUUAAAUCACUGAAAUUGGUUGAGAAUCGAGCUUGAAAUGAGCUCUAGAAGUUAGGCCUUCCACUUGCAAAUUUGCAAAUUUCGUGGAUAAGGUGAGUACAGCGUACUCGCGGGCAUGUGAUGCUGCAGUGCUCGACGUGUGGAGCACACACGCCUCCACCGGAGGCACUGUGCUUCGUUGCUGUGGCGCCAAUGACUUCCCCAACAACAUAUCUCGGCGCGUGGCCUCUCGGUGGUGGCAUAUGGGGGAACUCGAUGCCCCUCCUUAAGUUUUCCGAUAUGCCGAAACCAAUUCCAUUGUCCAUUUUUCCAAAUUCAAUCGUUUUAGUAGAGGUUUUAUUAAAUGGUCUUUACUUGUGUUUAGGUGCGUUGGUUGGAAGUGACCCUGUCCUCCCUAGUUCGAGCGGUUCCUCGGUACCGGAACAUUUGUGAGUAGACCCUUUCUUAAAUUGCAUGUUUUUAUAUAAAAUAUUAAGCUUGCAUGCAUUUCAUAUUUCAUGAAUUGAUUGUUUUAUAAUAUGUUUUACGAAUUUCUAUAAUUAUGGUUACAGAGAACUUAUGAUUAUUUAAAUUGUUUUUACGAAAUAUUUAUGGUUUGUUUAUGAUUUCGGUUGACGAGAUUUUAAAUGCUAAGCUUGGUAUGAGUUUUAGAGAUACUUUUUAUGUGCUUAUCUAGUGGGUUAUCAUACAACACAUACACACAACACGAGUAUGUAGACGUCUAUGGCCAUAGGACACAGUUGAAGAUAUUUAUGACAUACUUUCAGCUUCACUAGCGAAACCAAUGUCGGUGUGUUAUGUAUAUGUUUCUUCUUUGGCAUAACCCUACGUCGUACAGCUUCACCUUCGGGUGGUGGGGCUUACAAUAUUUCUUGACUAGCGUAACUCAAUGUCGUACAACUUCACCUUCGGGUGAUGGCUAUGCCUUCGGGCAACUAUGAUACCCCUAGUUGAGUACUUUAUUAUUUUGGGUUUACGAGCUUUCUCAGAUUUACCUUUGGGCGAUUUUGAUACCACUUUUAGAUAUGGUUUUAUUAUCUACGAAUGUUUUCAUGGCACGUUAGGGUUUUCAAAAAACCUAUUAUGUAGUAUUAUAUAUGUUUUUAAAACAGGGGGUUAGUAUGUUCAGAAAGAAAAUGGUUUUCUUAUUAUUAGUAUUAGUAUUAUAAACUUUGGUCCACUCACCCUUUGUUGCGCCCCCUUCAGGAUUUAGAAUCGAGGCAUACGAUCCCGACGUCAGGGCACUUCUGCAUAGGUAUCUUCGAGUAUUCUCAGUGUAGAACCCAUUCCUUUGUUCGUACCUUUUUUUAGUAAUUCUUUCACAUUAUUCUUGAUUAGUUGUAUACUUUGAACGCAUUUCCGAUUGGCAUAUUUUGUUCUAAUUACAUAUUUUAUUUGUAUGCAUGUUUAAAAUGGCUUCGUCACCCUCGGGUGUCGGCUAGCACGUGCCUAUCCUAGUAUUUGGAGAUAUCGGGGCCGAGGCGUUUCAUGUCAGGUUAGCUUUAAUGGAAUCAUCCCAUCUUCGGCUACUACUAUCCCCAAGGCCUAUUCGUUGAUAGAGGAAUUUUGGACCGCCAACCCUGUAGCGCUUUCUUGGGUCUCUCAGGGCACGACCGUUCUUUCAACUUGGAUCUUUCCUUCUAUUUCAGUGCUGAAAAUCAACUGUGAAGCCUCCUGGACCAAGUAAUCAGGUUCAGCGGGUUUUGGAGUUGUUAUUAAGGAUACUUAUGGUUCUGUGAUGGCUAGGAAUUGUGGGAUUGAAACAUCUUCUUCUGCUCUUCAAGCGGAGGCUAAAGCUAUGAUCAUGGCUAUUCAGACGACCAUCCAUAAUAAUAUCACUAAUGUUAUUUUUGAAUCUGAGCCUCUCUAGUAGCUAGCAUUAAUGGGGAUAGAAGGAAAGCCAAUUGGUUUAUUUUUCCCCUUCUUCACCAAAUUUGGAAUCUUCGUCACCGUUUUUCCUCCUUUAAGUGGUGAUGGAUUUCUCGACAAGCAAAUUUGGCAACCGUUUGGGUUGCCUCGCAGUGUAAAAGAGAGAUGUGUCUAGAAUUCUAGUUUACCAAGCCCUCAUCUGCUAUGGUCCAUAUCUUGUCCAUUGAUGGCCUUCCGUGCCCCCACUAACGCCCUUUUUGGCUUCUUGCCUUCGGGUGGUGACCCGAGUUGCGCUUGUGGUCCACUUUAUCCACCUUUAGGUUGACUGCCUCCUUGGGGGUCUUUACUUGUUGCUGGGUUACCGAAUUUUAUUAGGGGCCCUUAUCUUAUUUAUCUAUUGCUUUUUAUCAAUGACAUAUUUCGUUCCAAAAAAAAAAAAAAAACCCCACUUCAAUGUCACUAUCUAAUUAAUUAUCUCAAGUAUGGAACCAUUCAGGGCGUUAGGUAGACUGUAGGAGGAGGGGAAAUCGAAUAUAGACCUAUCAUGUGAGGUGUGUUCAAACAAGAUUACUUUCGUAAAAAAUUAGUACAAGGCCCAGAAAGAGCCAGUGAAAUAACAAUGGAUAAGUAAAAUGCCCAAGCAAAAGGAGAGUAGCAACCUAAGAUAUAACGGGAGGCCCACACAAGCUUAAACCUGAAGGCUGCAAAACCAAACAACAAAACAAUCCUAAUCUUAAGCAGCAUAACCAAAUUACCACCACCGUCACAUCCUCAGAGAAAGCCAAACUCUGAACUGAGAAAAUGGACACCGGAUUCAAGUCCCCCAUCAUAAACCCCUGCAAAUAUAUACAAAGUACCUUUUGGAUAGAAAGUGAGGCUAAGGGGUAAUUGAGACCAAACUCGAGGAAAACUAAAAUAAAACUCAGAGGAUAACCGAAAAAAAGAAGGAAGAAGAUUGGAAAUGGGGGAAGGAAGAGGGGGUGGGAUGUUGUGAGGGGAAGUGACAAAAGAGAUAAGAGAGGAGGAAAAUAGGGAAAUGGCAAAAGAGAGAAGAGGGAAGGAGGAGGAAAAAAGAGAUGAAGCAGAGGGAUGUUGCCUACCCCGAGCAAAAGCAAGGGGCGGUAACUGAAACUUCAAUCUAGGUUGGAUUUUUGCAGCAACACAUAGAGAGUUUUGAGAGAGAGAGAAAGAGAGAGAGAGAGAGAGAGAGAGAGAGAGAGAACUUUUAACGUGCCAUUGUUAUGAUGUGAGGUUAAUGUUAUUAAUUAUAUCAGCUACAAACUUAUUAUAAAGGUAUCAUGUUCUUCUUGUAUCAUGGCCUCUCUCUUCCUUUCUAUUCUCUUUCACUCUAAAUUCCUUAUGAGUUUUACAUAGGGUAUGGUUUUGAUUUGGAACCCGAACCGAAAAUGGAUUUCUAAAAGGAUAGUGCUAUUCAAACAACAAUUGCUUUCUUUAGUUCAUUUGAUUCGACAACCAAAAAUUGAAAGGGUAUUUGAGAAAUAAAAAUAGGUGUGUGCAUAACGCUACCAUUUAUGGAAAUCGAUUUCAAAAUAGUCAGAUAUAUUUUUUUGGCUCGAUCCCGAACCAAAAAUUUCAGAAUCCAUAAAAUUGGGAAUACCAAAACUUAUUUCGAUUUCGGGUUGGUUCAAUAAAGUGCGGUGGUAGCGAUGGCUGAAGUUGAAUGACGCUGAUGGAUAAUUCAUGGUCGUGGUGGCGAGAAGGGGGAUAAGAUGAGAAAUGUUUGUGACGGUGAUGGUUGUGUGGUAGAGCGACUGAGAGAAGGACGAAUUGCAGAACUGAGAAGAAGGUGGCGAAACCUAGAAUCGUAGCGGUGGCGUUUGAUUUGUGGUGAACGUGGUGAGAAGUGGGAUGAGAGGAAAAAUAUUGGUGACAAUGAUAGUUGUCAUGGUGGAACGACAGAGAGAGGGAGAUGAAAUGAAUGGUCAUCGUGGUGCAACUGAAGCGAAGUCGAAAAGGAGAGUCAAAAUGAUGGCGGAUAGGGUUCUGAGGGGAUGUUAAAUUGAAUAAUUAAUAGUUAUUAGAUAACAUAGAAUUACAUUAGUUGCAUUUUAAUAUCACAUGUUACAAUUUGGCUUAGUGGUUAAGAACUUUGAUAUCUUAAGUGAGAUCUCAUGUGGUUAAGUCUUUCCAGUCUUAUUUUUUAGGUAAUUAAUCAGUCCAGUUCAGGUUGAAACAAAAGUUCACUUCCUAUACCAAAUUCAAAAUUGAACCAAUCGAAAAUUCGAGAUAAUUCGAGUCGAUUUCAGAAUUUUCGAUUUUUUUUUUCAGCCUAAGUUUUACAUCCCCGGUUAGUAGGCCUGGCAAACGGGUCGUGUCAGUCGUUUUCGUGUAACACCUGUUAUCUUAACGGGUCGUGUCGUGUCACACCCGUUAUGACCCGUUAAGAAAAAUAUAUUUUUUUUCUUAAAUUUGCACAUACCACACAUUGCCACAUAAAUAUUACUUCAAAACAUUAAAACACAUUUGUCGUUUAAGUACUACAUCUACACUAAAAAAUAAGAGCCUAAUAAAAAAAUAAUACAUACACUACUAAUCUAUUACAAAUUUUAAAUGUGCAAGGAUAUGCAAAAUGAAACAGUUUUUGUUUUCAAGGUUGUGAAAUCUUUCUCAAAAGUUUAAACCUCAAUUUACAAAAUCCUCGAUUUACAUUGAUCAUCAUGAAAUUGCAUUGGAACUUUGGCUUGAUCUAUUGCCUUCAAGAGUUAUGUUGAUGAUGUUUUCAGUAAGGUUUUCCACGUCAUAACUAUCUUCUGCAUAAACUAAGCAUAGAAAAACUAAACAUUAAAAAUCAUUUAAAUUAUGAGAAGUUUACCAAAAUAAUUAUGAAAAAAAAAUAAAACAAUAGUACUAUACCAUACUUUUAUUAAGUAUAAACAUAAGAUUUUGUGGUAUCCACUAGUGUAAAUAUUUGAAAUUGAAGAUCGAAUUUAAUCAUUGUAUUCAUAUAAGGUCAAGGAGUGUAGUUGUAAAAAAUUAUCAAAAUCGGAGUUAAAUUAACCAUUAAAUCGUGAUUUUUCGUUUAUAACCGUCGAAAAGUUUUGUCCCGUUACGUGCUCUCUGAAUGUUUGUUUUUUGCAAUUUUUGGCGUAUGCGAUCUCGAAAUAUAUACAAACAUGUUUGACGGUUGGAUCAUUGACACUAGUUUCUUAGAAUGAGUAUCCCAUCAAAACAAUAGAUUCACUAAUACUUAAGAGUUUAUUCAUACUUUUAUUAAGUAUAACAUAAGAUUUUGUGGUUUCCACUAGUGUAAAUAUUUUAAAAUGAAGAUCGAAUUCAAUCAUUGUAUUCAUAUAGGGUCAAGGAAUGUAGUUGUAAAAAAUCAUCAAAAUUGGAGUUAAAAUGACCGUUAAAUCGUGAUUUUUCGUUUAUAACCGUCGAAAAGUUUUGUCCCGUUACUUGAUAUCUAAAUGUUUCUUUUUUGCAAUUUUUGGCGUAUGCAAUCUCGAAGUAUAUAUAAACAUGUUUGACGGUUAGAUCAUUGAAACUAGUUUCGUAGAAUGAGUAUCACAUCAAAACAAUAGAUUCACUAAUACUUAAUAGUUUAUUUAUACUUUUAUCAAGUAUAAUAUAAGAUUUUGUGGUAUCCACUAGUGUAAAUAUUUUAAAUUGAAGAUCGAAUUCAAUCAUUGUAUUCAUAUAGGGUCAAGGAGUGUGGUUGUAAAAAAACAUCAAAAUCGGAGUUAAAAUGACCGUUAAAUCGUGAUUUUUCGUUUAUAACCGUCGAAACGUUUUGUCCCGUUACUUGAUCUCUGAAUGUUUGUUUUUUUUUUUUUUUUGACGUAUGCGAUCUCGAAGUAUAUACAAACAUGUUUGACGGUUGGAUCUUUGAAACUAGUUUCGUAAAAUGAGUAUCGCAUCAAAACAAUAGAUUCACUAAUACUUAAUAGUUUAUUCAUACUUUUAUUAAGUAUAAUAUAAGAUUUUGUGUUAUCCACUAGUGUAAAUAUUUUAAAUUGAAGAUCGAAUUCAAUCAUUGUAUUCAUAUAAGGUCAAGGAGUGUAGCUGCAAAAAAUCAUCAAAAUCAGAGUUAAAAUGACCGUUAAAUCAUGAUUUUUCUUUUUAUAACCGUCAAAAAGUUUUGUCCCGUUAAUUGAUCUCUGAAUGUUUGUUUUUUGCAAUUUUUGACGUAUGCGAUCUCGAAGUAUAUACAAACAUGUUUGACGGUUGGAUUAUUGAAACUAGUUUCGUAGAAUGAGUAUCCCAUCAAAACAAUAGAUUCACUAAUACUUAAUAGUUUAUUCAUACUUUUAUUAAGUAUAACAUAAGAUUUUGUGGUAUCCACUAGUGUAAAUAUUUUAAAUUGAAGAUCGAAUUCAAUCAUUGUAUUCAUAUAAGGUCAAGGAGUGUAGUUGUAAAAAAUCAUCAAAAUCGGAGUUAAAUUAACCGUUAAAUCGUGAUUUUUCGUUUAUAACCGUCGAAAAGUUUUGUCCUGUUACUUGCUCUCUGAAUGUUUUUGUUUUUGCAAUUUUUGGCGUAUGCGAUCUCGAAAUAUAUACAAACAUGUUUGACGGUUGGAUCAUUGAAACUAGUUUCAUAGAAUGAGUACCCCAUUAAAACAAUAGAUUCACUAAUACUUAAGAGUUUAUUCAUACUUUUAUUAAGUAUAACAUAAGAUUUUGUGGUAUCCACUAGUGUAAAUAUUUUAAAUUGAAGAUCGAAUUCAAUCACUGUAUUCAUAUAAGGUCAAGGAGUGUAGUUGUAAAAAAUCAUCAAAAUCGGAGUUAAAUUAACCGUUAAAUCGUGAUUUUUCGUUUAUAACCGUCGAAAAGUUUUUUCCCGUUACUUGCUCUCUGAAUGUUCAUUUUUUGCAAUUUUUGGCGUAUGCGAUCUCGAAAUAUAUAAAAACAUGUUUGACGGCUGGAUCAUUGAAACUAGUUUCGUAAAAUGAGUAUCCCAUCAAAACAAUAGAUUCACUAAUACUUAAGAGUUUAUUCAUACUUUUAUUAAGUAUAACAUAAGAUUUUGUGGUAUCCACUAGUGUAAAUAUUUUAAAUUGAAGAUCAAAUUCAAUCAUUGUAUUCAUAUAAGGUCAAGGAGUGUAGUUGUAAACAAUCAUCAAAAUCGGAGUUAAAUUAACCGUUAAAUCGUGAUUUUUCGUUUAUAACCGUCGAAAAGUUUUGUCCCAUUACUUGCUCUCUGAAUGUUUGUUUUUUGCAAUUUUUGGCGUAUGCGAUCUCGAAAUAUAUAAAAACAUGUUUGACGGCUGGAUCAUUGAAACUAGUUUCGUAGAAUGAGUAUCCCAUCAAAACAAUAGAUUCACUAAUACUUAAUAGUUUAUUCAUACUUUUAUUAAGUAUAACAUAAGAUUUUGUGAUAUCCACUAGUGUAAAUAUUUUAAAUUGAAGAUCGAAUUCAAUCAUUGUAUUCAUAUAAGGUCAAGGAGUGUAGCUGCAAAAAAUCAUCAAAAUCAGAGUUAAAAUGACCGUUAAAUCGUGAUUUUUCUUUUUAUAACCGUCGAAAAGUUGUGUCCCGUUAAUUGAUCUCUGAAUGUUUGUUUUUUGUAAUUUUUGAUGUAUGCGAUCUCGAAGUAUAUACAAACAUGUUUGACGGUUGGAUCUUUGAAACUAGUUUCGUAGAAUGAGUAUCCCAUCAAAACAAUAGAUUCACUAAUACUUAAUAGUUUAUUCAUAUUUCUAUUAAGUAUAACAUAAGAUUUUGUGGUAUCCACUAGUGUAAAUAUUUUAAAUUGAAGAUCGAAUUCAUUACUUGUAUUCAUAUAGGGUCAAGGAGUGUAGUUGUAAAAAAUCAUCAAAAUCGGAGUUAAAAUAACCGUUAAAUCGUGAUUUUUCUUUUUAUAACCGUCGAAAAUUUUUGUCCCAUUACUUGAUCUCUGAAUGUUUUUUUUUUGCAAUUUUUGGCGUAUGCGAUCUCGAAGUAUAUACAAACAUGUUUGACGGUUGGAUCAUUGAAACUAGUUUUGUAGAAUGAGUAUCCCAUCAAAACAAUAAAUUCACUAAUACUUAAGAGUUUAUUCAUACUUUUAUUAAAUAUAACAUAAGAUUUUGUGAUAUCCACUAGUGUAAAUAUUUUAAAUUGAAGAUCGAAUUCAAUCAUUGUAUUCAUAUAGGGUCAAGGAGUGUGGUUGUAAAAAAUCAUCAAAAUCGGAGUUAAAAUGACCGUUAAAUCGUGAUUUUUCGUUUAUAACCGUCGAAAAGUUUUUUCCCGUUACUUGCUCUCUGAAUGUUUGUUUUUUGCAAUUUUUGGCGUAUGCGAUCUCGAAGUAUAUACAAACAUGUUUGACGGUUGGAUCGUUGAAAUUAGUUUCCUAUAAUUCGUAUCCCAUGAAGUUCAAUGAUGUGUGUGUGUAUAUAUAUAUAUUUAUUUAUUAAGUAGAUUUAAAUCUAUUUAUUUUGUAUGUAUAAUAUUUAUAGUUUUUUAGGGGUAUAAAAUUUAAUAUGUAUAUAUAUAUAUAUAAUUAUUAUAGUUAAUAUUUUGGGUAAUUAUUAUAGUAUAUAUAAUUAUUAUAAAUUUAUUAUAGUUAAUUUAAUAUAUUAUAUAUAUAUAUAUAUAAUUAUUAUAGUUUUUUAGGGGUAUAUAAAAUUGUUAAAUUAAUAUAUAUAUAUAUAUAUAUAUAUAUAUAUAAUUAUUAUAGUAUUUUUUUAGGGUUAUAAAUUAUUAAAUUAAUAUUCUGCUUAUCAUGUAUCGUGUUACACACGUGUAUACCCGAACAAAUCCGUUAUCUUAACAGGUGCUUAUCGGGUUACCCGAUAACGACCCGUUUCGUUAUCGUGUCGACCCGAACACCUGUUAAUUUCGUGUCGUGUCGUGUCGGGUUAUCGGGUCGUGUCAGGAAUUGACAGGCCUACCGGUUAGUAAGUAAAGGGUAAAAAAAGACAAAAUGAGAGUUUUAUGAAAGAUUAAUCUAAUUUGUGACACAAAGAUCUUGAAUCUUAACAGGUGGUUUUCUUACUUCAAUUCUCAGCUCCGCAUCUAAAUAACUGUUAUAGCGUUGUUAGCAUUUUCCAACCCUAACCAUGCGUAAUAUGCUUCAAUCACGUAAUAAACAUGUAUCCUUUUUUGAAAGAUGCUACACAAUUCAACUUUAUACCAAAUCAUCUCCUAAAAGAACUACAUACCAAAUAAUAGUAAAGUUUUAUAUGAUCACAUAAGAUCAUGGAUCCUCAUCCUAACUUCCUAUGGAAUGCAUAUACAUGGUAAAUUUUACCCUUUUUACAUCACGGAUCAAGGCACAUACUAACCUACUACCUUUGUGACCUUUGCCGUGCCGCCACGGGAAAACAGAAGAAAAAAAUGGAAAUAAAACCAAAUAGGAAGGGCACGCGGAAUUACCGCGUAUUCUGAGGUUGUACGGUUUAGCAGGGGACACAACAAAUAUAGAGAGAGAACGAAAGCGGUGAGAGAGAAGCAGCAGAGGUUGUGGUGGUGGGUGGCGGAGGUUGCAUAUUGGUAAACUAGAAGGCCAAACUCCAGUUUCUUGUUGGAUUCGGAUGGCAGAGGUCGAGCCCAAAGAUACUAACGGCACUAGCAACGGUAGUGCCAAUUCGAAUUCGAACCCCGCCGAUCAGCCGGACCGCCUUGUUCGUGUCUACGCCGAUGGGAUCUACGAUCUCUUCCACUUCGGCCACGCUCGCUCGCUCGAGCAGGCCAAGAAAUCGUCAGUCUCUCUCUACCCCUCUACCUCUCUCUAUCUCUCUCUGUUUACAAUUGCCAUUUGCUGCUUUGGUUCUGUGUUUUUCUUCGUUUUUGAAAUCUGGGUUGCUCCUAUUUCCGACCAAUAUUUCGUUUUUUCAUGAAAUUCGUAGCUUUUGUGUUAUUUAUUACCUGGGUAUCUUUUAUUUUGCUGUGAUUUUUUGCUUAUGUGUGAAAUUUACUUUCUUCUUCGAUGAUUUCCGUUUGUCUAUUGAUUGGAUAUGUUGAUUGGUUAAUCAUUUUCUUUGUCGUAUACAUCGUUUUGCUUAAGUUUAUUGGAUUCAUAUGAGAUAAAAGCUUAUGGAAUUGCAAUCUUGAAGUAUGUGAAUAGUUACAAAGAUGUUUCCUAGGUUAAAAAUUGUGGGGCUUAGCUUUUUAUUUGAUUGUUUUCAUGUUACUUUUUCUGUAAUUUGAUAUCGUUGUUGCUGUUAACUUGUGAAAUGGAUAUGUGGUCUGCUUUUGCACUUUUUUCUUAUGAAUUCGAAUUGCCAUUUCAGGUUCCCUACACCUAUCUGCUCGUCGGUUGUUGUAAUGAUGAAACCACUCACAAGUUUAAAGGGAAAACUGUUAUGACAGAGUCUGAACGUUAUGAAUCUCUUCGCCAUUGCAAGUAUGAGCGCCCUCUCUUACUUCUUCUCCCUCUCCACCUCGUAAUUCUUCCUUACAAUCUUGGUAUUGCGUGUGUGUAAUGUGUAUUAAUGACACAUUUUCACGAUAGAAUUUAUGAGAGUCAUGUGAUCAAGGGCAGGAAAUAUGUGUUUUGUUUGCAGGUGGGUAGAUGAAGUCAUUCCUGAUGCUCCUUGGGUGAUCAAUCAAGAAUUUCUUGACAAGCAUGAGAUUGGCUUUGUAGCCCAUGACUCUCUACCGUAAGGAUACUUUAUCCAAGUUCGCACCUUUGAGCUUUACUGUUAUGCUGUUUGGUGACUUUUGGGUACCGUUUGGUACGUGGGACGGGACGGGACGGAAGGGGACGAGCCGUUCCGUCCCACGUUUGGUGCGCCUAAAAACUGUGGAAUGGGUUGUCCCAUAGGACGAAAUUUGGCUGAUUUUUCGUUCCACCUCUUUCCCCUGGAACGACCCGUUCCACAUCCGUGGAACACAAAUUUAUAACAUUUUAUGACAAAAUUUCUCCUUAUCUUUUUCAAUAUUUACAUCAUCUGAUCCGUCCUGUUCCGUCCCGUCCUGUCCUGUUCCAUCCCGUCUGCGUACCAAACGGUACCUUAAGUACUUUUGGAACAUUUAUGAAAUUCUUCAGUUUUGUUUGUAUGCUUUUUUUUUUUUUCGUUUUCUCCAGUAUAUUUCUCUCAGUAUUCCGUUCUUUUGAAAUACAUGGUAUAUCUUAGAUAUUAAUAAAUUUAAAAAGUAAGUGCAUAUUUGUUACAUUUUUUCUAUUGUAAAUUUAAUAGUGACAAUGGUUAUGUAUUCUUUUGUACUUUGCAUUUUUUUUGUACAGUUAUGCUGAUGCAAGUGGAGCUGGGCAAGACGUGUACGAAUUUGUAAGCUCGAGACAAGUGCUUUUCUUUUGUAUCUAUUUUCCUUUUAUCUUUAACAUAUAAUUUGUUAAGCGGUUCUUUUCUUAUAGGUCAAAGCCGUGGGGAGGUUUAAGGAAACAAAGAGAACUGAUGGGAUUUCAACUUCGGACAUUAUAAUGAGAAUUGUAAAAGAUUAUAACCAGUAUGUGUUGCGUAACUUGGAUCGUGGAUAUACAAGAAAAGAGCUUGGUGUUAGUUUUGUGAAGGCAAGAUUCUUUUUGUUUUUUAUAUAUUCAGUUUUCCUACUAUGUAAUAUGGCUUUGUGGGUUCUCGUCCCAAAUUGACCUAGCUGUUGAGACGGUAAGCUUUCCAUGGUGAAAAAAAACUCAUCUUUCUGAUUUUGUUUGGUAUAAAUAGGAAAAGCGAUUAAGGGUGAACAUGAGAUUGAAGAAGUUUCAAGAGAAAGUGAAGGAACAUCAAGAGAAGGUAGGAGAGAAGGUAUGUCAUUCUCUUUUUACUAUAUAUUGUUCUGCUGUAAUUGCAGGAUGUAAUGGGAGAAUUUGCAUGGACUUAAUUGGCCGCCUUAUCAUAAUUUACUGAUUGCAAAAGUUCAGAAAUUUGGCAUUAAGAGGGAACUGAUUUACUGAUAAUGUUCUCAGCUUCCAGUUCGAUAUUAUUUGUGUUGCUCCUGCUUACAUGGCACGUCUUGAGUUUUUAGACAUGUUAAACCCUGCUUCUAUAUGCAUAGCAUGAUGUAAUGGCACAAGGUACCCACAAGCCAUCACCCAUUUUUGGGAAAGAAAGCCAUCUCACCAAAUUAAAAAACAAUGUCAAAACGUUUUACUUAACGAAUGAAGCAAUAUUGUCAAAUUGACUGGACUAAAGUUUAUUAAUUAGGUAGUAGAAUUGUUAGAGCAAACUUGAUAGCUACUGCAAACAUUUGUUUGGGUGCUUGAUUUGAUGAAGUAUAAUUAAUAAGUCUUAUGAUCUUCAAUCUUUAUGCAUGCACCCUCAUACAUGCAUACAUUUACGAGAACAAAAGGUUUUUGUCUUGAAGUAACAGAUUCCUCCCUCCUGAUAUGAGAGAAAUUACUUUGGUUCUUGCAUUAAGCCAUCACCAUCCGUUUGCUAAUUACUAGAUUGUAAAUUGCUUUCACACAAUCCAAUGACUGUUUAUGUUUCUUACUGGUGGAUUUCUGACUCGGUAUUCUAGAUUCAAACUGUUGCCAUGCAUCGUAAUGAAUGGGUUGAAAAUGCUGAUCGCUGGGUUGCUGGAUUUCUUGAGAUGUUUGAAGAAGGUUGCCAUAAAAUGGUAAAGACAAUAUAUGCAUUACCACUUACAUAUAGACUGAUAUUUCUACAAGUAUAAACUGUCUUCAUCAUUUUGGUGUCCUUCCCCUGCGGUGUGGGAAUGUUUCAGGGCACAGCCAUCAGAGAUCGAAUUCAAGAGAGCUUACGAGGGCAGCAGUCGGGAGAAAAAUAUCUGCUGGAAAAUGGUAAGGUGGACAGCGAUGAUGGACAAGAAUAUUAUGAUGAGGAUGAUGACGAAGAGUACUACGAUGAUGAAGAAUACUAUGACGAUGAAGAAUAUUAUCAAGAGGUAUAUGGAAAAGAAGGGAACAGUGCGAACGAAAAGAAGGAGAAAGAAAAGGAUGAGAAAGAACAGAAUGUGAAAGUAGAGUAGUAGGUUGUUAUGGAGUUCUGUACAAUGGUAUAAGGUUGCGUUUGAUGAUAUAUGAAUUCCGUGGUUGAGAAGGGGGUCCGAAACAUAUGUUUAGUGUAAUUUCGCCUGUUUUUUUUUUUUUUUUUUUUUUUUUGUUCAUCGCCAGUGUGCUUAGAACUCCAUUACAUGAGACAUAGUUAUACAUGAUAGUGCUAUUUACCUUUGCGUUUCUGCUUCCAUUUUGGCCAACUUGAACUUGUACUUUGUGUUCUUUUUGCUUGUUCAGUUUUGUUGUUUGGUUAAUGGUCAUGCGCUAUGAUGUAUCUAGUAAUUGAUAUGAGACUAAAACCACUUAAUAAUUAAACACUAGCUUACUAUGGUUAUCCCUAUGCGUGUAACAUUUUUAGUCCAAAGAACUCGUUUGGUGUUUAGGAUUGGAUUGGAUAACUAGUUUUGGUGAAUGUUGAUUGAAAAAAUGGAUAUCAACGUCUACCCAUGUCCAAGUUAGGUUUGGCUUCUCUUCUGCAUUUGUCCACCUUAAAGACAGAAGAUGAAUUAGUCGUGAAACAGCUUGUGCCUACCAAUCCCAUAAAAUGGUACAAAUGGGAUUGAUAAUCUAGCAAGACAAAACAUGACAAACCAAGAAAUUGAAAUGUAACAUAAAGAUUUUUAUUGGUUCGUCUUAAGCCUAUCCAGUUCGGAGACGACAAUGAAAUUUCAUUAAUAAAUCAUAGGAAAUCACACGAAUGUGUUUAAGGCUUUUGAGCUAAAAUGGUCUUUGAGAUUGAUAUAACUCUUCACUUUGGUUCAUAAGAAUUGAAAUCGAAAGAAGUGGUCCUUGAGUUUAUUCACCAUCAAUCAUUUUGUUCAUUCCGUGGAAAUCUUUGUUAAAUAAGGAAAAAAAUAACAAAAAUACUCUCAAUUUUUGUCAAAUCAUUUUGGCCUAUUAUUUAGUAAAUUGAGGGUAUUUUUGUCAUUUUGGUCCUUAUUAAGAAAGAUUUUUCAUGGAAGGACCAAAAUUAUUGAUGGUAGACAACCUUAGGAACCACUUUUAUGGAUUUCAAAUCUCAGAGACCCACGUGAUGAGUUAUGCCAAUCUCAAGAACAAUUUUGGCUAAAAUGCCUUUUGUAUUCAUACAACUUUCAUUAAGGAUAACCGUGAAUUUUUUUUUUCUUAAGGGGCUUUUAGAUCCAAUAUAGAUUUUAGGAGUGAGUCCAGUUAUCUAAUUACAUGUUUUUAUUUCUUUUACUCAUUUUAUAUUUUUAAAAAAUAAAAAAAAUCAAUUAAAAUCUUCUAAUAUCAUGCAUUUUCCAACUCCAAAGAAUCUAAUUAAUAUCCUAUAACAAAAAAACUAAUAUACUAACAUAAAUCUAUAUUGAAAACAUUAUAUCCUAACUCAAGUAACAAAUAUAUGAAUAUAUAUAUUAUACAUAUAAGUGUGAUAUGAAACCUAACUAAAAGGUAGAAAAAACAUAAUAUACCUACAAGCAAGACACAAUAAUCUGUGACAGGUUGAUUAUGAAAAAGAAUAUGUCAUAUAGGUAGGUAAAUAUAAUUAAUCUGUGAUAUACGUUGAUUAUAAAAAUUAAAAAUAAAAUCUAUAAAUGGGGUUUAAAGCGAGGAAGAACAAGACAUUAAAAAAAAACAGAAAUAAUCAAAGAGAUAAUUAGGAAGAAGUUUAAUUUUUAUAAUAAAUCUUAUCAUUGAAGAGAUAAUUCUUAAUAAUAAAAUAAUUAGAUUUAAGGAAUUAGACUUAUUUUAAUAAACUGGACAAUUUCUACUAUUGGUUAAAAAAAAACGACUUAUAUCAGGUUUUCCUUUUCUUAUUCUUUUUAUUUUUUAUUUUUUAACUAUACAUUUAUCCACACACCUCUUUUUACUUCUCUCACACCCCUUGUUAACUUUUGUCAUUUGAUCUUCUUUAAUUCAUUCGAUCCGACGACCAAAAAUUAAAAGGGUGUGAGAGAAGUAAAAAGGGGUGUGUGGAUAUCACACCCCUAGUUAUAACCUCUAGCUCCCAUAGUUAUACAAUUAUUUUAGUCCAACAUGAUUAUAGAAAGAUUGUACUAUAUCACAUUUACUUAUCAAGUUUUGAUAAGAGAGAAAUGAUUAAUCACUUGCCUUGUCCCCAACUCUAUGUCCUGUAGUGCCUUCACAACCUUUUAGCCCUUUACAAUCUUAUGCUUGAUUAUUUCUCUUUCAAUCAACAUCGACAAGGUGAAGUGAAGCACAUAUAUUCAUGACCCAAUACACAUUGGCGGCAAUAAUUCGACUGUGAAUAGCAUAACCCAAAACAGAUUGGGCGGCAGGUGUAAGGGUCAAAGACCUUUGAAAUUGAAAGUACUAAUUAUGCAACACCUAUAUUUUUCCAGGUGAAAUUAAAUACCUUAUAUUAUGUGUUCAAUUCUACAAUCGAAUUGCCAAUGGGACAUUUUUAUUUUCGAUGUACCAUACAUAACAUUCUCGACAUUUUUAUAAGUAUUCAAAGACAAAUGUUGCAACGUAGAUGAAAUUCCUCUUUACAUAUUAAACCAAACUUGAAAACUUUAUUCAUCUUUCCCCGUUGUUACCAUAAACAAUGCCAAACUUGAUACAACGAAAGAAACAUAUGAAAAAUAGUUACUGCAACCAUUCAUAAAAUGAUAUUGAACUGUGCUGAAUAAAAAGUUAAAUUUGAUCAAUAAAACGACCCAAUGAAGUGUAAGAGGAACCACCAAACUCCAAGGCUUUUUUACCUUUUUCACUCGUCUCUUUCACUCUCUUCCUUGUAUCACCAUCAAGUUCCAUCACUUCCUUAAUCCCUCUCUCUAUUUCUUCUGCGCUCACCACUACUUCACUCUCCGUCUUAUAAUCCAUCUUAAUCUCCACUGCCAAUCCCAACUCCAACAGCUCAAAUGCAUUCGAUUGUUGCUCUGCGUACAUUGGCCACGUCGCAAUCGGCACGCCGUGCCAUAUACUCUCCAGAGCGGAAUUCCACCCGCAAUGCGACACGAAACCUCCGACCGCCGGGUGAGAUAAUAUCGCCACUUGCGGAGCCCAUCCUAGGACCUUCCCGGUCGUGGCUGUCCGAUCAAGGAACCCUUCGGGCAAGACUGCCUUGGGAUCCGCAUAGUCGCUUGGCAAGGUCAAGGUCCCCUUGGGCGGGGGCUUGCGUAGGGACCACAAGAACCGAAGCCCGCUGUGCUCCAGCGCGCAGGCUAUCUCUUUCACUUGGGCCUCACAGAAGCUACCCAUGCUCCCGAAGCACAGGAACAACACCGACAACGGGGGCUGAUCGUCAAGCCAAUCCAGGAUAUCAGACUUUUCUCUGGCCUUAUCCGGAGCCACACGAGUAUCAUCACUCUUCAGAUUCAACAGGGGCCCCACAGGGUACACCGGAGGGGUCUUACCGUCCGACAGGGAGUGAAUCGCAUGGGCUUCCAGCUCCGAGAACGUGUUCACCAAAAUACCCUUGGUUUCUCUAAACCUAGUUCCAAAGUCGAGGAAGAUCGCGGCGCCUUCCUUGUCCGAAAGCUCACUAGGGAACACUUUAGUGGGCACAGGGUUGACAAAACUCGGGAUGACCAACUCAGUACUCGAGUUAAUCAAUUCAUAGAUAUCCUUGUCGUGUUCGUUGCGAAGCGACGCGAGAUGCAACCAGAGCCCUAGCAUGGCGGCGCUGGAUGUGUAGAAGAGGAAAGAAGGAACUCCAAACUCGUUUGCCACGUCAAUCAUAGAGGUGCAGAACAUGUCAAUGACGAACCCGGCAAGAGCCCUAGGGUUUUUGGACUCGGACUGAGCUGAUUGAUCAGUGAGUAGUUUCGUGACAGCUUCUUUGACGUGGAUUUUGUGACUCUCAACGAAUGGGUUGACGAAAAAGGGGAAGACGAGUGGUAUGUCGACUAGGGUUUCGGGGAGGUUGAUGAAGUUGAUGCGGUGUGAGAUUGAAGAGUCUGUGUUGGUGAAGAGUUUGUCGAAGGGGAGCUUCAUGAUGAGGAUUGUGAUGAAGAGUUGAUCAUCUUGAGCGACGAGUUGCUUUGCGAUCUCAACCGUUGAUAUGAUGUGGCCAAUGCCUGGGGCUGGGACGAACACUAGCUCUGCUGGCUUCUUCAUUUCGAUUUAGUGUGGAAGAAGUAUUUUAUUGAAAUGCUAAGUUCAGCUGAAAAUCAUCUAUAUAUAUAAUACUACGUAGACUGCAUUUUAGUGCACGGUAUUUUAAAUAACAGUGGGACCUAUACUUGUAUUAGCGAGUUCUCUAAUACCAGUACAUUGGGGGUAUAUAAAUCAUAGAAUAAUUCUUGAUCACUCAAAGAUGAGGAGGAAUUCCUCCUUAAAAUGUUUCGUGGACGAUUUACAGAACUUCGUGUUAUAAUGAUCGAAAUAGUUAAUGAUGUAAAUCAUUAUGUAAAGAUCAUCUUUACUAAAAAAAAUAAAAUUAAAACAAAGUUUGUUCUAUCAAUCAAUUUCAGCAAAUGGAUAAAAAAGUUCGUAAUACUUUUACUAAUUUUGACUGAAUUUUAUAACACAACGAUCUCACUCUUUUUUAUUAUUUGUAGAGGUGAUCUUUACACAGUGAUGUAUAAUAUGAAAAAUUCUAAUUGUAAGUACAAAAUUGUGUGAAUCUGUAACAACGCAUUUGAGGAAGAUAUCUCCUCAACGUUUCAAUAGCCAAGUAUUAUUCCAUGUCCUAUAUAUCAUGUGCAUGCAUGGCCGGUGGUAUGGCGCUGGUGUUUUAAUUCCUGGAAUUUUUCAGAUAGAGGUGAUGAUGUCAUGCCUUUGCUGUCAUUUGCUAGUUAUUAAUACCCUAACUAGAACAUGCAGUUUCCAGUUGAAAAUCAAUAGAAAUUAAGAAGAGAAGAAGAAUGUUAUGAGAAUUAGCUGUGACCAUUUGUUAGGUAUACCAGCUGAUGGAAGGGACAGCAGUUCAUAUCAGUGAACUGAAUAUCCUCGUGGUUCCUUGAUUACCACACAACUAAACAACUAUACAUACAUACAUACAUACAUACAUACAUACAUACAUACAUAUAUAUAUAUAUAAAUAUAUUUGCGUGUGUGUGUAAUAUAUCUCUGAUGAGGAAGCGUAUAUUCUCGCAUAGGAUCCAUGGAUUACAAGUUUACAACAAACACGAUGCAUGUGGAUCUGAAGAAUGCAAUUUUAAAACGUAAAUGAUGCAUGUGAUAAUUUCAGAGUGCUAAUACACGUCUAUUUAGGCCAUUUUCAACCGAUCCGGCCAGAGGAUCAUAGGACCGAAAAUAGCCCUAAGAAGGUUAGGUCAAAUGGCUCGUGGGCCUCAUCGAGCCACAAAAGGAGAAUUGGGCCAACUGGCUUGCCCAAACUAGCCAGCUAGGCAACCCCAGUUGGUCCAGCGUUUUGAAUCCCAAUGGCUACUUGCUGACAUCAGCUAGCCGUUAAAUUUGAAUAAAUUUUUUUUUACAUUUUUUUAAAAUUAAUUUUUUUCCUAUAAUUACCUAAGCCAUUAAACAAUAUUAAAUAACAUUAAGUAACAUUAUACAACAUUAAACAAUAUUAAACAACAUUAAAUAACAUUAAGUAACAUUAAACAACAUUAAAAAAUAUUUAAUAACAUGAAACUUAAACAACAUAAAAAAAAUACUUAACAACAUAAAACUUAAACGCUUGCUCCAUGCUUCUUUUGGCCCAAAGAUGUGCAACAAGAUCCUGUUGUAGGUACUUGUUUGUGGCACGCAAAUGUAUCAUCCUAUCCAAAAAAUUAUUGAGAUUACAUAUCGACAAGAAAUCUAGAGAGUUACUCACAGAUCAACACAUGACACUCGAAAUCCGAAACGUAAAAUUAUUGAGAUUCCUUAUCGACAAGAAAUCUGCAAAGUUACUCAUAGAUCGACACGUGGUAUUCGAAAUACGAGACGUAAAAUUAUUGAGAUUCCUUAUUGAUAAUAAACCUGCAAAGUUACUCUAGGGGUGGGUUCAAAAAACCGAAAACAGAAAAAACCGAAAACCAAAUUGAACCGAAGCCGAAAAAAACCGAACCGAAGCUGCCAAAUCGAACUGAACCGAAUUUGGCUGGUUCGGUUUCAAUUUUUAAGGUCCGGAAACCAAACUGGACCGAACCGAACAGAAAAAAAAAUAUAAAUACUAAAAAACAUGCAGGCGUCAAGGUUUAAACCCCUUCCCUGCAGGUUGGGGUUAGUCGCUGCAAGCCCACUUGACUGUAGGCUUUGAAUUGUAAUAAUUGCACCAGUAAGUUAUUUAUAGGUUUCUUGUAUUUAAUGCUUUAUAAAAUUUCUUAACUUUACAAACCCUAGUCGUCUCACUCCCAUUUCCCAUUUCCCAUUUCAUAUCUCAAACACUAUCUCUCUCCCAUUUCCCAUUUUCGCUGCUUCCUCAGUCUCUCUCUCUCUCUCUCUCUCUCUCUUCUUCCUCUCUUCCUCCAAAUCACUCUCUCUCCAGUCUUCUCAUGUCCUCCUCCUCUUCUCCAAACCAUGAUUUUCCCUUCUUCCACACCAUGAUUUUCCCUCGCCCCUUUCGAAUCGGAACCCCCUCCAAAUUGGAAGAUUCUAAUCCGGGUUUUCCGAUCUCUCACAGGUAAUUUUCAAAUCAAAACGAAUAUGAUUUAUAAUUUUAUAUUGUGAUUUACUGAAUUAAAAUGGGUUUUUCUUUAUUUUGUUGGGAUUUUGUAUAAUCUUCCAAUUUGGCAACAGAUGCAUAGGUGUUGCCAUGGCUGACGAGAGGUUUGGGACUAAAAACAAACCGCCAAGGUAAAAAUCUCUCCUGGUUGGCUGCUAUUUAGUUCUAUUGGGUUUAUUUUCAUGGAAAAAAUCAAAGAAUUAACACAUGCAUGUGUGUUUUUCUCUUCGAGAACUCUCAGAUCCACAACAAGAAAGGCGCACUAACACCUAAUAAUGCCAGAUCCAUGGCAGAUUUGUUCCAGAUUAAAAAAAAAAAGCUUUAUUUGUUCAAGAUCCAUGGCAUAUUUGUUCAAGAAAGGCUCUCUGUGUUUUUCUCUUCAGUGCUCAAUCAAUCUUUUCAGAUUUGUUCCAGAUAAAAAAAAAAAGUCAUGAAAAAACGGAAAUCGAACCGGAAAAACCGAAAAAAAUUGAACCGAACCGAAUCGAAAUUUCGGUUCGGUUUCGGUUUUGGGAAAAAACCGAACCGCUUAGAACCGAACCCAGCCCUAAGUUACUCAUAGAUCGACACGUGGUAUUCGAAAUUCGAGACGUAAAAUUAUUGAGAUUCCAACUCAAAAAAUUAUUGACAUUCCAUCUCGAAAAAUUAUUGAAGUAGUUUAAUUUAAGUAACUAUAUUAAUUCAAUUAAAAUAAUAAAUUAUGUUUGGCCCUAUGGCCCCCUCAGUUGGAGAUGAUUUUUUGUCACAGGACUAUAUUUGGCCUAUGGCCCUCUCACCCCUUGCUUUGAGAUGGUAAGAAAUAUGGCCUGAUACUAUUCAUUAAAAUAUUAAUUUCUUGGAGGGCUAUAGAGCUAAAACGAGCCUUCUAGCCAUUCUUUGGUUGGAGAUGGCCUUAAAGAGAGAGGAUCCUUGCCAGAUCCUCUUUGUGGAUCCCAGGUAUCCUCCAAUCACAUCCGUUCAUCAUGCAUCGUGCGACCAGUUUUCGUCAGGUACUGUUUAUAUUCAAUUUUAAAUAAAAAAAUUUAUAAUGAUUUCUGACCGCACGAUGUACGAUGAACAAAUGUGAUUUGAAGAUCUCUGGAAUCCUCACAAAAAGAUCCGGCAAGGAUCCUUUCUCCUAUUUAAGUAGUUGACAGUGCUUAGGACCACCGAGGUUCUUGGUGCCUUCGCCAAUGAGUACAACUAGAACCUAUUGUGUUUUAGGAUGUUUUAUACAUACAUUAUUAGGUAAUAAAAAUGUCCUACAUUUUUAAUCAAAAAUUACAAGUUUAUAUCAUUUCAAUCAACAGUUAGCGAUUGUCACAUCCCGGCCCGGGCCCCCACCACAUCCCGGGCUCGAGUCCGUCAUAACACGAUAUUAUCCGUUUUGAGCCCCGACCACGCCCUCACGGUUUUGUUUCUGGGAACUCACACAAGAACUUCCCAAUGGGUCACCUAUCAUGGGAUUGCUCUCGCGCGAACUUGCUUAACUUCGAAGUUCCCAUGGAACCCAAAGCGAGUGAGCUCCCAAAAGAUCUCCUACUAAGUAGAGAUGAGAAUAUACAUAUAAGGCUUACAUGAUCCACUCCUCUGGACGAUGUGGGAUGUUACAACGAUAAUGGUAUCAAUAUCGAAAUAUUUGUUAACAUUUAUUCAUAAAUUGAAUUGUUGAUAUUCCUAUUAAAUAUAUUUUUCUACCUUUGUUAUGAAGUUGUUUGAUAGUCAUUUCGUUUUCAUUUUUCACUUAAAUAAAAAUUCAAAUAUUCCAAACAUAACGAUGAACAAAUUUGCAGAUUAUAUAUAAAAAAUUCUUUAGUGGGCCACAUGUGCAAUCAAUUCGACCUCGAUAACCCUUUCUUUUUCUUUCUAAAAGCAACGAAAGAUUCAUCAUUGAAUCAGAAUCUUGUUCACAAUUGAAAUGCUGGGGUCGGGAUUUGUUCACAAUUAAGACGGUCGUAAGGUUGAGUCGGAUCAUGGGAAACCCGCUUUGUUACCAAGACAGUAAAGUGAGAUUAUUGACCCACAACUAAUCACGGUAAUGAAAAGACGGUCGUAUCGAGCCCAACAGGAUCCUCCGGAUCCGUGAAUCGUGUGCAUUCAUUGCACAUCAUGCGGUCAGUUUUUGUCAAGUAUUGUUUUUGUUUAAUUUUAUAUAAAAAUAUUAAAAUAAUUUCUGACCGCGCGAUGUAUAAUGAACGGAUACGAUUAACAGAUUCCCGAGAUCCUCACAAAGAGAAUUCGACGAGGAUCCAAGUUCAUAUCGAGCAACAAAGAGCUUUGCGAUCUCUAACGAGGACGCAAUAUGGCCAAUACCUAGGGCAGGAACGAACACCAGCCCUGCUGCUUUGCUUCAUUUUGGAGAAAAAAAAGUAGUAAGAUAGAGAAAAAUACAGAAUUAUAGGUGCUUGGUUAAUGUGGAUGGAAUCAAAGCUAUACAUAUAAGUGUAUAUGCAUAUACAUAUAUAUGGGGCUUAGUCUUUGGAGACACAUGUUUUUAUGAGGUCCACUCGAUAACGUAUUUCAAAUACCCAACCAUCUAUAUUUUACGUCUUACUUUUCAGGUCAUAUCUACCAAAAAUUAUCAAAAUCCGAAACCAUUUGACCGUUUGAUUAAAUUUAGUGUUUCUUUAUAGAACUGCAUUCGUCUAGUUUCUUCACUCAAAUGAAUGUUUUAGUGGCUUUGAAUUUGUCUAAUUUUUUGCAGACAUGAUCUGUGUAAUGUACUAAUGGUUUUGAUCACUGAAAUACAUCAACGACUUGCUGACACCAAGCUAAAGUGAAAAUGUGGGGACCUCCGACCACUGUUCCUGCAGCACUACCGGCUGACAAAGACGGUGCCGGUGACGUUCGAGAUGAUGAAUCCUGCAUUGCCACGAACAAAACGAAGUUUACAUGUAUUUAACAUAAGUAAGGAACUCGAUUUUUUCCAUAAAGAGAGAAAGGAAAAAGCGCCAAAGUCACUUUAGGUAGAAAGUUAGAGAAGAAAAAAUCUCCAUACGACGCAACGAAGUUGAAAUUAAGCAAGUCUUGGCAACAAAGAAUACCCAGUGAAAGGACUUCCUCCCACUUCUGCACAGAGGAAAAUGUCCGCCUGCAGCUGCAGUACUAGAACUCCCCUUCAACGGGCAGUGCACGUCCGUUUAAGUUUUUUGACCGAGAUUUCGCGGCCAUAUUGGGUUUCCUCAUUUGCCCUGUAACCAUGACCAAAUUACAGAAUUUCUGUCACAGGAUUAUAACCAAUUUAACCAAAAGAACGAAAAGUUUAAUAUUUUCCUCGUUCAUGACUGGCUGUGACUCGGUAACGCAAGAACAAAUAUACAUGCUUUAUUUUAACAAUAUACGUAAACGAAAGUAUAAGAUCAGUGCAAGGUAACAUAUUGCUUCACAGCUUCCAUAUCGAAUCCAGAUGGCAUAUUCCGUAUUUGGGUGGUUGUGAGAAAUGACAGAUAUGAGAUCAAUACAUAAGCAAGGCAAAGUAUGAUAAAUACUGAAAUCCAAAUAACACAACGAUUUAUACUCGUUGAGAAUAAGCCUACGUUUAGUUUGGAGACGGCAACAAAAUUCCAGUAUUAACAAAGGAGAUUACAAAAGUGAUUUAACUCUCACAAACUGAAUACCGCAUACACCCAAGCUUACACAAUCAAGAAGAUAAGAGAAAUCAGAUGGGAGACAAGCCAAUACAAAGCUUCAAUACACAGAACAAGACAAGGAACUUCGGGUGUGGUACCAAUACAUAGACUCUUACUCAACUACUUAAUUGUUCUCGGCGCAAAACUAAAUGCAUACGUUCAAGUGUGCUAGAUAAGUCAAAUAAAAGAAAACCAUUGUACCUUGGGAAGUCAAUUUUAAUGGGCAGAUACCAGCCCUACAAACAUAAGGUGAUGUGAACGAUUUAAAGCCAAGUGACAACUUGUUCAAGAAAGCCACAUUAAUAUUGAGACAAAAGCCAACAAGGGUCUCAUAACUAAGGCAGUUAUAGUAGCCUUCAUGGUGAAACAGAUCACAAAACAUAAACAUUUUCAAGAGUUCUAAGUAGAGCGACCAAUAUAAUACGAGGCACCCAAGAUUAAGGCAAAUGGAAGAAAAGAAACAACCCAAGACUAAGUCAUGGCCAUGUGCAAAACGAGAAUAGGCAGAAAUCAUGCUUUUUAUCCUACCUGAAUAAUAUGUAACAGGUUUUUUCGAGAUGGCAUCAUAUUAACUUGAUCUGGCUUAACCGCCACUGUCCAGAGUUCACUACCAAAGACCAUGUGGAAAGACUUGAGCAGCAUCGGAGAAGAAUCUACGAUAAACAACUGCUGACCUGCACCAAGUUCCAAAUGAGAAAGAAAGUAUAUUCUAGCUGCAGAAACAAACAUCAUGAUACACGACAUAAAUGUAAGAUGAAGACAAACUCAAUAAGAAGACGUGCCCACUGACUUGCUAGAAACGAGGCAGUCUAGUUGUAGGAGAAUUCACGCUUUUAAUCCAGUCAUUAAGUAUGUAAUUUUAAGAAGCUAGAGAAAAUGCACCACAUAGAGGAUUAAUGUCGGAUCCGCAAUGACAAAGGAUUGAACCUAAGAAACUUACAUGAAGGACAGUCUUCCACGGAUAUAUACUUCUUGUGCAAAGGAGUUGUGGAUGCUGCAAUAUGAGCAUCGAAUGGUGGAUAUUUUGCAUGCAUAUUUGUCUAAGUUUACCACAUUGAAUGCUGCAAUACGAGCAUCGAAUGGUGGAUAUUUUGCAUGCAGACUUGUCGAGGUUUACCACAUUGAAUGACAGCACAAGCUGGAAAAGAAUCUUUUUCAAGUAUUCUUCAUCAUUCGUUAGGUUCCAAGAUUGCAUAUUAGGAAGAAUUGAGAGAAGGCCUAUAAACAGUAUUUUGAUCUUCACAGUCAAUUCCUCCAAAAUAGCAUAACCCAAAACACAUUAGGCGGCAGUAAUAGGUGUAAAGGUCAAAUACCUUUGAAAUUGAAAGUACUAAUUAUGCAACACCUAUAUUUUUUAGGUGAAACUAUGCGGUUGAAUACCUUAUAUUAUGUUUUCAAUCCUACAAUCGAAUUGCCAAUGGAACAUUUUUAUUUUCGAUGUACCAUACAUAACAUUCUCAACAUUUUGAUAAGUGUUCAAAGACAAGUGUUGCGGCAUACAUGAAAUUCCUCUAUAUCAAACUUGAAAACUUGGAGAGAUUUUUCUCAUCACUCAUAUUAAAACAUAUGGUGUACCACUUGUGUGUUUCCGUCACAACUAAACAUUUCUCCCAAACUUGCUACAACGAAAGAAAAAUAUGAAAAAUAGUUACUGCAACCAGUCAUACAAUGAUCUUGAACUUUGUUGAAUAAAAAGUUAAAUUUGAUCAAUAAAACACCCCAAUGAAGUGUAAGAAGAACCACCAAACUCCAAGGCUUUUUUACCCUUUUCACUCGUCACUUUCACUCUCUUCCUUGUAUCACUAUCAAGUUCCAUCACUUCCUUAAUCCCUCUCUCUAUUUCUUCUGCACUUACCACUACUUCACUCUCCGUCUUAAAAUCCAUCUUAAUCUCCACUGCCAAUCCCAACUCCAACAGCUCAAAUGCAUUCGAUUGUUGCUCUGCGUACAUUGGCCACGUCGCAAUCGGCACGCCGUGCCAUAUACUCUCCAGAGCGGAAUUCCACCCGCAAUGCGACACGAAACCUCCGACCGCCGGGUGAGAUAAUAUCGCCACUUGCGGAGCCCAUCCUAGGACCUUCCCGGUCGUGGCUGUCCGAUCAAGGAACCCUUCGGGCAAGACUGCCUUGGGAUCCGCAUAGUCGCUUGGCAAGGUCAAGGUCCCCUUGGGCGGGGGCUUGCGUAGGGACCACAAGAACCGAAGCCCGCUGUGCUCCAGCGCGCAGGCUAUCUCUUUCACUUGGGCCUCACAGAAGCUACCCAUACUCCCGAAGCACAGGAACAACACCGACAACGGGGGCUGAUCGUCAAGCCAAUCCAGGAUAUCAGACUUUUCUCUGGCCUUAUCCGGAGCCACACGAGUAUCAUCACUCUUCAGAUUCAACAGGGGCCCCACAGGGUACACCGGAGGGGUCUUACCGUCCGACAGGGAGUGAAUCGCAGGGGCUUCCAGCUCCGAGAACGUGUUCACCAAAAUACCCUUGGUUUCUCUAAACCUAGUUCCAAAGUCGAGGAAGAUCGCGACGCCUUCCUUGUCCGAAAGCUCACUAGGGAACACUUUAGUGGGCACAGGGUUGACAAAACUCGGGAUAACAAACUCAGUACUCGAGUUAAUCAAUUCAUAGAUAUCCUUAUCGUGUUCGUUGCGAAGCGACGCGAGAUGCAACCAGAGCCCUAGCAUGGCGGCGCUGGAUGUGUAGAAGAGGAAAGAAGGAACUCCAAACUCGUUUGCCACGUCAAUCAUGGAGGUGCAGAACAUGUCAAUGACGAACCCGGCAAGAACCCUAGGGUUUUUGGACUCGGACUGAGCUGACUGAUCAGUGAGUAGUUUCGUGACAGCUUCUUUGACGUGGAUUUUGUGACUCUCAACGAAUGGGUUGACGAAAGAGAGGAAGACGAGUGGUAUGUCAACUACGGUUUCGGGGAGGUUGAUGAAGUUGAUGCGGUGUGAGAUUGAAGAGUCUGUGUUGGUGAAGAGUUUGUCGAAGGGGAGCUUCAUGAUGAGGAUUGUGAUGAAGAGUUGAUCAUCUCGAGCGACGAGUUGCUUUGCAAUCUCAACCGUUGAUAUGAUGUGGCCAAUGCCUGGGGCUGGGAUGAACACUAGCUCUGCUGGCUUCUUCAUUCGAUUUAGAGUGGAAGAAGUAUUUUAUUGAAAUGCAAAGUUCAGCUGAAAAUCAUCCAUAUUAUACAUAUAAUAAAACCCAACACAAAAAGCACUGUUCAAUAACAGUGAAAGGGCGCAAUUGCCCUUUAAUUGCACUUGGUUUCCUGUUUUUGUCCUCCUUUGCACAGUAAAAGGACGACUUUGCCCUCGCUGGGCAAGUUAAUUGUUGCUGUAAAGUAUCUGCUUCUACGGCCGUUCUACAUCUAUUCACACUAUUUGUGCUUUUUUCCGUUUGGGAUUUCCGGGUUCUGGCCUGAAUUUUGGCUGAUUUCCACCCCUUUCGUCGCAACCUAUUUUCAGAUCACUGCGGAACUGAUCUUAUUUAGUAGAGGUGUACUUUAUAAGGACUUGGAUGGUCUGCCCUCCCAUUUCGGUGCCCUUUUCGUGCCCUCUUGUUUUGUGUGGUCACGGUUAAGCCACGUCAACAUUUUAUAUUGUUUUUUUAUAAAAAUAAUAAAACAAAAAGAAAUAGUAAUAUAAAAAGUUGACGUGGCUUAAUCGUGACUACACAAACAGAAGGGCACGAGGAGGGCACCGAAAUGAAAGGGUAGACAAUCCAAGUCCACUUUAUAAUCGUUAGAGAGAGAAAGAUGGCAGCGGCGGCAUUGGUUGGAGUUAGAGGUGUGUUUCAUAGGUGAAAAAAGAUAACAUUUUUUUAUUUAGUUAGAGGGUUUUGUUCUGUGUUUAGAUCUUAGCUAUAACUUGAUUAUUUGGUUGUCUUUUCGUGGGGGAAAUAGUUAUUUAUGAGGGUUUUGUGUGCAGCCUUUAAAGUUUAAUCUUGCUUUCAAUCUGUUUUAAAAAAAAAUUAUUAGAAAACUUCAUUUGAAUCCUUGGCAAAGAUGAUUUUUAGAUUAAAAUCAUAAGUAAUAUUAAAAUCUAAUUUUAGUCUAUUGAUACAUUAAUAACCUCAUUUAUUAAUUAUAUUUUGAUUUUUUAAUUAUUUCUCUUUUUUCUUUCUAAUUUUUACUGUAUUAAUUUUAUUUCAUUAUAAUUUUUAUUUUCAUUUCAUUUAUUGUAACUGUUGACCCUAAAAACUACUAAGCCUAAGUGGCGCGCAGGCCGAGUAAUUAGUAAGCUAACUACAUCAUUUGAUUGUAUGCGGGGCGUGCCAACUCGUCGGUCGAGGAGUAAAAUUUGUUGAUGUUGCGUUGGGUGCGCUGCUGACUUCUGAAUCCUGCGACUGUGGCCGAGGAAGGAACAUGUCUCGGCCUUCGGGUUCUAGAGCCUAAAGAUAAGGCUACUAGUUCUGCGAAGUUCACAAAUCGUCGGCGCCGUAUUCGGUCAUAGUGAUUAUAUUCGUAAGAGUAUAAGCACGCCGAAUCGACACCAGAGUAUAGGGACACAGGUACUCAAAACAAAUGUAUGUCUUGAUUGUGAAGGUGGACUCUAAAACCUACUUAAGAAUAACCAAUUAUAAACAACUUGGCGUUCAACGUGCCGAGCCCAGUAACUCGUAACACCUCACUUCGUUGAGAAGGCUAAUGAGAUUACCUCUGCCAAGAAGGACUCGAAAAUCCUUCUUGACCGAGACUUGGAUAGACAACCAAUUGGCCUCGACGUAGUGCUGUUUAUCCAAACUGAAGGUGCUCCGCGGUUGACUGAUUCUACGACAACAGUGCUGUUUAUCCAAAUUGAAGAUGUUCGCCGGUUGCCUUCACAGUGCUGUUUAUCCAAAUUGAAGAUGUGUUGGAGGAAAAAGAAAAUAAAAAUCUCAAGGUUGUUGAGAGGUUUCGCAUAGAGCGAGGGUUUAAGCAGGGCAGUUUGUGUGUUGAAUUGGAGGGGGUUUGUUCGAUGUCCUCCCUCCCUAUUUAUAGUAGCCAACCUGUAUUGGAUCCCAAUCAUUCUCGAAUUAGAACUCCUUCCCCCGAUCCAACAUUAUCUCGGCCAGUCCUACUCCUACUAGGACUUUGAACUUAACUCGUUAUUAGGCCGCAUUAAAUCUCAAACUCCAACAUCCUUAUCCUGUCGAAACUCCUUCUCAUAAUAGGACUCACCCACAUCCCACAGGUUCUCAACGGGAUAAGGCUAGCUUCGACCGUGCCUUCCAUGAGCUGGAUAACCCCUAAUGACACCUAAACACGGCCUCUUGGCCGAAGAACAAUUCUAAAUUCGGCCUGACCAAUAUUGGGCAAAGAGCAAUUCUAAACUCAGCCCAAACCAAUAUUUUUGGGCCCAAACAUUGCCCCCUCGCUUAUGAGGUCGUCGACCUAUACUCCUUGGUUCGAGCCUCGACCUUGAAGAAGUGAAACCGACCUAAGGACAAUCUCUUGAGAAAUACCACUAUGCGCAUUUAUGAGAUGUAACCCCACGAUCUCGAUUUCUCAACUGUCCUGCCAUAUGUCAACCCCCUGGUUACCCUAGCAGCCUUCAAUCAUGAUCCUCAAAAACAUGCGACCGCCGAAACGUCUCUCUUGCACUAAACCUGCCGCAACACGCCAUCGUGCGUCCUCAAACCGCAAAAACCUCGAUCUUCUCUCCUCGAUUCUCUGAGCAUGUAUAAUGAUUAGUAACUCUCCCACUUGAUUUUACCCUUGAUUUUGAAAAUCAAACGUUUAGCCUUCUAUCCCAAAUGUCUAUAAAUACCCGAAUCCCUUCCAUUCGUACCUCACACUUUCCAAACCCUUGAAAUUUUCUCGCCACCUUGCUUUCAAAACCUUCAAAAACCAGAAAACCAUAAGCUUUCAUCUCUGAAAUUUUUAGCCUUAUCAAUGGCCUCCUUCAUCUCAGAGCUCUCCCCCGAGUGUAACAAGUGCAAGGACUUCAAAGAUCGGAACACCAUCAAGACUUUGCGUUUCGAGGGUGAACUAAACUCUACUCACCAAAUUCUAGGCUCACUUUUCAAAGACACGGUGCCAUCAUCCAUCAUCAACCUAUUCAAAAAACACUGCUUGGCAAGUUUGCUGCAAGGAUUCGAUUGGUCAAAGUGGUGCGAGACAAAACCCUAAUGAUCCUGGCCUUCGACCAAUGUGAACUGGGUACCCUGGGCCGUACGAAUGGAAAAAUUCUUCGGAAAAUAGUGGGAGGCUCUUGGUAUCCACGACGCUAUUAAGUUCUCGACCAUGGAGAUUACCAUGGAUAAAGAACUCAUCAUGGUAGCUCUAAGCCUCUGGUGUUCGGCCACCAACACCAUGGUCCUUCCGUUCGGCCCUAUAACUCCCACUAUCCUCGAUAUCUCGGCUAUCAUCGUGACUCCUCAUUCCGACAUUCCAAUUGACGCCACCCUUAUUGGAUGCCCAUCAAACCUUGACCUCAAGGCGCUGUUCGACGAACGGGCCGUCGAGGCGUUGAGCCAAGAAGGUCAAGAGCCUUCAAAAUAGGACGUUUAGAAAUUACACAAAAAUUUUCUGAACUACAACACCCUUAUCCUCAAUUUUGCUGGUCGGGCGGAAGCGAAUCUACGGAAGGGAGAACACGAGGCCUUCCUAUUUUAUUGGUACAACAAGUUCAUCUGUUGUACCAAGUCGAAUAAAUGCUUGGUCGAGAAUAUGCCGGUGGUGGAAGCCCUGGCUAGUGGUCACUAUGUGGCGCUUAGUCCCGCCAUCAUUGCCAACCUUCUACGUUGCCUGCCCGAAACAACCAUCGACAAGAUCGACUCACACCAGAAUGGACCUCUAUGGGUGUUCCAACUCUGGCUGCAAGUUUAUUUCUCCACACUUCGGCCAGAAAUCUCCGGCCUCUAGUCUACUGUAGCACUCGGCUUUUAGUUGGCCCCUCGACCAGUGCCUCAUCACUGAGCUGAAGAAGUCUUUAAACACCUAUUCGGCUUGGACGUCAUUUCUGAUGACGAAUUUUUGAUAUGUCGUCGUCAAGAAUAUCCCCACUCCAUCAGACUUCCUACCUCGACUUGGAGUGAAAGCGAAGACACUGGUUUUCAUCAAAACUAGGGUCGUUCGUGUUAACUUGCGACUUUCCCCUCAGUUGCGAUGCUCGCCGAGCAAGUUGGGAAGUCUACCACCCUUAUUUUGUUGCCCAACAACUUGGCUACCUCCAAGGUUUUCUGGUGCCUCUACUUUCUUCCCGCUCCCUUCUAAGCCAAUGGCGCGUCUCUGGUUCCUCAGAAAGGGAGUGUAGAGACACCGAGAAAGAAUUUCAGGAACGGUGUAACAAAUUCUGCCUUCGACCGACUAUUCCUGAAUUUCUCGGCACCAACACCUUCAGCGAUUGGUGGGACAAAUAUGUUCACAACUUUUUUGGCACUUCGGUCGAGGUCGUAGGCAACAAAAUUUUUAGUAACCGACCCAAGAAAACUCCGCCCCUAAAUCUAAAGAGGCGUUCCAAGGUAUACCCUUGUUUCUACUUUUAUUCUUCAAACACUUGAACGGUUUUACUAACGAGAUUUCACUUUCUUAGGCGGUCGGGUAUUGAAACAGGCGGACGUGGUUGGCCCGGCAGUGGUCAAGAAAAAAUCAGCCCAUUCUUUCAAGAAAUCCAAAAUCGCCGCAUAAAAUACACCAAGCAAACGACUUCACGAGGACGCUGAAAAGGCUGGUGAAGCUCCCCGUCCCCCAAAACGCGUCAAGAAAUUAGCGAAGAAAGGAGCACGGGAGAUUCAUGUUAUCUCUAGCCACACCACUAGGACAACUGCUCCUAGCGCCCCUCAUCCUGCACUUAUUGUUCAGGCCUCAGCGGAGAAUCGGCCAUCUUCAACCAGACGGCAACCCAAGCUCAACCAGCACCUGAAGUCUUCGAGGUCGUGGUUGAGCCAGUUGUCGUACUGCUGGUCGACACGCCUGCAGCUCCAAGGUCGACCGUAGAACCUGUACUGGGGAAGACAACCCCUUUGAUAGGGAAAAGUCUCCCCAAGAAUCUAAAACAAUCGACGAUCAUUUUAGAAGAGGUAUGACUAUGUUGGCCACUCCAUUUACUCAUUAAAUUCACAACUAUAAUAACUCUUUUGUUUCAGGAUGACGAGAGUAACGAGACUCUACUGGUGAUUCGCUCUUGGUCGACCGAAACUCCUGUUGAUCCUUCUCCUAUGGUUGCGACGGCCGACCCGGUUGAUCCUCCUGCAGCCAAUCGUGGGAAAAUGCCCAUUAUUGAACUGAAGCGAUGUCGGAAACUCUGAUUCACCCGCAGGACCAGGACCUCGGCAUCCCCUUUCAGUAAGUGACCUCGGCUUUUUUAAGGCUCAACUACUUUCUCUUGUCAAUUUUGUUAUAACAAGUCUGAACCGAGAAAAAUAUUAAAUGUCAGGUGCCUAGUUAUUCAUUUCACCGAAAAUUCUAUGUGCCGAAGGGUGUUAUCUAUAUUUCCUGGCCACCUCAGUGGCCAUCGAACGUAGAUAACCUUCAUCGGCCGCGUGAAUUAAGAAGCAGUCUGAAACAUUAGGCUCAGCCAUUAAGCUCUCUAGGUUCCAAUAAUGAACUUGGAGACAUGGUCGAAGUCUCCUCUCUGCAGGUCUAAAACAAAUCCUCCAUUCUACAUUCUUUUAGGAUUUUCCUUGCGCCUAAACUAUUUUCUUGUGCAGCCUUCAUGGGAAGUCGAGUUUGAUGCUCUCCUAUCCAGCACUUCAGGAGCGGCUGGUCAUUCGGCAGCUACGACUGAACCCACCAAAUGGACUGUUCUUGUUCGGUUGUAGGAGAUUUUGUCUCUUUCAGCUUUGAAAGUUUUCGAGCGCAAGGGCCUUGAUUUGGUGGGUGUAUGUUUGAACGAUCUCGGAGUUAAUGGUCAAUUGAGCGCUGAAGCCAUCAUUCAAGCAUCGUCCGCCUUGGAACGAACUCGAGAAUAUUUCAGUAUUUUUUAGAAAGCUCUUCGGGCUGACGAUGACUUGAAAGCUGCAACAGCCAGUUGAAACGCUCUUCGUCUGAAGGUCAAAGUUUUAAAGGCGAAAAAAGAAACCCUGGCCGACCUUAACCGUCAAAUUGCCAAACUUCAAAAUCGAAGGUCGGUAAUUGCUUCUGAGCUUGAGAAAGAUUUUAAGUCAGGCGGAAAAUCUUGCUUAACCGAAUACGCGGCGAGCAUGAAGCGAGUUGAGCAGUUGAAGAUGGACAAGAGGAAUCGGCAAGCUGAGGUCACGAUGGGCGAGGUGAGGUGGUUUGAGCUGAAGGCUAUUCUUGAAUCUCUUCUUCCUUCAUCACCCUAGAAUUAUUUGAUUGUAAACUUGAUCGACCAAUGAAAUGGACUUAAUGAAAUGAAAUGAACUUUUAUUCUCACAUCUCCCAUGUGACUGAAUAGUAUUUCUUUAAAAACCUUCCAUUGAUUGGCAAUUUGUGAACAAUACUGGUUCGAUCUCUAAAAUAGUAUGCCCCUUUAACGAGGACUUUAUGAAUAACAAAUGGCCCAUCCCAAUUCGGCAACCACUUGCCAAACCUGGGGUUUUUAAUUUCUACGGGUAGUACGGUUUGCCAAACCAGUUUUCAUUCGCCGAACAUUUUUUGCUUAACUCGUUGAUUAUAUGCACGCUCAGCGAUCUUCUUUUGAGCCACUAAUAAGUUAUAAGCAUUAAACCGAGCUUCUUCUAAAUCAUCUAGUUCUUGUCUCAUGACUUGACUGUACUCAGCGCUGAACAAACUACUUUGUUCAAUUAUUCAUAAUGAGUUUAUACUUAGCUUGACUGGUAACAUUGCGUCGUGUCCAUAAGUUAACGCGUACGGAGUCGUUCUAAUGGCUGUUCGCAAAGAGGUUCGAUAAGCCCAUAAUGCUUCGUUUAUCCUUAAGUGCCACAUGCCUGGCCUUUCUUUUAUCAUCUUUUCAAGAAUACCAAUAAGAACCUUGUUACUUGCCUCGGCCUGUCCAUUCUCCUGCGGGUAGUAUGACGUAGAUUACUUGAGUCGAAUCUUUAGAUUUACCGUAUAGUCCUUAAAUCUGUCGGAUGUAAAGAUUGUACUGUUAUCUAUUAUGAUUGUUUCUGGCACACCGAAUCUAGUUACAAUGUUUUCUUCAACGAAGCUACAAACCUCUUUAGAUGUUAGCUCGGCAUAUAACUUAGCUUCGACCUAUUUGGUGAAGUAGUCCGUUGCAACAAGUAUCCACGCGUGUUUGGCCACACCAGAAGAUGGUGUGAUUUUACCGAUAACAUCCAUGACCCAUCCUCGGAACGGCCAUGGUUUGGUGAUCGAAUGUAAUGAUUCGGCCGGUACUCUCUGUAUAGGCCCAUGAAUUUGACACUGUACACAACCUUUUGCGUACUCAAUACAAUCCUUCAGAAUACUUUGCUAGAAAUAGCCGUGUCGUCGAAGUAGCCAACGCAUUUUUCGUCCAGAUUGAUGGGCUGUGCAAAUUCCUUCGUGUACUUCUGCCAUUGUUUGAGCAGCUUAUUACGGGCCGAGGCACAGCAACAGUAACCCAUCCUUACCUUUUUGAUACAUUUCAUUCUGGUAUAAUACAUAGUUUGUGGCAUGAACCUUUGUCCGUCGGUGGUGUUUUUCGUUGAGGUUAUCAAUAUAUCGUAUAAUCAUCCUUCUCCAAUCGUCUGGUAAUGACUCAACGACACUAACCUCAAUACUAUCAUUCCGUUCUAACAAUGAAGGUAAAGAUAUGACUCGUGUAAGGAUCAUGCAAUCAGGUUGGAGAACUUGCUAAUUAAUCAAGGCCGAAUGUGCUUGUCGUGACACAGAUAUUUCUCGGCCUAAUUUACCCCCCAUGAGUUGGGCUCUCGGAGGCUAUUUGAGCCAAUUCGUCGGAGUCAGUGUUAUGAACUAGUGAAAUAUGUUUGAAAAUUACUCCGUCAAAGGAUUCGGCCAAAUAGCUGGCAACCAUGUGGUAAGACGCCAGAGUACAACUCAUGCAAUGAAAAGUCCCAUUAAGUUGAUUAAUGACAAGUUCGAAGUUGCCAAGAACAAGAACACGAGUUGCCCGUAAAUCGUGCAGCACGCCGAGGUCGAUAACAAGGGCUUCGUAUUCGGCCUAAUUAUUCGUACAAUCGAAAUCAAGCUGGAGAGAAAAAUACCAACGAUUAUGAGUGGGGGAUUGAAUAACGAUCCCAAAGCUAGCUGAGACUGAAAUACUGGAACCAUCAAAGUACAUCGUCCAGUAAUUAUCACGUGUCUGUAUCAAGUCGAUGUCAACGUCAUUGCCUUCAAACUCAUAUGGGGAAGGGUGUUAGGCCAAAAAAUCAGCUAGGGCUUGACCUUUGACAGCUUUCUGGGGUAAAUAUUGCAAGCUGAAUUAAGAAAGGGCCAUUGUCCAUUUGCCGAUUUGGCCCUUUACGAUCGGCCGAGUGAGCAUGUAAUGAAUGACAUUAGUCUGGGCGAUGACCUGAGUGACUGACGGGAACAUGUAAUGUCUGAGUUUUGACGCGGCAAAAAAUAGGGCAAGACAAAGCUUCUCGACCGCGAAGUAAUUAAUCUCGGGCGGGUUGAGGUUUCGGCUAAGGUAAAAAAUGGCAUGUUCUCGCCCGACGUCAUUAUCUUGUGCCAGAAGGCAUCCGAUGGAUUCUUCGACCACCGAGAUAUAUAGCUUAAGAGGUCGACCCUAUCGUGGUGGAACGAGGAUGGGUGGCGUCGUUAGAGAGACUUUGAUCUGCGUGAAGGCCUCUUGGUGCUCGACACGCCAUUCGAAGGUGUCGGAGUCAUUGAGUUUCAAAAGCAUGGAAAAAGCUUUCAUUUUCCAAGCUGAGUUAGCAAUAAAUCGUCGAAGAAAGAACUGAGCAACGACUGUAAUUGUUUCUUAAUCGUCGGUGCUCAUUAAUGAUUACGCAUGCCUUGUUGUCGUCUACCUCAAUACCACGGUGAUGUACGAGGAAGCCUAAAAAAAUUUCAGCUGAUACGCCGAGAACACAUUUGGUGGGAUUCAUCUUCAGAUUGUGCCGGCGCAUGCGCAGGAAUGCCUGACAGAGGUCAUCCAAAUGUGUCUGCCGUUGUGCUGAUUUGAUGACUACAUCGUCGAUGUAGACUUUGACGAUGGUACCAAUUAAAUCAUAAAAAAUAGUGUUCAUAGCUCGUUGGUAUGUAGCACUGACAUUCUUGAGACCGAAGGGCAUGACGACCUAUUUGUAUGUGCCGAGUGCCCUGGGACAUCGAAAUGUAGUCUUAUGAACAUCAGCUUCGGCGAUGACAAUGUGGUUAUAACAGGCAUGCCCAUCCAUUACGGAUGGGAUCUUGUGAUGUGCUACAACAUCAAUUAGCAAGUCGGAGAUCGGCAUCGGGUACUUAUCUUUAAGCAUUGCCAGGUUCAGAUUAUGAAAAUCGAUACAGAUGCAUAGGACGCCAUUUUUCUUUAGCACCGGGACGAUAUUGGCCAGCCACUCGAUGUAUCGAGUGGUCCGUAUAAACCUGACUUUUAAAAGUCAAACUAAUUCAUCUUUUAUGUCGAGUUGUACUUUAGUCGAAAACCAACGAGGGGGCUGGUGGAAAGGCUUACAACCAGCUUUGAUGCAUAAUUCAUGUUCAACAUGGGUCCGAUCAAUGCCCGACAUCUCAUGAUAACUCUAAGGAAAACAAUCUUUAAACUCGUUGAGUAAUUAACAGAGUUCAACUUUCAUAGCAUGGGGUAACAGUGCACUAAUAAAUAACGGUCGAGGGUCAUCGACCGUUUUGACAUUUAUUUCCUCUACUGGGUCCUUAACUUGGGGUCGACUGUCUUCGAGUUUGGCCGGUACGGCUUGAACUUUGUUUAACGACAGUACUGGGCCAUUAUCUUCCUCGGCCAAAAAUUCAAUUAAGUUGAUGCCUGAAUGUGCGUGCUUGGAAAUAGCAUACCAAUGGGCCAAAAGACGUUUCAUCGUGGAUGAAAUCGCGGCCCGACUUCUCUCGCCUUCGACGUAAUCAUCAGUGGUAAGGAUCAAGUUGGCCAAGCCGAGUCUUGCCGAAUCCUGAUGGAUAGUCUCGGCACCUACCUCGAUGGCUUUCUGGACUGAGAUUCGAGUCGACCGUCCAUCUUCAUUAAAACCCUGUAGGGUAAUGUAGCCGACGUGAUCAUCAUAAUAACGGGCCUGAAUCAUAUUGGUUUCAAAUGGCUGAUUAUCGGCUGGGUGAACCAUGACCGAUUUCCCGUCCCAAAAAAUGAGAACUUGGUAUAAAGAAGAAGGGAUACAAUUCAUUUGAUGAAUCCAAUCCCUGCCGAGCAAAACAUUAUACUCGGUCUUGGAGUCGAUGAUAAUAAAUACGGUCAUGUGAUUGCGACCUGCAAUGUUCACCUCCAAAUGAAGUAUUCCUUUGGUUUGAGACUUGUCACCAACGAAGCUGCUCAUGGUUAUUCCUGAAGGAAUGAGUUUGUCAUUGGAUUGUCGUAAUGCUUUCAUGAUGGAUACAAGCAUGAUAUUGACUGUUGCUCCGCAAUCAACGACAAUUUUGAAGAUUGGGUAACCUUCAAUGUAGGCCGUGACAUAUAACGGCUUUAAAUGCUAAAGAUUAGCCGAGGAGGAGCGGGGAAACAAGAUGGCCAGGGUUGUCUUAAGUUUGUCGUCAUUGUUUGUUGGCUCAUCUUCAGUGGUGGUGACGAAAUCAACUUGUGUUGCUUCCUCGGCGACCACAUCACCAUCCAAGGAAUUUGGUUAGUGUGUAGUUGGCUGGAAUUCAGCAGGUAGAACAUGAACCAUGCUGAUUUCCAUAUUCUCAAGGACUGAAGGGCCCAUUGGAUCCUGGUCAUCAUCUUCCGAGUUAUUGAGGAGUAUAACAUCGUGCAUUAGAGCAUCCUCGGCCUGAUGGUCGGGUGUCUCAACAGGUACUUGCUCUUGCGUCCAGGAUCCCAACCUUGUUUCCUUGGGACUGUAGUUGUUGAGCCCGUUUGUUUCCAGUGCCUGACUUUGCUCCUGCAGUGUUUUUCGAGCACGUUCUUCAUAGGAGAUUCGGGCGUCCCUUGUGUCUAGGUAGGUAUCCAAACGUGUCACCCGAUCUUUCUCAUCGGUCGUUAGAUCGAAUAGAGAUACGGCCAAAAAGACUUCGAAGUGAUAUCAUAGGCGUUAAAGGUCUUCGAGAGAAAAAGAGAGUUCGGCUAUAUCAAUGUCCGUGUAUGGAUCGACCUCGAAGCCAAGAACCCUAGCCUCUCGUAUGUACUAGAAUCUAGUUUUCAUUGCUGGGUCGGUGGUUUUUUUGAUGAUCUGUUCAGCAUCACGGCAGGUUAGUGCUAGGUAAAGAGCUUCUUGACACGCAUUGGGUAGUCCAUACAAAUCAUUGGCGGAAUACUUCUUGUGAAACUCUUUCAUGUAUUCCAGGGAUUCACCAAGGAAUGGAGGGUGUAGAUUCCGCCAAACUCUUAUUAGCGGCUCUUUCGGAGGUAACGAGGAAAGUUGGCUUUCGACUUCUUUCUUAAACUGCUUAAAGCGAGCUUUCAUCUCCCCGGGCCGAAGGAGGAGUUUGAUGCGUUUCUCAGACUCUUCGAUGGUAGUUUCGUAGUCACGAUUGAUUUCCUUAUGCCCCUGUAAUUCAGCCAUGAUUGUCGAGGUUGGCCGGUCGUCUCCGCUUCCUACCGUCUCUUUCGGCUGCUAUUUAGUAGCCGAAACAGUCUGGGCCGCCUGCCGUCGAGCCAUACAAUCUAUACGCUGACGUUGACGUUGACGUUUUUUAGAUUUAGACAGCGCAAUAUACAUGCCGGUGGGAGAAUUGUAACUGUACCAACGUUGGUCACGUGGUUCGGGCGGUUUGAAGGUUUUUUUAUUUCCUGAUGAGCUUGAGCUAAUGGAAUUACGUGAAUAAUAAUCCUCGUUAUAAAAUGAUGCGUCGAAAUCAAUGUACCGUCUGACCGAGGUAGGGCCGUCCGUUUGUUUCUGAGGGCCGAGCUUAUCGAACAUUUUCUGGCGCUGGCCUUCACUAGGUUUCUUUGGAGGCGCCACCGUGGCCGUAGAUUGUUGCCGCGAUGUCGGUGCCUGAGUCUGAGACAGUUUCUCCUUGGGUUCAGUUAAUACAACGCGUGCCCUACAAUUGCUGCACAAAACUAUCGGCCCGUCACUUUCUUCUACACUGGAAUCUGACAUGGAUUCAACUACAACCGGUCCCAAGAACUUGGUAGGUGGUUCAUUGGAAAAUAGGUCGAUCUUGAGUCAUGGCUGGGAAUGUUUCUUUGGGAUGUGUUGUACUAGGACAAACUCGACCUUCCAUUUCCCUAUACUCUUGGGCAAACGGGUGUCUACCAUGCCAACUUUUGCCGAAGGGAAUGGAUCAGUGUUGACCGUCAUUCAUUUUUCAGGAAACUUUAGCUUGCCUUUGUCAAUCUAGCUUUGGAUAUCAUCACAUAAUACGACGCAGUUGUUUGUGGUAUGCUUGAUCGAGUUAUGAUACUUGCAAUACGUCUUUCCUUUAAGUUAUUCGGCCUUGGGAAUGUUAUGUCCUAGUCAAAGUUUGAUGAUCUUUGCUAAUAACAAUUGGUCGAAAAUUGCCUCAGCCUUUGUGAUAUCGAAAAUGUAAACUUUCGAUGUUUUCAUCGUCCCUUUAGUGGCCGAGCGUGUUUUGGAAUCCUUGGAAUUAAUUUGAGUCGGUGCCUUGCAAAUGUAUGGUUUAUCUAUUACUAUCUCGACCGCGUCCACGCUGACGUAUUGAGAAUCUUCACUUUCGGUUAAUACGUAGCUGACCGUGGGAUUUUUGUAAAUCGUUCAUCGGGAUGGAGAUUUCGAGAUCUUUUCUUCUUGGAGCAAAUAAUCAUAUUGCUCAACAUGCUGGGCUAAUUCAUACAUAUCCCGAAAGUUUUCCCCUAAGAAUUUCUUUUUGUACUCUACAUCGAGCCCAUUUAGAGCAAGCCUAACAAAUUCGACUUCGGGGAAAUGUACUCAGCACCAAUUCCUGGCCGAUUUAAAUCUUGUAAGAUAAUCCAUUGGUGACUCAUCAGAUGCUUGAGCCAUCCUAGCCAAUGAAUAAACUGACAUUUCCAUCCCCGACCCAUAAAACUGUUCGUGAAAUUUCUUGACCAACGCCUCCCAGCUUUAGAUAGAAUUAGGUAGGAGGUUGAUGUACCAUGCGAAUGCUGAACCUGUCAACGAAAAGUUAAACAACCGUAGUUUAUGAAAAUCACAAUUGACAUAUCCGCAUUGCGCAGUGAAACGAGCCACAUGUUCUAACGAGGAUAAGGACGAUUCUCCAGCAAAAAGGCUGAAAUCUGGAAUCCUGAAACCUUUAGGAUAUUCAAACUUUUCCAUAUAAGCUGGAUAUUGGUGGAUGAAUUUUAGGAACUUCGACCCUUUUUCCAUAGCUGAAUUGAUCAUCCAUUGGACCUCAGUCAUAUCGAUGGAUGUUGUUUCCACUUUCUGGUCAGCUUCAUGUGACCUACUACUUGAUCCUCCCCUUUUUUCUAAAUCAUUCGUUUUGGGCCGAGUAGACACUGUUUCAGCCUGUGGCGGAGUACUUUUAAGUGGAAGCUGCCAAGCCUGAUCAACCGGUCUUCUGUCGAAGGCUUUGUAAACCAAUAGUUCGAGCAGUCUGGUAUGGAUCUCACCAUUGUUUCGUAUCACCUCGAGCAAAUUGUUCAUUUUUUGAACAACUGUCUGUUCAACCUGUCGAGAUUGCUCAUCAAGUCAUCUUCGGAGAAACGACCUAGUUGGAGGGUCAGAGCCUUCCCCACCGUCUUCGUCGCAGUCCUCCAAUAUUCAUUCAAUGAAAACGCAUGCGGUUUGGUUAGGUACUUCUGUGUUUUGAGGCUGAGUACCGAGGAACACUUCCUUUUCUAGUGUUUUACACUAGCAGCAUUAGGGGUCAAAGUGACAAUAGGAUUUUACACAUGCGACACCUCUUGUCCAGGACUCUAAACUAGCAGAUCGGUCGCUGAUUUUCCCAUGGUUGUUUUCUUUUUUACUGACCGUGUCUCGAUGGUCAUGAACUUUGUAGUUUUAGCACUGGGUCUCACUGGGCGUGCCAAAAUGUUAACCCUAAAACUACUAAGCCUACGUGGCGCGUAGGUCGAGUAAUUAGUAAGCUAACUAUGUCCUUUGGUUGUAUGCGAGACGUGCCAACUCGUUGGCCGAAGAGUAAAAUUUGUUGAUGUUGUGUUGGGUGCGCUGCUGACUUCUAAAUCUUGCGACUGCGGCCGAGGAAGGAACACGUCUCGGCAUUCAAGUUCUAGAGCUUGAAGACAAGGCUACUAGUUAUGCGAAGUUCAUAAAUCGUCGGUGCCAGAUUCGAUCACAAUGAUUAUAUUCGUAAGAGUAUAAGCACGCCGAAUCGACACUAAAGUAUAGGGACACAGGUAACAAAUGUACGUCUUGAUUGUAAAGGUGGUUCGACCGUCAGAAUGCCGAACUCUAAAACCUACUUGAGAAUAACCAAUCAUAAACAACUCAGCGUUCAACGUGUCGAGCCCAGUAACUCAUAACACCUCACUUCGUCGAGAAGGCUAAUGAGAUAACAUCUGCCAAGAAGGACUCGAAAAUCCUUCUUAACCGAGACUUGGAUAGAAAACCAAUCGGCCUCGACGCAGUGCUGUUUAUCCAAACUGAAGGUGCUCCGCGGUUGACUGAUUCUACGGCAACAGUGCUGUUUAUCCAAACUGAAGAUGUUCGCCGGUUGCCUUCACAGUGAUGUUUAUCCAAACUGAAGAUGUGUUGGUGGAAAAAGAAAAUAAAAAUCUCAAGGUUGCUGAGAGGUUUCGCGUAGAGCGAGGGUUUGCGCAGGGUAAUUUGUGUGUUGAAUUGGAGAGGGUUUGUUCGAUGCUCUCUCCCUAUUUAUAGUAGCCAACCUGCAUUGAAUCUUAAUCAUUCUCGGAUUAGAACUCAUUCCCCCGAUCCAACCUUAUCUCGGCCAGUCCUACUCCUACUAGGACUUUGAACUUAACUUGUUAUCAGGCCGCAUUAAAUCUCAAACUCCAACAUCCUUAUCCUGUCAAAACUCCUUCUCAUAAUAGGACUCACCCACAUCCCACAGGUUCUCAACGGGAUAAGGCCAACUUCAACCGCGUGGCCCAUGAGCUGGAUAAACCCUAAUGACACCUAAACACGGCCUCUGGGCCGAGAACAAUUCUAAAUUCGGCCCGACCAAUACUGGGCCAAGAGCAAUUCUAAACUCGGUCCAAACCAAUAUUUUUGGGCCCAAACAGUAACAUAUUUUGUUGUAAACAUUUAGAUAAAUUAAUUUUUAUUGUACAAUAUAUUUUGAUGUACUUUGUCUUUUUCAUUUAGGUACAUUAAAUUCAUGGGAAAAUUAGAAUGUCCUACUGUUUUUCUAUAUCAUUUAGAUUAAACAUCUGUGCCUUUUUAAAAUUUGAUUAAAGUGCUUUGACCAAUAGUCACCUCUAUUUUUUUAAAUUAAAAUAAUUUUUUAAUUUAUCCUUUUAUCUGCAUGAUGUACUUUUCCUUAUUUAGUGGAGAUAUUAGUAAUUAAAUUAUAUUUUUUCUUCUUCCAAAUAUGUUUUUACAAUCAUAGUUUUUUUUUUUGUUAUGCAAACAUUUAAUAUUAUUUCUUUUUCCAAAUGAUUUUUUCCUUUUCAAAUAGUUGGUGAUCAACAUAAAAGCUUCGUGUAAUUUUUUUUCAAUUUUUUGUGAAAUUAUAUAUAUAUAUAUAUAUAUUUUUUUUUUGGCUGUUUUUUUAAGUAUAGUUGUUGACGAAUUACUAGUAGAUACAAUACAUUACGUAUAUAUUAUCUGCAGGUACGUUUGAAUUUACAAAAAUCAUUAAUUGGUAGGUUUAUUUGCAAUUUUGUUACGUUUGAUUCAAUACAUAUUGUUAAUAUUGGUACAUUAUUUUUAUUUUGUACACAUUGUGUAUUGGUACGUUUAUAUUAUUCUCAAUCCUAUUUUCUCUUAACGUACUAAAAGAAAAACUUAUUUCGGUACGUUUGAUUUUGGAGGGUUUAAAAAUAUUUUAAACGAUUUUGGAAAGAAAAUAUCUUAAAUCGUAGAUAAUUAUUGCUAAAUUGUAGCAUUAUUGUGAAAAUAAAUUGAAUCUUACCAUUUUUUUAACAAUUAUCUCUAACAGUGGAGAGUGUAAUCAAAAGGCUAGAUUAUAGGAAAUUUGUUAAAAUAUAAUGUGCAUUUAGCACCAAAAUUAUGACAAAAAAAAGUUUAAUCAAAUCACUAAAAAGUAUGGAUGUUUGAUCUAGAAAAUUCAAAACUGAAGUGCCUAUAUCAAAAGAUCCCUAAAUUCAUUAUAAUACAUUUCCAUACAUACAUUUAUGUACACAUAUUUUCAUACAUACAUUUCGAUACAAACAUUUAGAUACAUUAAUUCAAGAUAAUAUAUUUCAGUACUAAUAUUUCUGUGCGUAGAUUUUGAUACACAUAUUUAGGUACCUUAAUUUAAUAUAAUACAUUUUGGUGCAUAUAUUUCGGUACAUACAUUUCGGUACUAAUAUUUAAAUACAUUAGUUCAAUAUAAUACAUUAUUUAGGUACAUUAAUUCAAUAUAAUAUAUUUUGAUACUAACAUUUCAGUAUACAUUUCAGUGCAUACAUUUAGGUACAUUAAUUUAAUUUAAUACAUUUCAAUGCAUAUAUUUUGGUACAUACAUUUCGGUACUAACAUUUAAGUACAUUAAUUGACUCUUUCAAGUUUGAAGAAUGUUAAAUAAAAUUAAUAAAUAAAAAAAAAUUGGUCAAAAAAAUGAAUUAAAAUUUGUAUAUUAAUAAAUUUAAAUAUUUAAUGGGAGACAUUAAAUAAAAUGCACAUUAAUUAUUUUGAAUUAAGGACACAUAAGGGGAUUAUGAUCAAUAUGUAAUCUAACACCAAUUUAUUUUAAAUUUUAAUAUUUUUAAAGGAUUAAAAUUAAAAAACCUCAAAUUUUAUUUUGUCAAGUCAUGAGGCAUGGCGUCGAUGAAAUUGUUUGGUGUGGUAUUGUUUCUUUCUUUGUAUUAAUUGACCUUUUAAUGUAUUUUAAGGCCUGUAUUAUAGAUUUGUUUCAUAUCAAAUCUUAAAUUAUCGGUGUUAAUAAAAUUGAUUUGGUUUUGUAGAUCAGAAUUUUUAAGCAACAAAAUCAACCUGCAAAUUCAGUUCAGGUAUGAAUGCUUCCGCUUAUUUAGAUUGUUGAAUUGAUCUUUACCUUUACUAGAUUUUAUUUUUCAAUGUUGUUUGCUACAUUAACGUGUUACUUUAUUAUUAAUAAUACUAAUUUGGUUUUGUAGAUUAAGAUUUUUAAGCGGGAAUCAAGUUCAAAAUUCAAUUGAGGUAUGAAUCUUUUUGCUUAUUUGGGCUAUUGAAUUCAUCCUUGCCUUUACUGCAUUUUUUGACUGUUGUUUGGUGCAUUCUGGUAUUGAUUUUAUUAUAAUUUUAUGGAUUUUAAGUGGUUAUUUGGAUUUUGGAUUGUGAGAAGGAUCUGGUGGGUUUUCAAGAUAAUCAAAUAAGUUUGGGAUUUUUACCGCUUCUCUCUGCAUGCUUCUAGCUGUUAUAUAUAUCAAUUGUUUGCAUUUUUUUUUCUUUCGUUUUUACUCAAUUUUUUAACUUUUUCUCAAUGUGUGCUUCAUGUAUGUUUCUCAAUUGUUUGAAUUUACCUUUUGCCUUCAGUUUUUACUGAAUUUAUUGACUUUUUGUGCAUGAGUUAAUCUAUUUGUUAUAUGUCAUGGUUAAAGGUUUGGUUUCUUUCUUUUUUCUUUUUAUCAAUCCUCUCUCUUUACAAUUUGAGUUGAAUUACAAUGGGAUGUACAUCAAAGGAGGCUAAAAAGCAGUCUAGCCCCAGGAAAAGGCCAUAAACAAAGCAAGGAAAAAGACCAGUGGUUAAAAAGGCUAAGUAGUCCGAAAGAGAUUUAUACAAAACAUAAAGUGCAACCUUUGUCCAAAUCUUAGACAUCCCACUAAUCCAGAAAAAUACAAAAUGAUAGCUAGCUACACCUUUGCUUCAUUUUUCAAGUUGAUAGGUUACCCUGAGCCCCUCAAAUAAUUAACAAAUCAUCCAAACGUGUUUCACGUUGGUAGGUUAUCCUGAACCUCUUAAUAAUUAACAAAUAAACCAGCAUGCUUUCACAGUGCAUCUACACUAUUUGGUUCAGGAAGUGAUAAAACUGAAAGUUGAACAAUGUUUAUACAUCAGCUCCCACUAUAUCGUUAACUUUUAGCCCUCAAGUCUUAAUUAAGUUUUUGUUUUUUCUUUUGUUAAGUUUUGUCUGCAUAAAAACAAACUCACCAGCUCCCACUACAUCAUUAACUUUUGACACCCACAAUUAUUUUGAAUUAAUAGCACAUAAUAAAGCUACUUUAAUUUUCUUCUUUGGGAUUACUUUAAUGAUGCAGGCAUCCUUGGUAUUAUCUUCUCUGGGAUUACUUUAAUUAUGCAGGCAUCCUUGGUUUCAUUGCCUUGAAAAUGCAUGCAAUCUCGGACACGUAACAAAGUUGCUCACUUUGAUGAGCAAUUUUCCCUAUAAAAAAAAUUGAGUGCACCACAUCACAGAUCAUGGCCCAUAAAUUAUAAAAAUAGUAACGAAAACCUACAAAAGCAAGUGCCCCUUAGUUUACGUUUAAAUGUGUGAACAAAAGUCUAAAAUUAUGUGAAAAGUUUAAAAGUGUGUAAAAAAAAAGUUUAAAGAUGUAUGUAAAAGUCUAAAUGUGUGUUUAAAAGUCUAAAGCUGUGUGACUUAUGCUUAUUCUGCUAGGUUGUAUAUAUGUAAAUUAUGCUUAUUUGACUAUGAGUUUUGGUUUUAAAUCUUGUAUUGUAUUUUUCAUGAUCUUUACAAAAGUGAAAGGCAACCCUUAUAGAGAGCCGAAAAGAAGAUUACAAGAGGAAGGCAACAACCAUACCUCACUAACAAAUCAGUCCUAACAAGUGGACAAGACAAAUAUUAAUAACAAGUAAAGUGGUUCCUAGAAACAAGGAAGAAAGAUUGACAAAAGACCUAAGUGAGUGACAAGGUAUGGAAGACUAGAUUAUGGUUGAGAAAAUCACUUUAAGCCAUACUUAGCUAGAGUGAUGUUUACAACCAAACUUGUGACAUACAAACAACUAGCACUGGAAUUCGGUUUGUUUCAAUACUCCCCCUCAAGAUGGAUCAAGGGGGUUAAUUGAUCUAAGCUUGCACAACAAACGCUGGAAUUGAGUAGAAUCUAAGGCUUUUAUGAACAAAUCAGCCAGUUGAUCGUGGCCUUGUGUGAACACUGUGUCGAUCGCCUUGGAUUGAACUUGAGCACGAAUGUAAUGGCAAUGAACUUCAAUAUGUUUAGUCUUCUCAUGGAACACUGAAUUAGAGGCAAUGUGCAUGGCAGCUUGGUUGUCACAAAACAAAGACAUUGGUGUGUUGCUUGUGAAAUCGAGAUCAGAAAAAAAUACCUUUUAGCCAUAUAAGUUCACAUGAUGUCGUUUCCUUGGCCCUAUACUCAACUUCUGCUUUAGAUCGUGCAAUUACGGUUUGCUUCUUACUUUUCCAAGUGACAAGAUUACCUCUAACAAAUGUGCAAAAACCUGUGGUAGACUUUCGAUCAAUUACAUUUCCAGCCCAAUUAGCAUUGGUGUAAGCCAUAAUGUGAUUUGAACCAUUGUUCUUCAUAAGUAUUCAUCUGCCUAUUGAGCUCUUGAGAUAACGAAGUAUUCUUUUGACAAUUUCCCAAUGAACUAGUGUAGGAGAGUGCAUAAACUGAAUGGCUAGGCUUACUGAAUAAGAAAUAUCAGGCCUAGUAAUGGUUAGAUAAAUGAGUUUCCCAACCACUCGCUGAUAAACACUAGGAUCCGAGAGAGGUUCCCUUUUUCAUGCAACUGAAGUUUGCUAGCUAGGGGUGUCCGAGCUAGAUUGCACUCCAUCAUGUUAGCUUCAUCCAAAAGAUCUAGAGCAUACUUUCUUUAAUUCAAGAAUAACCCCUUGGAAGAAGUGGCCACCUUAAUUCCAAGAAAGUAUUUCAGGGUCCCUAAGUCUUUGAUGGCAAAUUUUUGAUGAAGUGAUUGCUUAAAAGCUAUGAUUUCACCCACAUUAUCACCUAUAAUAAUAAGAUCAUCAACAUAUAUAAGUACCACUAAUUUCCCAGUAUCACCACUUCGAACAAACAAGGAAAAGUCAACAUGACUCCUUUGGAACCCUGCAGCUUCAAGAACUGAACUGAGCUUCGAAUACCAAGCUCUAGGGGACUGUUUGAGACCAUAUAUGGCUUUGUGAAGUUUGCAGACCUUGUUGGAUUCCUUUUCUUUUGGAUGACCCGGAGGCAACUUCAUGUACACUUCUUCUUCAAGCUCCCCAUGAAGGAAUGCAUUCUUCACAUCCAUUUGGAAUAAAGGCCAUGCAUUAUUAACUGCCACAUAUAACAAUACCCUCACAAUGUUCAUUUUGGCAACUGGAGCAAAGAUCUCCUUGUAGUCAAUGCCAUAGGUUUUGUGUAAAACCUUGAGCUACUAACCAUGCCUUAUGUCUCACAAUGCUUCCAUUGGAGUUGAACUUGGUCUUAUAUAUCCACCUACUUCCCACUGAUUUCUUGCCCUUUGGUAGAUCCUCCACACUCCAUGUCUGGUUAUCAUUCAGAGCUUGGAGCUCUUAAGUUAUAGCAUCUUGUCACUCAAGCAUGCAUGAGGCUUCAUGAAAAUUCCUUGGUUCAAAAUUGUUGGAUAAUUUGUUAAGAAAAGAAGCAUGAGAUGGUGAGAAUCUGUGGUAAGAAAUGGAUGCAGAGAUAUGAUGCCUUGCAGUGUAAGUAGUGUACUCUUGCAACCUUACUGGUGAAUGUCUAUCUCGUGCAGGAUUUCUCUUUGGUGCACUUAUAACUUGCUGAGUUGGUUCAAGUUCUGAUGGUCCUGAAGAGUUAGCUAUGCCCUCACUUACACUCUCAGUGGGGUGAGAAUUCUUAGUAUUGGUAUGGGCAUGAGUGACUUCAUUAACUUCUGCUAGAGAAGGCAGUGGAAAUAGGUUCAUAAGAUCUUCCAUAUUGGGAUUAGUCUCUAAACCUUUGUGGAAAUAAGGUGAAUAUUCAUCAAAUUGAACAUCUCUAGAGACUGCCAGCUUCCCAGUAUUAGGAUUGUACACCUUGUAACCCUUUUGAGAACUGGAGUAUCCCAUAAACACACAUUUGAUAGCCCGAUGGUCGAGUUUAUCACGAUGGGAAGCUUGAAUGUGCACAUAACUGGUGCAACCAAAGGUCCUGAGGUAAGACAAGUUUAUAGACCUGCCCUUCAUGACUUCGAAUGGAAAUUUAGUAUUCAAAACAUGAGUUGGCAGUUUGUUAAUUAUGUAAGUGGCAGUGAGUAGGGCUUGAGACCAAAAUUUCUUGGGAACAUUCAUUUGGAUCAUAAGUGAUCGAGUCUUUCCCAAUAAGUCUCGAUUUUUCUCUUUGCCACAUCAUUUUGUUGUGGAGUACCAACAUAGUUAGUUUGAUGCAAAAUGCCAUGAGUGCUCAAGUAACUACUCAUGUUAUUGGAAGUGUACUCAGUGCUAUUAUCUGAUAUUAACAUAUAUAACUUACAUGAGAAAUGAUUUGUGAUUAGGUUGUGAAAGUUUUUAAAAGCAUCAAACAACUCACUUUUAAACUUUAAAAGAUAUAACCAGGUCACUUUAGAAUAGUCAUCAACAAAUGUAACAUAAUAUCUAUACCCAUCAAAGGAUUCUAGACGAGAAGGACCCUAGAUAUCUGAGUGAACAACCUCAAAAAGUCUACUGGUUCUAGAAUUAGAGGAAACAAAAGGAAGCCUAGUAGCUUUUGACAUUUAACAAGUUUCACACUCAAGGUGUUUUUAUAAAAAACAGGAAACAGCUUGGUCAUCAUAAGUUAGAGGGAUAGGUAAGACGUUGGUGCCAGAGUUGAUGUUCCUGAGCUUGACUUAAGUUGACAAUGAGUUUUUUGACAAAUUUGGACUCCUUUGAGAGGUAGUAGAGUCCAUUUAAGAAGAACCUUUCACCAAUCUUCUUCUGAGUAACUCGGUCCUGAAACACAACAUUGUGAGGGGGAAAAUGGUAAGGCAAUCUAAAGUUUUAGUGAUUCUUCCUAUGGACAAGAGUUGAAAAGGAAAGGAAGGUACAUAGAAGGCAGUGGAAUCAGUAUGCUUACUCAGCAAUCUAACUUUCCCUUUCCCUUUAAUAGGUUCCCUUUUCCUAUUUGCAACAGACACAUGAAUUGGAUCACUAGUUUUUUUUAAAUUCAUGUAGACUAGAGGAUUUAUUAGUUUUAUGAUCAGUGGCACCUGAGUUAAUAAUCCAAAAAUCAUGUGUAACAUUAGCAUUAAAAGCAGUGGAAAUGGCACUGAUUAUACCUGGAAAGUUACCUUUCGAUGUGUUCUCCGAGUCAGCCAAGAAACCAGCAAAUUUCCCUAACAUUGCAGUAAGGUUUUCAGUUAUCACUUCCUUAUGUUCAUUGCUUCCUUGCUUCUUUUGAAGAAAAACUACAAACUCAUUGAUCAAGGAAAUGGGGUUUGUUGAGAAAUUUGCUAUCUCAUCAGCUGAGGAACAAGCUAAGUGAAAGGCUUUUGGAGUGACUCCUUUUACAUCUUUGAUCAUCCGGCCUUCCCUAUCAAACUUAGGUUUUAACUCCAAAUGUAGGAUCCAACAUUUUUCUCUUAAAUGUCCCUUCAUGUUGCAGUAAGAAAAUUUCCAGUCAGUUUUCUUCCCAAACACUCUAUCACCAGUUGUCUUGUGAUUGGUUGUGAAAACCCUAGCCUUAUAGUGAGAUUUGGGCUCAACAUUCAUCACUUUUCGUCGAGUUUCUUCUCUCUAGACUGCAUGACACACACUGGUAAAUGAGGGCAGCUCUGGAGUCAUUAACAAAUGACUACGCAGGUCUUCAUACUUAGCUCCCAAGCUUGCCAAGAGUUGAAACACCUUAUCUUUUGCAUCCCUCUUAAAAAACACAGCGAAAUCAGUCGUGUGUAGACAGUACAAAUUGAGUUCAUUCCACAUGGAUUUCAAGCUCCCAAGAUGUUGAAAAUGAGUGGUCACCUUGCUUCAGACUAGCAACAUUCUUCUUUAGUUGAAAAAUGCGAACUAAGUUAUUUUGGCUACCAUACAUGUCUAUGACAGACUCCUAUAGAAGAAGGAAAUAUUUUGAGUAGCUGAAAAGCUCAGACAACUUUGGCUCCAUAAAGUUAAGUAUCCUGGACAUAACCAACUGGUCAGUAGCUUGUCAUGCAUCAUAAGUUGAUGAAGUGGAUUCUGGAGACUCCGAGCUUCCAUUGAUAAACCCUAGUUUUGAUUUUCCUCAUAGGGCAAGCGACACAGCUCUUGACUAGUUGAACUCAUUUAGUAGCACCGAACACAGUCGUUGAUUUGGGAUGUUCUCACUCCCUUGAGUUAAGUUUGGGGGUGAAGAUGAGGAGCUAUCAGCACUAGAGACAUUUUCUUCUACCAUCUCUUUCGAUGAUGAGCAAACGAAGAAGAAAAAAAAAGUGGACAGAGUCAGGACCUUAUGGUUCUUGCUCUGAUACCAUGUUUCGUUUUGGUUUUAAAUCUUGUAUUGUAAUUUUCAUGAUCUUUACAAGAGUGAAAGGCAACCCUUAUAGAGAGCUGAAAAGAAAGUUACAAGAGGAAGGCAACAACCAUACCUCACUAACAAAUCUGUCCUAACAAGUGGACAAGACAAAUAUUAAUAACAAGUAAAGUGGUUCCUAGAAACAAGGAAGAAAGAUUGACAAAUGACCUAAGUGGGUGACAAGGUAUGGAAGACUAGAGUAUGGUUGAGAAAAUCACUUUAACCCACACUUUGCUAGAGUGAUGUUUACAACCAUACUUGUGACAUACAAGCAACUAGCACUGGAAUUCGGUUUAUUUCAAUAGUAAGACGCCUUGGUGCCAGGAGAAGAGGAUUUCAUCUAGGAGUAGAACAAGAGGGCUUCAUUGGGCAUGUUGUUGCAGAUGAAUCCAAUGAUGAUGGUGUUCCAAAGCACGGUGGAGGGGCGAGGCAAAGUGUCGAACAGUUGGCGGGCAUGGUGGGGUUGGCCUUCCUGACAGAGCUUGCUGAGGCGGGAGCAGAUGGUGUGGGUUGUGAACUUUGGGAGGGAAAUGAUUGGGGAAGAGAGGUGGUUUGGGGUGGUGGGUGUGGAGAGAGGUAGAGCAAAAGCAGAGGAGGCCAUGGCUAUAAUGUUGGGUGAGUUGUUCUGUUAUUUUCCCUCCUUAUUUGUGGAUUGGGAUAUUGUUUUGUUUGGUUGGUCCCUCAUGCUUCCUUCAACUGCUUGUGCGCUUUAACUGAAAAUUUAACUUUCAUUUUCUAACCUUUUUCCCCUCUUCACAAAGAAAAAAAAGUGGUCCGACAUGCACUAGAUGAAUAAAUGUGCAUUCAAGAAUUCAUCAAUGAAGAAUUUACAUAGCAUAAAUGAUUUUUGAAAUUAUUCUCAAUCUUUACUUACCUGUGUUUACUAAAACAUGAGUAUCAAAAUUAUUCCAACACAAUUUAUUUUCUUCAACUAAAGUCACUCAAGCAUAAGUUUCCUCUUCAACUAAAUUUAAUAUCAAUUGUCAAAAUUCUCUCUUUAUUAACAUCUCAUUGAAGCACAAAAUAUCAGUCGACUUAAUCAUAAUUUUGAAAAAAAAUGUUUUGACUUCAAACAAAAUACCCCUAAUUUAAUCUUCUUCAUGUUUUGACAUUUUUUCAACAAAAGUAUGGAAUGAUUAGACGAGAUUGUGGCAUGAAACACCAUUUGAAUCCACUACCUUGGACUCAAAGUUCCCAAUUGGAGAGCUUGUGGCAUGGUGUGCCUAUAGUGACCUGGCCUAUGUAUGCAGAGCAGCAGCUAUAGCCGUUCAGAUGAUGGAGAAAUUUUUCUCUGUUUCUAUAACAUAAGCGGUAUACCACUUGUUGUUAUAUAAAUGGUGAAAAAAUGUUAUUUUUUACGUUAUUAUUUUUUUAAUACAAGAAUCUCACCACUUGUAUAAGAACACGUGGUGUACCACCCGUUGUUCCGGUCACACUGAAAAAUCUCUCCAUAUGAUGAGUGAUUUGGGGUUGGCCGUGGAGCUGAGAUUGGACUACAGAAAGGACGGUGGUGAUCAUUUUGUGGUGGCGGAUGAGAUUGAGAAGGCUGUGGGGUAUCUGAUGGACGGUGAUGGUGAGGUGAGGAAGAGGUUGUUGAGGAGUGAAGUGUGUUGGAAGGCAGUUGGAGAUGGUGAUUCUUCUUCUACUUCGUUUAUAUUGGAGCAAUAUUAGAAAAUAUGAAAAUAAUAAAAGAAUUUCAAUGAUACUAAUCAUAAAGAAAAAACAUCAAGUAUGCAAGAUUAAUACAAACAACUAGAGAGAAAGUAAGAAAGAUUGACAAACUUGGAGAUUGAGGUUUGCAUAAGAAAGAUUGACAAACUUGGAGGUUGAGGUUUGUAUAAAUGCAAUGUCCUAAAGACAGAAUUUCAUCCAUACUCUUGUGCUUAUAGUUUGGUAGGUAUCCGUCUCCUAGGAUUCAACAAUCUAUAAUCCGAAGUCAAAGCACUUCAAUCUUUGGACUCUGACGAACUUUAUAUAUUUUGUACUCUCAGGACACGACUCAGAGUUUGACUAACAAAGAAUAAAAGACAUUGGAGAAAACUCUUUUCUUCGAUUCAUUAGACAUGUGGGAUGUUUGAGUUUAUAUAGAACUCAAGCCACCCCUUUCGAAAUAUAGUGAAUGUUGUCUAAAGUUCCAAUGAAUAGAUGCAACUUAUGAAUUUAAAUUCAACCAUAACACUUGCCUCUUAUUUUUCAUUUAUACAGAAAAUAAAUAUUAUAAAUUAAUAUUAUAAUAUAUAUUUUCCAACAAUUUCAACAUUUGAUUGAGGACCAUUAUGUUGUCAAGCCUUGCUAAUAAAGAAGAAUGGUAGCAUCAGUCGUACACGUGCUUAGGGCCAAGCAUAGUUGCUCCUAUUUUGGAGAACUUACAAAAAUUAAUGGAUUGGCUCAUUUAGGUAUGUGCGACUGAUCUUAGCAUUUCUCUUCGGUGUAAACAAUUGGUUUUGCCUCCUGAAUGAAAAUUGUAGUGCAAAUUUUAUUAAUGCAUGGAUUUUUAAGCAAAUUUAAGUGAUUUCCACACUACUCUUUUUUCUAUGCAGUCUUUCAAUUUUUUUUUUUUUAGUAUUUGAAUUGAAUAAACAAAAAGAGAUCAAGAAGUGUAAACAAGAGAAGUGCCGAAAGAGAACGUGGAAUGUAAAAAACACAAGUAAAUUUCUUUUGUGGUGACAUAGUUAAUUUUGAAAGAACGUGUGAAAAUCACUACCCAAAAAUUGAAAGACAAAGAGAACAUAUUUCUCCUACAAAGCAAUGCUUGCUCUUAUUGACAGAGACAAUUAAAUGAAAUUAGCAAAUUGAAUGAAACAAUAAAGAAUUGCAAGUGAGGAACAAAUUAAGCCUUCAAAUAUUUCCAUCUGAUCUCAAAUAAUUUGAGAGCCUCACAUGAUCCAUGGGAUCUCUCUUCUUUUUCUUGAAAUGCUUUGAGGCAGCUUUAAGCACCUUAUUCCACACCUGACCAAUAACACAAACUUCAUAUGCUAAAUUUACUACUUCAACAAUUAAGCCGUAUUCCACUGAGUAGAGUUGGCUGUAUGAAUUCUAAAACGCAAGUGCGCUCGGCUCUACGUAAGAAUUUAGAAAAAAACAAACAGAGAAACCAAAAUUACGGAAGAAAUUACAAAAUCAACUAAUUAAAUUCUCAAUCUUUCCCCAAAAUUUCCAAAAUUUAACAGAAAGAGCUUGUAAAAUGUGGCCCAUCUCUCAAAAUUUCCCUGAAUCUUAAUUUGUUUUCCCAGAAAAAUCUCAGAUUCUCAAUAAAAUAUGAAAAACGAAAAAUCUAAGAACACAGAUAAAAAAAAAAGCAGUACCUUUGAUGCAAUGGGGUUACAGUUAACCUUCACAGGAGUUGGAAAGAAGUCAGAGGCCAAAACCAUCUUGCUUUUCUUCCUCUUCAUCACCUUGUUCUUCAGAGCACUCUGAUUCAGAUUGAAACAAGUUGCAGUUGUGGAGAUCUUCUUUUUCUUAAUGCCCGAACCGGCUCCAGUGUCAACGAGGCUGCUUUUCUGAUUCUUCACCUCCAACCCCAUCUCGAAAUUGAGCUUUCGCGGUCUCCAGAAAUCCAAAUCCAAGUCCAUAUCCAAAUCCAUGGGAGCGUAAGCCCGGGGGACCAACGGGGACCAUAUCGAGCUCUGCGUGUAGUCGAAAUCAAAAGCGGAGUUGUCCGGGAACUUGCAGAGGAGCUCUUUGGACAUCACUGGCUGCAGAUACUCCACCACUUUGCAAGUGCUGCUCAAAGCUAAAAAACUCUCUCUCUCUUCUUCUUCUUGUUGUUUGAGUGAAGUGAGAGAAAAUGCUUCAUCUUCUACUGCCAUUGUUGUAGGGGUAAAGCUAAGUUGGUGCUUUUUGGUCGCAAAAGAUGAGAACUUUUGUGUUGGUGAAGUUUAGUUUUGGUGCUUGAUAUGAGCAGAUAUAAGGAGAAGAAGGAGAAGACAAGACAGGAAAGUUACCGUUACAUUGACUAUAUUAAAAAUGUCGAACGGCCAAAAUACAAUGUCGUGUCUGACCAAAAAAAAAGCAUUCUGAUAUGUCGAAUCUAGGCCCAAACAUCUGAUCUUUUAUAUUUAAGCCCAGUUUUUAUUGGGUUUUCUGAUAUGAAAAGCCCAAAACAAUUUUUUUUUUUCUCAUUUGAGAUUUUACAUUUCUAGUUGCUCUUAAGAAAUUAAGAUUGCAAGUAAUUUGUAGCGUGACUUUUCCACUCAAAUUGUAACCCUUAUUAUAACACGUUAAAUAAUACAUUACGUGGUUUGUGUUCCUAAUUAUAAUUUUUUUUUCAAGAUUACAAGUAUGACCCUUCAAAAUAAGGGAUGUGAUUUCCAAACUCACUUGUUUUUGCCCUAACCCUUGAAUUGAAUAAAUCAAAGGGAGUCGUGUAGAAGGAGAAAAUGAGGGUCAAAAUUACUAUUCCAACAUAAAGUUAUAUAAAAAGAGUCUACCCAUGGUGUCGUGUCAAGUGUCAAAUAUCAAAAAAUGAAUAGGCGAUUGAUUUUAACACUCCUCUUUUGACUACUGUAAAAAAUUCGAACUGUAAAAAACUAAGAAAAGUUUAACUUGGUUAUUACAUGAUGAGUAGUACAACCACAAGAGUUAAACCUCAAUGUGUUUUACCUUAAUCUUUCUCCCUAAACAUGUUCACACAAAUGAUGUAUAGUAGUUUCUCCUCUGUUUUUUCCUAGGAAGCUUGCUUUGGGGACGUUUGGGUGCAAAAGAUGAUGCCUCCCUCAGAAGAUAAGGAGGCAUCCAACGGCCGAUGACAUCCAGUACUAGGCUUUCAGCUACUUCCUUUGGAGGGAUGUCAGGCCAAAACUCAACUCGCUGACGCUCAGUAGCAAUCCUGGCUAGCAAGUUAGCAGCAAAAUUGUCACCCAUGGUGACCGAGCGGAAUGUCACACUCUUCAACUUUUGCAAGUCAUGAAUGCAACGAAAAACAAGCCCCCGGGUCAAGGAGUCGGGUAUCUUGGUCUCGCCUGUGAUCAUCUCAAACACAAAUGGAUGAUUACCUUCUAUCUGUAGGUAAUCAAUUCCUUCAGUUAUCGCAAAGUCAACUGCCCGGGAGAAAGCAGUUAAAUGUGCCACUACACCGUCGCUGACCUUGCCAGAAGGUCCAGCAAUGGCAGUUUUGAACACAGCAUUGUGAUCUCUCACAAUGCAAGCAAAAGAACCGGUCCCUGAUUCUGGCUCAUGGUGACCAGCGAAGCUGAUCUUCCAUGCAUUAUUGGGGGGGCGAAGUCCAUGAAAUGUGCUGGGCAAGCACUAUCUGAUUAGCAAAUAGCAUAUCUAGGAAAGGGCUUGCAGCCAUAUUUGUUUGUACCGAAUGAGGCUAAAGCUUAGCAACUAACACACAAUGGUUCCUAACUCGAACACAGAGACCCAAAUUUAUACUAUGAGUUUACCUAAUCUACUCGUCCAAAACAGGUUAUCAUGCCAUUUCAGGUUAUACGUUAUAAGAAAGGUAAAAAUCGUACUUUGGAAAGGGGCCGUUGAGUACAGUCCAUUGCUUUCCAAAUGCGAGAAAUCUACCAAGUCUAGACAUGCUAGAGAUGGCAAGAGUCCGUUGCCAACGGUGUCAUAAUUUUGUAACAUUUUGAGCGAAAAAAUAAUUGACAUUCCGAAUAAUGAACAUGACUGGAUUUUCUUAUAAAACUUGAGAACAGUUCAAGGGGUUGUUGGCAACGGUCAUAUAACUUAUUGUCCAAGUUUAGUGGCUGUGUUUAAAUUUGAACUCUAAAACAUAAUCGAACAAACCAGGUAGGCAACUUCUUCCCAAAUUGCCGUAAGGAGGAAGAGUUAGGUUACAAAUAGCAAAAUAUCAUUGCCAAAUGGUAACAGGACUGCCAAAUUAUAACAGGUUGACAUCGAAUGCUUAAUUCAAAAGAUAUCAACAAGAAUAACUUCAAGAGCUACGGAGUUAUAGCCAACUAAGUGUGAUUAGUAAAGGAAAGAACUUCUUCUUUAGCAAAUCAAGUUACGGGGGUUUAUGUGGAACUUAAUUUUAUGUGUUCUUGAUAUUCAUAGGGCCUUCUAGUGUUCUUAGCUAGAACAGAAAGUCAGUACCUACUAUGUGUCUGCAAUGAAAUAUACGAGAGUAUGACAUGCCAGAAAAUAAGAUGGGCAUCUUAUCCUUGACGACGAGUAAAAGUUGUAUGCAGUUCUUUUGUUCCCAACUUCAGUAUGGUGUGUGUCUGUGGCCUUUCAGCCUCCGUGCCUUCGUGGUUACAUUGGCAAACAAAAACUCCUUGGUAUCAGGUUCAAUGAUGAGCAUGAACCAAGAGUUCGGCAGGUAUGAAGUUUAACUAAUAUCCCAUAUAGCUGAGAAUGCUUAGAGCAAGAUUCAUCUUCUUCAAGUUAAGGGUUUUUAAGGCGUUCCAUGACGAUGCAAAACAAAAUAUCGAAGGACCCAUAACUUGCGGAGAAAUGCAGGACCUAAUAUAGAGAGUGAGAGGGAAUGAAGUGUGCUGCUCUUUUGAGUGAAAAGCAAGCAAAAUAAAGUUCAGAAAAAUCUCCAAUGUUCAUAUUUCUCCAUUGCCAAGCAAGCAUAUAUUCAAAGGAAGCUACAAAAAGUGAGAAAAUUUACUUGUACACCUCUCCAAAAAUUGACACACUCUUUAGUAAUACAAACUAGUGAAGAGGAAUCUCCUUUAAUUAGUUUCACUUUAUGUCCUGCCUAUAUAUAUAUUCCAAGUGUGUUCUUGGGAGAUGAUUAAAUUAAGCAGAAAUUUCAGUUUGGUCUUUUUGAGUGUUUUUUAUUUCAAGAUGUAUCGCAUGCGAUUGAGCAUCAUACCAAUUUUCUACAUCUCCAUUUCAAUCACUACUUUCUCCAUUCUAUGUGGUAAGCAAGCUCUUUUCUUUGUGUCUAGAAUCAUUAAUGUCACCCUACUCGUGAGCGAGAGAAGCUUAUAUGCAUAUGGAGUGUUAUUAUGUUAAUAUUUCAAGACUAUCACACAAGCAAUGUGUUUUAACUUCUCAAUUUGUACUGCGUGAUUGACUUGAGAUACUGUCAUUGUGACAAUAUGUCAAUGUGAUAGUAUCCUAAGCCUAUCAUGCAAGCAAUGUGUUUUAAUUUCCAUGUUGUAGCAUGUGAUUGACUUGAGAUACUGUUAGUGCGACGUGUGAAUUGUAUGCGUACUUCCCUUCCUACAACUUAAGUUACUUGAACAACUUUUACAACUAAUUCUGUGGUUUGUUUUAGUGCAGAUGCAAGAAGUUUUGCGCAAUUCUUUAAACCCCAAGACACAAAACUACACAAAAGCAAAUCAAUCCAUGAAUUAGAGAAGAACAAGCUGAAAGCAAUAAAUCACUUGGACUUACAUUUUGCGUUGGCUUCCCCAAAUAUUGAAUUCCAACCGUUCGAUGCCAGCUCUCCCUUCUCAUCACCACCGUUGGAUUCACCAGCACCGGGACAUCUCCCUCUUCCAGCUCCAAACUCCGUAUCCCCACCAAUUCCUCCAAACCCACCUCUUGCAAAUCCUCCUCCAUCUGGGCCCACUUCCUCACCCAUCCCAAGCCCACCACAAAAUGGGCCUAGCCCACACCCACCAACCACAAUCCCAACCCCACCCAAAUCAGUCCUGAGCCCACCAGUCCUUCCGCCGCCAAUAGCUUUCCCUCCACCGUCCGGACCGCCAUCCCCUCCGCAGAAAAAGCCACCGCAGUUUGCCGUGUGGUGCGUGGUGAAGCCGACAGUGCCGGACCCGAUAAUCCAAGAAGCCCUGGACUAUGCGUGUGGGUCCGGGGCAGACUGCAAGUCAAUCCGGCCCAAUGGGUCCUGCUACCAGCCCGACACAUUGUUGUCGCAUGCUUCGUAUGCCUUCAAUAGUUACUGGCAGAACACGAAGAUCGCUGGAGGCACUUGUGACUUUGGAGGGACUGCCAUGCUUGUCACAGUUGAUCCAAGUAAGUCCAAAUUUUUCCCAUAUCAAGAUAUAUUUUUGGCAUAUUGCAUUUGAUAUUUUCGCAGAACUUUCCUUCAAGGACACGUUGUUUCAUUCAAGGACAAGUGGUUAAGUUCUUUAAAAUUUCAAACGCUAUUUUACUUUAGACUAAUCUCAAUUGCGACGGAAAAAUUAAAUAAGUUUGCCUACGUAGUCCAAAUUCCUUACUAAAUCCGGUGUUCUUUGUUUUCAAAAAGUUAAUGCAAAUCCCAAGAAACAUAUAAUAAUUCAAUAAGCUGUGUAAGCUUUUUCUUUACUCGAUGACUGGAAAAUUGGAUGCAAAAAACGCAUGUUACAGACGUCGAUACAGGAUGAGGAACCAUGACAAAAAUUAAGUGUUUUUUUUUUCCUCUCUUUUUCCUCAAACGAUAAACUAAAUGUUUGGUAGAAUAUGAUCCUGUCUUGGUUAAUAUAUUAGGAUUUAAAUAGUAACAUCCAGAAACAAAGAGAUAAUAUUGAAUGAAAAUCAACAUCUCUUUCCUGUAAGAGCAACUCCACCCAUGUGGGUUGCUCGGGGGACAGUGGAGAAGAAGGGGCCGGAGGCCCGGUGGAGAGAGGUCCAGCCGUGUGGAGGCCGAGCGACGGUGGGAGCCCGAGCGAAGGGGGGUGGGGAGUCGACGGGCCUGUGGCCCGAGGACUUUGCAAUUUUUUAUUUUUUUUUGUGUCAGAGAGAGAGAGAGAGGGGUUUUUUAUUAUUUAAACAAACAAAAAUUAUUUUAAUUGCUUAUAGCCAGGGAGGAGGGUUUCAAGGGUGGAGAUGUAAAUGGCAAUUACUGUUUAUUAAUGGUAGUUACUAUUCAUUUAAGGCAGUUACUGUUCAAUAGGGUGGAUUGAAUAGUGGAUUGCCAGGGGGAGGGCUCCAUGGGUGGAGUUGCUCUAAGGGAGCAGGGUUGUUGGAAAAGGUAAUCAAGGAAAAGCCAUGCAGAACUUUGCAUUUUGAUUUGGACCCACAAUCGAUUUCAAUUUGAUUGAGUGUACCCCUAAUGGGGAAUGAUUAAUUCUUCAAAGUUUUGCUAGCUAGCUAGCAUAACCUGCACGUUUAUGGGUGACUGUGAUGAAUCGCAGUUUAUUCUAAUUAAUAGUUAGGCAGUUGUUAAAUGAUUGAUGAAUCGAGAUUUAUACUUCUUAAUGGCUGGGUGAUUGUCAAAUUAUUGAUGAAUCAAGGUUUAUAUAUGCUCCUCAAUGGUUGGGCGAUUGUCAAAUUAUUGAUAAAUCGAGGUUUAUACUCCUCAAUGGCUGAGUGAUUGUCAAAUUAUUGAUGGGUCAAGAUUUAUGCUCCUUAUCGACACUUGACAGUCACGCAACAAAUGUUACUAGGAAUUCUCCAAAAACAUAUCUUACAUCGUAUUCGUUGGUGUCAUUGCUCAUCAUGUGCAUCUUUUGACCUUUACAAAAGAUCAUGUCUCUAGCUAAAUUCCUAUGACUCUUACAUCUAUGAAAUAUAUGCUUAUAGAGUUUAACGAGUAGUUGCAGGUGGCCUUCUACCACAGUGGUGGAGAUGAAUGACGUCAGUCAGUGGCAAAUCUAAUUUCUAACUUAACAACAAUAUCGCUCAACUUCCAAAAAAAAAUGUUUAACAAGUAGUUAAUUAAUAAUAUUUAUCUUUCUUACUUUAAUUGUGGUGAGCAAUAUUUUUAGUAUAAUUACUUUAUAUUUUCUUAUAGGGUGACCCUACACUAAAUUUGCUUUAUUUUAUCUCUUUUACUUUAAAUUGGUGUUGCUUUGAUGAGUGACACAAGAUGCUAACACAUCCUCUGCAUGAUUGUGACAUGGCAGGUUAUGAUGAAUGCAAUUUCUUCUUCAACGGAUGAUCUUGAAACAUAUAUAUAUAUAUAUAUAUAUAUAUAUAUAUAUAUAAUAUAUAUAUAUAUAUAUAUAUAUAUAUAUAUAUAUAUAUAUAUAUAUAUAUAUAUAUAUAUAUGACUCUAUUAGCUAUUACGAGAUUAAGAAAGAAAAAAUGCUAGGAAGAUCAAUUUUGUUAGACUAUUUUUUGUUGAUGCAUAGUGUGGCAAUUAAUGGUUAGACUCAUGUUUUAAAAUAAUUUAAAGAAAGAGUCUAACCAUUAAUCACCAUAUCAUGUCAAUUACAAAUGAUAAUUUAAAAUUUUUGGUUUCUCUAGCAUCAAAUUCUGUUAACUUAAAAAUUUAUUUAUUUUUCAGAAGAGAGCUACACACUAUGUAUACAUCACAUUUUAUUUAGGAGGAGUUCCAUAUUUGUGAGUGAAAAUGGAACUUUGGCUAGAAGUAGUGGCACUUGAAAGUGAAGUUGUAUUGAUCAUUUUGUCUUCCAGUGUCCACUUUAUGUACAUGGAAUAUACAUGUUGGCUAGCUGUUGCAGAUUCCCUUUGAGAUUUCCAGAUUGUCCAAAAACUGCAUACACACAUAGUUCUUUGAUUUAGCAGGAUUAAAAAGAAUGGUGCUUUUAUUUCACCAAUAAGAAAUAACUCAUCAUGAGUAUGAUCUCAUCAUUGAUAUUAUGAGUUAUUUCUUUGAUUUAGCACGAAUGAAUUGAUAAAGAUCAAAAGUCAAAAUUGAUAAGGAUGUAUGAAAAGCAAAACUAGGUGCUAAUAAUACUAUCCUUAAUGUAAAUAAUAUUGUUGGUGAAAAAAAACAAAAAAAACACUAUCCUUAGUCAAUUCUUUGGCGAACAUAACUUUUCACAUUACAAAAUAAUACAAACCCUAAUGACUUUUCAAAGGUCGUUCGAUGAUCUUUUUGUGACGGUAAGUGAAGCAUUACUCUUAUCCUUAACUCGAAAAAAUAAAUUUAACCUAUUAUAUAUGUACAUGAUGGUUAUAUAUAUAUACGCGCCAUGCAUGGACCAACGUCGUCUUACCCGGGCUUACACCACAUGUACUUUCUGAAAUGCAAUUUCAUGUGGCUAGGGUUAGCACCUAUGUAAAUUAAAAGAAAGAAUAAAUUACAUUUUACUACUUCAAUUUUAGGUUGCAUAACAAACUCAUACAUCAUAUUUUAAACAUUGCAAUGCCAUACAUUAAAUUACAAAUUCGUUGUCAUAUCAAACUUCCGUUAAAAAAAUCUAUUAAGUUAGCCGUUUAUCCAUACAACCACUCAACGGUUAACGUAACAGAUUUUUUAACAGCGGUCCGACAUUUAACGAAUUCGUAAGUUAAUUGAUGUAAACAUUGGAAUGAUCAGAAGAUGAGAUAUAAGUUUGUUAUGUGACCCAAAAUAAGAUGGUAAAAUGUAAUUUACCCUAAAAGAAAGUUCCUGCAUCCAAAUUUCAAAAAACUGAAUUUAAUUUCAAAAAUAUACAGUAAGGUGUAUGGCCGACACCCAAAUGCGAAUGCGAUUGCUUCUGUCUAUUCAUAGGAUAGGAAUGGCUAAAGUUAAACUAAGAAAGAGGUAAACACUAGUUGACUAGUCCUAUCCAAGGAAGGAAAUGAACACCCCCAUCCCCAAAAAAAAAAACCAUAUCCUUUUUAAGUUGAAAAAGUCUAGGGCCUAUUUUGUUUGUGAAAGAAUCACAUGUGGUGGUUUUGGCAUCAUGAACCCAAAUCACGGGUCGAUCGACUAGCAAACUUCAUGUUCAAACUUUGCCUAUAUCAAAAUCCUUCCGAGUUUUCUUGAUUUCUUACCUUUAUCCUUAGCCACAUAUAUGAUUGGAAUAGAAAUUUGCAAGUUUCCAAAUAUAUUAGAUUGAAAUGAAUUUAGGCACACAAACAUGAACAAAUGGAUUUAGUAUUGAUUCAUUCAACUUCAAGUAAGCAUUCUGCAAAUCCCUCUCAAUUCACUGUAUCUAUCAUUUCAAAUCCAUUCAUCUAAUCUUUUACAAUGCAUUUCUAACUAAUUUAACUUAAAUUUAAUGGUACAUACAAAUUUGUCUUCCAAAAGCAUCACAAUGCUCUUGUGCCGGAUUACUUAUAUAUCUAUUAAGCAUACUUACUGCAUAAGCUAAGUCAGGCCUGGUCGAAUUCAUCGAAUACAUUAGACCUCCAAUUACUUGAGAAUAUUCAAGUUGAGAUAUGACAUUACUUUUAUUUUUCUCCAACUUGAAUCCAGCAUCAAAAGUAGUUGCAGCAGGUUUGCAGUCAAAUUAACCAAACCUUCGUAAUAUUUUUUCCGCAUAAUAGGACUGUGUAAGGACAUACCCUUCACUAUUUCUCUUAAUGUGAAGUUGUAUUGAUCAUAUUGUCUUCCAGUGUCCAUUUUAUGUACAUGGAAUAUACUUGUUGGCUAGCCGUUGCAUAUUCCCUUUGAGAUUUCUAGAUUGUCCAAAAACUGCAUACACACAUAUUUCUAUGAUUUAGCAGGAUUAAAAAGAAGGGUGCUUUUAUUUCACCAAUAAGUAAUAACUCAUAAUGAGGAUGACCUCAUAUAACAUUCUAGAGUCUGUUUGAUAAUCAUUCUUUUUUUAUUUUUUAUUCUAUAUGUUAAAGAUAGAACAUGAGAAAAUGUGGGCAUAGAAGAGUGGAGAAGUGAUGUUGGGAAAGAUGUAGAGAAGAUGUGUAAAGAAAGGUGUACAAAACGAAAUCUAAAAACUAAAAUUUAAAAUUAUAUACUUUGAAUUGUUUUCACUUUCGAGAUUUUGUUUUCAUUCCUUCUUCUUUGUUUUGUCCCGUCGCUCCCUCGAUCUUUCUUCAUCCCUAAUCUCCUCAAUAUAUUUUGCCCAUAUCUCAAACAAAAUAUAAAAACUAAUAGUAAAUACCCAAUGAAACUUGUUUCGUAACAAGCUAGCAUUACUACUUUUUUUUUUUCCUCUCAAGAGUCGAGAUAGAAUAUCUAGCUAGAUCAAUGUUUUUGUCGACAAAGAUACCUUGCACCAAAAGUAGGCCAGCUGCUUUACCAUUUUUAGACAUACUUCAAAUGGCGUCUAGUGACCGAGAGGUUGGACUUUCACCAUUAAACGCCAAUACACAGACUUGUUUGCAAUAGGAAGAUGAUGACAAUACAUGCAUGUGUUCAUUAUUUCCUCCAUAUUUAUACAAAGGUAGUGCUAUCCAAACACCUAUUUUUACUGUUCACACACAAUCUUAAUUUUUGAUAGUCGGAACGAAUGAAUUGAUAAAGAUCAAACACCAAAAUUGAUAAGGGUGUGUAGAAAGCAAAACUAGAUGCUAAGAAUACUAUCCUUAAUGUAAAUAUUAUCGUUUAUUAAAAACAAAAAACAAAAAAACACUAUCCUUAGGCAAUUCUUUGGCGAACAUGACUUUUCACAUUACAAAAUAAUACAAACCCUAAUGACUUUUCAGAUGUCAUUCAAUGAUCUUUUUGUGACAACGGGUGAAGCAUUACUCUUAUCCUUAACUUGAAAAAAUAAAUUCAACCUAUUAUAUAUGUACAUGAUGGUUAUAUAUAUACAUGCCAUGCAUGGACCAACGUCGGCUCACCCGGCUUACACCACCUGUACUUUCUGAAAUGCAAUUUCACGCAGCUAGGGUUAGCACCUAUGUAAAUUAAAAGAAAGAAUGAAUUACAUUUUACUACCUCAAUUUUAUGUCGCAUAACAAACUCAUACAUCAUAUUUUAAACAUUGCAACGUCAUACAUUAAAUUACGAAUUCAUAUCAAACUUCCAUAAAAAAAAAUAUGUCAAGUUAGCCGUUUAUCCACAUAAUCACUUAACGGUUAACUUAACAUAUUUUUUAACAGUGGUCAAACAUUUAACGAAUUCGUAAGUUAAUUGAUGUAAACAUUGUAAGGAUUAGAAGAUGAGAUAUAAGUUUGUUAUGUGACCCAAAUAAAGUGAUAAAAUAUAAUUUACUCUAAAAGAAAGUUCCUACAUUCAAAUUUCAAAAAAAACAAAAUUUAAUUUCAAAAAUAUAUAAUAAUGUGUAUGGCCGACACCCAAAUGCGAAUGCGAUUGCUUCUCAUUCAUAGGAUAGGAAUGGCUAAACUUAAACUGAGAAAGAGGUAACACUAGUUGACUAGUACUAUCCAAGGAAGGAAACGAACACCCCAUCCCCAAAAAAACACCUUGUCCUUUUUAAGUUGAAAACCUAUUUUUGUCCCCAUGCCCAUCUUUUGAUAAUUAAUUAUAUGAGAAUUGUUAUUAACAUUUCAAAAAUCUUAUGUUACACUCCAAACUUUCUAUAUUAGGAAAAAUUAAUUAUAUGAGAAUUGUUAUUAACACUUCAAAAAUCUUAUGUUACACUCCAAACUUUCUAUAUUAGGAAAGAAAAAUACACGUAUGAGAAGUGUAGAAUGAAAUUUUUGGAGUGCCAAUAACACUUUCCAAUUAUAUAUUAAUUAUCAAUUAGUACACCACAAAGUUCAACUCCAAGAUUUGAGUUUAUUCUCUAUGGUUUAUUACUUCAAUUGCUUUCUAUAAGGGAUAAAACCUUAUAAAGUAAGGGAACUUUUUAAUAAUGACCAAUGUGGGACAAUGAAAUUUCUACUCAAAAUUUUCAACAUCUCUCUCUAUCAAGCACACACACUAACACUUAGGUCUGUCUCAGUACCCAUAAAGCCUCUAUAAAGCCAUUUGCUUGGUAUUGGGUUUCAACAUCCAGUUUUGUACUCAACUCUCUGGAGAGUUGUGGAGUUGUAGUAUUGACAUGGAGAUCAAUUAUGCUCUGGCUUUGCUCUUAGUCCUCAUUCUCAACUUGGGUAGUUUGCUCACUUCUCUUGCUAACUCCUAUUGCCCACCACCGCAUGUCAAACCACCUCAUGCAAAGCCUCCUCCUCAUGUACCCACGAAACCACCUCAUGUUAAACCACCCAUUGUAAAGCCACCUCCCUAUCCGAAACCUCCUGUUCCCAAACCACCUCCCCAUCCCAAACCUCCUGUUGUGAAACCACCACCUGUUGUAGUGCCAAGCCCACCACCAACACCAACACCAACCCCAGUUGUCCCAGUGAAGCCUCCUCCACCCACCGAAACACCAUGCCCUCCUCCACCACCAAAGUUAGUACCACCACCACCAUCUCCACCAAAGGACACGUGUCCCAUCGACACCCUAAAAUUGGGAGCUUGUGUAGAUGUGUUGGGUGGUCUUAUCCACAUUGGAAUUGGAAGCAGUGCCAAAGAUACAUGUUGUCCGGUGCUUCAGGGACUGGUGGACUUGGACGCUGCUAUUUGCCUUUGCACCACCAUCAAGGCUAAGCUUCUCAAUGUCAACCUCAUCAUCCCCAUUGCUCUUCAGGUGCUCAUUGCUUGUGGGAAGACUCCUCCCUCUGGAUUCCAGUGUCCUGCAUAGAUGAUCAUCAUAUCUUAUUCCUAAAUCACACUUAGUAGUUGUUAAUCAUGUCAUCAUUAGUGAUAUGUGGCGCCGGCUAGCUGAUAAUAAAGCAUGUCAAAGCUUGGAAGUAAAAACUACAUGAGGAUAAAUCUGUUAUUCGUUUUUGUUUUGUUUUGUUUACUUGAAGAGUGUAUCAGAUCGAUAGACUGGUAAUUUAGUCAUGUUAUUUUCUUGAACCUUGGAAGUAUAUAUAAUAACCUGAGUUUAAAGAAGACCUUCAUUUUUCACCGUUCGUCAAUCUCCUGUAGAGGACUUACAUGGAACACCACCACCGUGCCCGUGACAUCAUGGUCUAAUAAUACAACUUCAUUUGUAAUUAAAGAAACUCACAUAUGACAUUAUAUUAUUGAACUGAGACACUAGUGUAAAUAUUUUAAAUUGAUGAUAGGAUUCUUCACUAUAUUCUUAUAGAGUCGAGUAGUAGUUUUAUAAAAUCAUCAAAAUUAGAGCUCAAAUAACCAUUAAAUUAUGAUUUUUUCGUUUCUAACCGUCGAAGAAUUUCGUCCUGUUACCUAAUAUAGUAAUACUGGUGAUUUUUGGUGUGUGCAAUCUUAGAGUAUAUACAAAUAAGUUUGACAGCUUGAUUGUUGAAAUUAAUUUUGCAGACAUCGAAAAUCAUCUAAGGAACUAAAUACGCCAAUCAUGUCUGUUACCUCUGCCUUAUGAAAUAUAUGUUGGAAAAUAUUAGUAUUUAGGUUUAUUUUAGUAUUUGGGUUUUGCUUGUUAGUUUAGGAUUUGUGCUUAGCCCAUCCGAGUUAGGGUUUCGUAGGUUUAGUUCUCUAUAAAUAGAGCUUGUAAUUUAGUUUGACAAUAAGUUAGCCACAAUGUAGUCUCUUAGGGUUUUGUAGCCGCUUCGGCAUUCUCAGUUUGUUUAAUAAUAUUCUUAUUAUUUGUUAGUCUUGUUUGUUGCGCACUGAUAUUCAACUUGGUAUCAGAGUAGGUUUGAUUCUUCGGGAUCUAAUCUGCUUCUGUUUGUUCGUAUCAGUUUUAUUUCUUUCCAGUUUCCAUCCGUAAAUUUUUUACGUUUUCUGGUUUGGUUUUUCAGUUUGUCCUUGGUAGUCUUCAAGAAAGGAAAAAAAAAUUCUGUUUUUGAAAAAAAAGAAUUUGGUGAAUUUGUCUCACACCCAAAUUUGAAAAUGCUCCAUCGCACUAAGAUUUCUGCAUUCCCCAGCCCCACCUUGCAUCUGGAUCCGUCCACAACCGUACACCUGCGAAAAAAAAGAAACAAGAAAAAAGAAAGGCUAAUGUUGCUGGUUGGUUCACACAGAAGAAAAAUAAGGAAGGAAGAAGGAAGAAAAAAAAAGCGGGGGGGAAAAGGAAGGAAAAAAAAUUGGUUGUUUUGAGGUUUUGUUGCCCUCGUAUUCUUGCAUUGGGUAUGGUAUUGGAAUUUGGCAUUGGGCAUGGUAUUGGAAUUUGGCAUUGGUAUUGGUAUUGGCAUUGGCAUUGGUACUGGUAUCGGCAUUGACAUCUGCAUUGGCAUUGGCAUUGGCAUUGGCAUUGGCAUUGGCAUUGGCAUCGGCAUCGUCAUUGGUAUUGGCAUCGGCAUCGGCAUCGGCAUUGGUAUUGGUAUUAGCAUCGGCAUCGGCAUUGGCAUCGGCAUCGGCAUCGGCAUCGGAAUUUGGAGGCUUGCAUCCACAUCUGCUUGUUGGCAAACUCAUGUCGUGUACCACCAUGAGUUUGACGGGAGGUGUUGGAAAAUAUUAGUAUUUAGGUUUAUUAUAGUAUUUGGGUUUUGCUUGUUAGUUUAGGAUUUGGGCUUAGCUCAUCCGAGUUAGGGUUUCGUAGGUUUAGUUCUCUAUAAAUAGAGCUUGUAAUUUAGUUUGACAAUAAGUUAGCCACAAUGUAGUCUCUUAGGGUUUUGUAGCCGCUUCGGCAUUCUCAGUUUGUUUAAUAAUAUUCUUAUUAAUUGUUAGUCUUGUUUGUUGCGCACUGAUAUUCAACUAUAUAAACCCUAAUUACAACAUAUACCUUUGAGUGACGAAAGCUGGAAGGUUCGUCGUGUAAAGGUUGCCAUUUUAUGUGCCAAACUUUUAUCUUGGUGCGAAAACUUUAACCCACGACGUAAGCUUUGCUCGUCGAACUCUGUUCGCCGGGCAAAAGCAUCUGCAAAAACCAAAACGUUUGACCGUUUUGCUCGACAAACGUUUAUUUUGUCAGGUAAAGACUAUUUGGCCGACAAAAUACCGUUCGUCUAGCAAAACUUUGUCAGAAAAAUGGUAAUUUCUGGUUAUGUAUGAUAAAACUUUGUCGGACAAAUGAUAAUUUUUGGUAGUGUAUCAUAUAUAUAUAUAUAUAUAUAUAUAUAUAUAGAGGUUUCUCUCCCUUGUGUGUGUAUGUCUGUAUCUGUUGAUAUAGCGUGUUUGCAGGUUCACGUGAAUGUGUAGACUGUAGUGCAUUGAAUUAUUUUAAUUGCAUUCGUUUGUAAGAUAUCAGUAGGAAUAAAAUAUCAACGUCAAGGCUUAAAAAAAAAUAUCAACGUCAGGUACCACAUGUAAGAUACAUGCAACACGUACAACUUUCUUAUGGAUUUUGGAAGUUUGUCUAUAUUUAUACCAAGGCUUCCAAAAAUACGAGCCUUCUCCUCUCCUGCAUCCAAGUCCUGCUGAACAAGGAAGAAAAUAUCGGUAAUAUCGGAAAUAUCGGUAGUCCGAAAACAUGGAAAUAUCGAUGGAAAUAUCGGGAUAAUAUCGAUAUCGAUAAAAAUUACAUGGAAACCACGGAAAUUGUAAGAAAAACUUGGAAAUUUUUAUUAAAACUUUGCAGGAUGUUUAUUUAGUCAAUUAUCUAUUAGUUUAUCACAAAAAAAUUGGAAGGAAAUGCAUUGCAUGAUGGAUUUAACUGAUUUAAGUUGAUUAUAUAGCGAGCUGGCAAACAUUGUGAGUGUAGAAAAUAUAUAAUAAUUAAUGAAAGAAGUUUAAACACACCAUAAUCAUUUAUAUAUAAUGAAUUAGUACAAUAUUUUACACUUUAUACAUUGCAUGGUAAGAUACAUGAGUGACUAAGUACCACAUAGAGUUCCUAUGAGGUUCAAAAUUUUCACUAUCUUCAUCAUCACUAUGUGUAGAGUAAGUGUAUUGUGAAGAGUAGUUAGCAACCAUGGCAAUGACUUUCAAGAACCGAAACCCAAAAGUCAAUAGGAAACCGAAUACUUCGGUAUUUUUCGGGAUUUCAGGAUUACCAAACAAAUGGGAUUUGGAAAACCAAUCCCAUAUCGAAAAUUUCGGUAUUUUUCGGGAUGGUUUUGGUUUGGGACUUUUUCGGUUUGGUUUGGGAUUUUCGGGAAUUUUUUCCAACCAUACAUGUAAGUGACCAAAUAAAAAAUAGAAAAAUUAAAAACCACAUGCCAUUGACUAAGUAAUUAAUUGACACAAUUUAAAAUAUAAUACCACAAAAAAUUUGGAAUAUGUGCAAAUUUGUUUCUUGCAAAAAGAAUUCAAAACAAAACCAUAUAUAUAAAUAGUUUAGCAUGUUUUCACAAAAACGUAAGUGGUAUAGUGGUCAAGUUGCUGAAGGAGUUAGAUGGGAGGGGUUCGAAUCACUUUAUGUGCAUGUUUGAGACUUUUCAGAAAUUUUCAAAUAUUUUUAGGUUCAUCUCGCGAUAUAUAAUAUCGCGAUAAUAUCGAUAUUAUCGCGAUAUAUUAACGAUAAUUAUAAAAAUACUCACGAAAUAUCGUUAUAUGAAAAAACGAUAAUAUCGGCGAUAUUAUCGAUUUUUAAAUCUAUGCUGCUGAAUCACAUCCACCAAAUCCAAAGGGGAUUGGGAAUAUAAUUGCUCCAUCACACUCAAUUAUUGUUCGUGUAAUGUUUUCUUUGCACAACAUUUUAAUUCAAAUUUCACCAUGUUUUUUUAUGUUUCAAUUAUUUGAUCAAUUUAUUGGAGGAAAAAAAAACACAGGUUAGCGAUCGUACGAUCGAUAUCGACCACCAUAUCGACAAUACAGAGGGAAAAAGAAUAAGACAUGUCAUCACCUAACAUUUUUAAUAAUGUCACUAAAACAUUUCAAGUUCCAAUUCAAUCAACCUUUCCUGUCAGCAACAUAUGUCUCGCACCGACCUCUCAACACAAAGCACUUAUGUCACUCCUACGAGAAAUUCUAAGAUCCGACCGAACAAGCCAAGACACAAAAAACCCUUCCCCUAUCCCACCCCGAUUUUAACAUGUUAACCUGGCCUGCUUUUAGUCUCACUCUCCUCUCACACCACCUCCAAGUCGAAUGUCCUAGCUACACAAAAAUCUGUCUCCAGUCUUUUUAUAAUCCUGCUCUGGUAACCUCAGUUGAAUGGCAGGAUAAAUUUGAAUGGGGGGAGGAAAAAAAACCGCUAAAUUAUGUGUCGGAUCAUUUGUGCAUCAUGUAGUACUCAAAUUAAUGUGGUGUAAAAUGUGGUUUCGUUAGUAGUUUGAUGCCUCAGGUUUUCUGCUUUCUUUUGGUAAUCACAUUAUUAUAGCGCACCACUUAAUUAGCACACCAUUUGAUAACUCCCUAGCUAGUAUAUACGUAAUUUUUUUAUCUCAUUCAUUUUUCUUCCUAGUCUCUCUUCUUUUCAUUUCUUUUUUUCCAAUUAGAGGAAACAAUGCUAAGAUAUAUAAUUUUGAUAUGAACCCUAAACCGUAAUUUUAUAUAUGAACCAUAAACCCCAAGUUUUUAUCUGAUCAUUUUGGUGGAAAUAAUCUUUUUUUUUUUUGUUUAAAACGAACAAAAUUGUUUGUAGGGCGAGUUUUGAAAAAUUCAGUGAUUCACAAAUAAAGAUGGGCGUCCACAUAUUUGUAAACUUUGGCAAGGCUGGGUUGUCAAGGAAAUAGGUGUCCAGAGGCAAUGUUUGGGUGUAAACAGAACUACUCAUAUCAAACUCACGAAAACAUCCUUGAAUAUUAUUGGGCUACAUGCGCGAAAACAUUUGAACUACCCUUAUCUAAAUUUCCCCCCUUACUCCUGAGCAGAGUAAAACCCUGGUCAUUUCUUGAGGAAGAAGACGACGACGAAUUGGAGAAAAAUAGGGCGCUGAGCUGAACAGCGGCUAAAAGCAUAAAUUUUCUUUGUCCAUCUGCACGAACAGAGCGCCAGAAAAACUGGGCAAGAUCCUCAUUUUUCAACGUUUGUCUUAUUAAUUAGCUUCUGAUGAAAUUUCAUUCGCAUAUUGUGGUUUUAUCUGUUUGAUGAGAUUUUAAUGUAGAGUUUGUAUCUGUUCGAUGAAAUUUCAUUCGCAUAUUGUGGUUUUAGCAUGUGAUUGACUUGAGAUAGUAUUAGUACGACGUGUUAAUUGCAUGCGUACUUCCGUUCUUACAACUUAAGUAACUUGAACAACUUUUACAACUAAUUCUGUGGUUUGUUUUAGUGCAGAUGCAAGAAGUUUUGCGCAAUUCUUUAAACCCCAAGACACAAAACUACACAAAAGCAAAUCAAUCCACGAAUUAGAGAAGAACAGACUGAAAGCAAUAAUCACUUGGACUUGCAUUUUACGUUGGCUUCCCCAAAUAUUGAAUUCCAACCGUUCGAUGCCAGCUCUCCCUCCUCAUCACCACCGUUGGAUUCACCAGCACCGGGACAUCUCCCUCUUCCAGCCCAAAACUCCGUAUCCCUACCAAUUCCUCCACACCCACCUCUUGCAAAUCCUCCUCCAUCUAGGCCCACUUCCUCACCCAUCCCAAACCCAUCACAAAAUGGGCCUAGCCCACACCCACCAACCACAAUCCCAACCCCACCCAAAUCAGUCCUGAGCCCACCAGUCCUUCCGCCGCCAAUAGCUUUCCCUCCACCGUCCGGACCGCCAUCCCUUCCACAGAAAAAGCCACCGCAGUUUGCCGUGUAGUGCGUGGUGAAGCCGACAGUGCCGGACCCGAUAAUCCAAGAAGCCCUGGACUAUGCGUGUGGGUCCGGGGCAGACUGCAAGUCGAUCUGGCCCAAUGGGUCCUACUACCAGCCCAACACCGUAUGCUUCGUAUGCCUUCAAUAGUUACUGGCAGAACACGAAGAUCGCUGGAGGCACUUGUGACUUUGGAGGGACUGCCAUGCUUGUCACGGUUGAUCCAAGUAAGUCCAAAUUUUCCUCAUAUCAAGAUAUUAUUUUGGCAUAUUGCAUUUGAUAUUUUCGCAGAACUUUCCUUCAAGGACAAGUUGUUUCAUUCAAGGACAAGUAGUCAUUUCUUUAAAAUUUCAAACGCUAUUUUACUUUAGACUAAUCUAAAUUACGAUGGAAAAAUUAAAUAAGUUUGCCUAUGUAUCCAAAUUCCUUACUAAAUCUAGUGUACUUUGUUUUCAAAAAGUUAAUACAGAUCCGAAUCUUUUUUUUUGUUUUUUUUUGGGGUUAAGAACCCUAAUCGUUGUUAAUGGCGGGUGACAGCAUGAGAGUAUCACUUGACAAAACGAUAACUUUCGUUUACUCGAUUAUCUUGUCCUUAACUAUAAUGGUAAUCAAAUUAUAGAACUUUGAAGAAGAUAAUUAGAAGUACACGUCCAUGAGUGCAAAUUUAAUUUAUAAACCUACAAGCAGACCUACAUAUCUUAGAUUCCCAAGAAACAUAUAAUAAUUCAGUAAGCUGUAAGCUCUUUCUUUACUCGAUGACUGGAAAAUUGGACAUGGAAAACGCAUGCUACAGACGUCGAUACAGGAUGAGGAACCAUGACAAAAACUAAGUGUUUUUUUCCUCUCUUUUUCCUCAAACGAUAAACUAAUGUUUGGUAGAACAUUAUCCUGUCUUGGUUAAUAUAUUAGGAUUUAAAUAGUAACAUCCAGAAACAAAGAGAUAAUAUUGGAUGAAAAUCAACGUCUCUCUCUUCUGUAAGGGAGCAGGGUUGUUGGAAAAGGUAAUCAAGGAAAAGCCAUGCAGAACUUUGCAUUUUGAUUUGGACCCUCAAUCGAUUUCAAUUUGAUUGAGUGUACCCCUAAUGGGGAAUGAUUAAUUCUUCAAAGUUUUGCUAGCUAGCUAGCAUCACCUGCACGUAAAUGGGUGACUGUGAUAAAUCGCAAUUUAUUAUCAUUAAUAGUUAGGCAGUUGUCAAAUUAUUGAUGAAUCGAGAUUUAUGCUCCUCAAUAGCUGAAUGAUUAUCAAAUUAUUGAUGGGUUGAGAUUUACACUCAUCGACACUUGACAAUCACGCAACAAAUGUUACUAGGAAUUCUCCAAAAAAAUAUCUUACAUCGUAUUCAUUGGUGUCAUUGCUCAUCAUGUGCAUCUUUUGACCUUUACAAAAGAACCUGUCUCUAGCUAAAUUCCUAUGACUCUUACAUCUAUGAAAUAUAUGCUUAUAAAGUUUAACAAGUAGUUGCAGGUGGCCUUCUACCACAGUGAUAGAGAUGAGUGACGCCCUUGCAUGAUGGCGUGGGUUCGAACUCCGUCAAUGACAAAUUUACUUUCUAACUUAACAACAAUAUUGCUCAACUCCCAAAAAAAAAAAAAAGUUUAACAAGUAGUUAAUUAGUAAUAUUUAUCUUUCUUACUUUAAUUGUGGUGAGAUAUCUUUAGUAUUACUUUAUAUUUUCUUAUAGGGUGACCCCACACUAAAUUUGCUUAAUUUUAUCUCUUUUGCUUUAAAUUGGUGUUGCUUUGGAUGAAGGAUACAAGAUGCUAACACAUCCCUUGCAUGAUUGUGACAUGGCAGGUUAUGAUGAAUGCAAUUUCUUCUUCAACGGAUGAUCUUGAAACAUACAUACAUGUAUAUAUAUAUAUAUAUAUAUUAGCUAUUACGACAUUAAGAAAGAAAAAAAUGUUAGGAAGAUCAAAUUUGUUAGACUAUUUUUUGUAGACUCAUGAUGUGGUGGUUGAUGGUUGGACUCAUUUUUUUUAAUAAUUUAAAUAAAUAGUCUAACCAUCAAUCGCCACAUCAUGAUAGUUUAAAAUUUUAUUUAUUUUUUAGAAGAGAUCUACACACUAUGUAUACAUCACAUUUUAUUUAGGAGUUCCAUAUUUGUGAGUGCAAACGGAACUUUUGGCUGUAGAAGUAGCGGCACUUGAAAGUGAAGUUGUAUUGAUCUUCUUGUCUUCCAGUGUCCAUUUUAUGUACAUGGAAUAUACCUGUCGGUUAGCUGUUGCAUAUUCCCUUUGAGAUUUCCAGAUUGUCCAAAAACUGCAUACACACAUAUUUCUUUGAUUUAGCAGGAUUAAAAAGAAGGGUGCUUUUAUUUCACCAAUAAGAAAUAACUCAUAAUGACGAUGAUCUCAUAUAACAUUGUAGAGUCUGUUUGAUAAUUAUUCAUAUUUUAGUUUUUAUUCUAUAUGUUAAAGAUAGAACAUGAGAAAAUGCGGGCAUAGAAGAGUGGAGAAGUGAUGUUGGGAGAGAUGUAGAGAAGAUGUGUAAAGAAAGGUGUACGAAAUGAAAUCUAAAAACUAAAAUUAAAAAUUAUGUACUUUGAAUUGUUUUCACUUUCGAGAUUUUAUUUUCAUUCCUUCUUUGUUUUGUGCCGUCGCUCCCUCGACCUUUCUUCAUCCCUAAUCUCCUCAAUAUAUUUUGCCCAUAUCUCAAACAAAAUAUAAAAACUAAUAGUACAUACCCAAUGAAACUUGUUUCGUAACCAGCUAGCAUUACUACCUUUUCUUUUCCUCUCAAGAGUCGCGAUAGAAUAUCUAGCUAGAUCAAUGUUUUUGUCGACAAAGAUACCUUGCACCAAAAGUAGGCCAGCUGCUUUACCAUUUUUAGACAUACUUCAAAUGGCGUCUAGUGACCGAGAGGUUGGACUUUCACCAUUAAACACCAAUACACAGACUUGUUUGCAACAGGAAGACGAUGACAAUACAUGCAAGUGCUCAUUAUUUCAUCGGUAUUUAUAUAAAGGUAGUGCUAUCCAGACACCUAUUUUUACUUCUCACACACUAUCUUAAUUUUCGAUUGUCGGAACAAAUGAAUUGAUAAAAAUCAAAUGCCAAAAUUGAUAAGGGUGUGUGGAAACCAAAGCUAGAUGUUAAUAAUAAUAUCCUUAAUGUAAAUAAUAUCGUUGGUUAAAAUAAAAAACACUAUCCUUAGUCAAUUCUUUGGCGAACAUGACUUUUCACAUUACAAAAUAAUACAAACCCUAAUGACUUUUCAGAGGUCGUUCGAUGAUCUUUUUGUGGCAGCAAGUGAAGCAUUACUCUUAUCCUUAACUUGAAAAAAUAAAUUCAACCUAUUAUAUAUGUACAUGAUGGUUAUAUAUAUACGCACCAUGCAUGGACCAACGUCGUCUCACCCGGGCUUACACCACAUGUACUUUUUGAAAUGCAAUUUCAUGCAGCUAGGGUUAGCACCUAUAUAAAUUAAAAGAAAGAAUAAAUUACACUUUACUACUUUAAUUUUAUGUCGCAUAACAAACUCAUACAUCAUAUUUUAAACAUUGCAAUGUCAUACAUUAAAUUACGAAUUUGUUGUCAUAUCAAACUUCCGUUAAAAAAUCUGUUAAGUUAGCCGUUUAUCCACACAACCACUCAACGGUUAACUUAACAGAUUUUUUUAAUAGCGGUCCAACAUUUAACGAAUUUGUAAGUUAAUUGAUGUAAACAUUGGAAUGAUCAGAAGAUGAGAUAUAAGUUUGUUAUGUGACCCAAAAUGAGGUGGUAAAAUAUAAUUUACCCUAAAAAAAAUGUUCCUACAUCCAAAUUUCAAAAAAACAAAAUUUAAUUUCAAAAAUAUAUAGUAAGGUGUAUGGCCGACACCCAAAUGCGAAUGCAAUUGCUUCCGUCUAUUCAUAGGAAUGGCUAAACUUAAACUAAGAAAGAGGUAACACUGGUUGACUAGUCCUAUCCAAAGAAGGAAAUGAACACCCCCAUCCACACCUCCGCCCCCCCCACCCCGCAACCAAAAAAAACACCAUAUCCUUUUUAAGUUGAAAAAGUAUAGGGCCUAUUUUUGUCCCCAUGGUUUUUUCUUUUUUAUUUUUAUUUUUAUUUUUUAUACAAGAAAAUUUUGUUUGUGAAAGCAUCACAUGUGGUGGUUUUGGCAUCAUGAACCCAAAUCACGGGUCGACUAGCAAACUUCAUGUUCAAACUUUGCCUAUAUCAAAAUCCUUCCGAGUUUUCUUGAUUUCUUACCUUUAUCCUUAACCACAUAUAUGAAUAGAAAUUUGCAAGUUUACAAAAAUAUUAGAUUGAAAUUUUUUAAAUGAAUUUAAGCACACAAACACGAACAAAUGGAUUUAGUAUUGAUUCAUUCAACUUCAAGUAAUCAUUUUGCAAAUCCCUCUCAAUUCACUGUAUCUAUCAUUUCAAAUUCAUUCAUCUAAUCUUUUACAAUGCAUUUCUAAAUAAUUUAACUUAAAUUUAAUGGUACGUACAAAUCUGUCUUCCAAAGGCAUCCCAAUGCUCUUGUGUCGGAUUACUUGUAUAUCUGCUAAGCCUACUUACUGGAUAAUCUAAGUCAGGCCUAAUCGAAUUCAUCAAGUACAUUAGACUUCCAAUUACUUGAGAAUAUUCAAGUUGAGAUAUGGCAUUGCCUUUAUUUUUCUCCAACUUGCAUCCAGCAUCAAAAGAAAUUGCACCAGGUUUGCAGUGUCUAUUUUGUGUAAGGACAUACCCUUCACUAUUUCUCUUAAUGUGAAGUUGUAUUUAUCUUCUUGUCUUCCAGUGUCUAUUUUAUGUACAUGGAAUAUACCUGUCGGCUAGCUGUUGCAUAUUCCCUUUGAGAUUUCCAGAUUGUCCAAAAAUUGCGUACACACAUAUUUCUUUGAUUUAGCAGGAUUAAAAAGAAGGGUGCUUUUAUUUCACCAAUAAGUAAUAACUCAUAAUGAGGAUGAUCUCAUAUAACAUUAUUGAGUUUAUUUGAUAAUCAUUCUUUUUUUAGUUUUUAUUCUAUAUGUUAAAGAUAGAACAUGAGAAAUGUGGGCAUUGAAGAAUGGAGAAGUGAUGUUGGGAAAGAUGUAGAGAAUAUGUGUAAAGAAAGGUGUACAAAACGAAAUCUAAAAACUAAAAUUUAAAAUUAUAUACUUUGAAUUGUUUUCACUUUCGAGAUUUUGUUUUCAUUCAUUCUUCUUUGUUUUGUUCCUUCACUCCCUCGACCUUUCUUCAUCCCUAAUCUCCCCAAUAUAUUUUGCCCAUAUGUCAAACAAAAUAUAUAAACUAAUAGUACAUACCCAAUGAAACUUGUUUCGUAACCAGCUAGCAUUACUACUUUUUUUUUCCUCUCAAGAGUCGAGAUAGAAUAUCUAGCUAGAUCAAUGUUUUUGUCGACAAAGAUACCUUGCACCAAAAGUAGGCCAGCUGCUUUACCAUUUUUAGACAUACUUCAAAUGGCGUCUAGUGACCGAGAGGUUGGACUUCACCAUUAAACGCCAAUGCACAGACUUGUUUGCAAUAGGAAGAGGAUGACAAUACAUGCAUGUGCUCAUUAUUUCCUCCAUAUUUAUACAAAGGUAGUGCUAUCUAGACACCUAUUUUUCCUUCUCACACACUAUGUUAGUUUUUGAUCGUUGGAACGAAUGAAUUGAUAAAGGUCAAACACCAAAAUUGAUAACGAUGUGUAGAAAGCAAAACUAGAGAUGCUAAUAAUAUUAUCUUUAAUGUAAAUAAUAUCGUUUGUUAAAAAAAAAAAACACACACUAUCCUUAGUCAAUUCUUUGGCGAACAUGACUUUUCACAUUACAAAAUAAUACAAACCCUAAUGACUUUUCAAAGGUCAUUCGAUGAUCUUUCUGUGGCGGUAGGUGAAGCAUUACUCUUAUACUUAACUCGAAAAAAUAAAUUCAACCUAUUAUAUAUGUACAUGAUGGUUAUAUAUAUACGUGCCAUGCAUGGACCAACGUCGUCUCACGCGGCUUACACCACCAGUACUUUUUGAAAUGCAAUUUCAUGCAGCUAGGGUUAGCACCUAUGUAAAUUAAAAGAAAGAAUAAAUUAUAUUUUACUACCUCAAUUUUAUGUCGCAUAACAAACUCAUACAUCAUAUUUUAAAUAUUGUAAUGUCAUACAUUAAAUUACGAAUUCGUUGUCAUGUCAAACUUCUAUUAAAAAAUCUGUCAAGUUGGCCGUUUAUCCGCACAACCACUUAAUGAUUAACUUCACAAAUUUGUUAACCGUGGUCCAACAUUUAACGAAUUCGUAAGUUAAUUGAUGUAAACAUUGUAAUGAUCAAAAGAUGAGAUAUAAGUUUGUUAUGUAACCCAAAUAAGGUGGUAAAAUAUAAUUUACCCUAAAAAAAAGUUCCUACAUCCAAAUUUCAAAAAAUAAAAUAAAAUAAUAAUAAUAAUUUCAAAAAUAUAUAAUAAUGUGUAUGGCCGACACCAAUGCGAUUGCUUCUCAUUCAUAGGAUAGGAAUGGCUAAACUUAAACUGAGAAAGAGAAAACACUAGUUGACUAGUCCUAUGCAAGGAAGGAAAUGAACACCCCCAUCCCAAAACAAAAUCCAUAUCCUUUUUAAGUUGAAAAAGUCUGGGGCCUAUUUUUGUCCCUGUGGGCCCAUCUUUUACAUAUUAAUUAUCAAUUAGUACAUCCCAAAGCUAAACUCUAGAUUGGGAUCAAUUUUUAUUCUUCAUGUUUAUUACUUCAAUUGCUUUUUAUAAGAGACCAACCUUAUAAAGUAAGAGAACUUUUUAGUAGCGACCAAUGUAGAACAAUGAAAUUUCUACUCAAAAUUACCAACAUCUCUCUCUAUCAAGCACACACACUAACACUUAGGUCUGUCUCACUACCCAUAAAGCCUCUAUAAAGCCAUUUGCUUGGUAUUGGGUUUCAAUAUCCAGUUUUGUACCCAACUCUCUGGAGAGUUGUGGAGUUAUAGUAUUGACAUGGAGAUCAAUUAUGCUCUAGCUUUGCUCUUAGUCCUCUUUCUCAACUUGGGUAGUUUGCUCACUUCUCUUGCUAACUGCAAUUGCCAACCACCAAAGUACCCUCCAGUUCCCCACUUGCCACCAAGAAGCCACCACCGCAUGUCAAACCACCUCAUGUUAAACCACCCAUUGUAAAGCCACCUCCCUAUCCGAAACCUCCUGUUGCCAAACCACCUCCCCAUCCCAAACCCCCAGUUGUACUGCCUCCACCAUCUACCCCUAAACCCCCAACUGUAAAACCACCACCACCAUCUCCACCAAAGGACACGUGUCCUAUCGACACCCUAAAAUUGGGAGCUUGUGUAGAUGUGUUGGGUGGUCUUAUCCACAUUGGAAUUGGAAGCAGUGCCAAAGAUGCAUGUUGUCCGGUGCUUCAGGGACUGGUGGACUUGGACGCUGCUAUUUGCCUUUGCACCACCAUCAAGGCUAAGCUUCUCAAUGUCAACCUCAUCAUCCCCAUUGCUCUUCAGGUGCUCAUUGCUUGUGGGAAGACUCCUCCCUCUGGAUUCCAGUGUCCUGCAUAGAUGAUCAUCAUAUCUUAUUCCUAAAUCACACUUAGUAGUUGUUAAUCAUGUCAUCAUUAGUGAUGUGUGGCGCCAGCUAGCUGAUAAUAAAGCAUGUCAAAGCUUGAAAGUAAAAACUACUUGGAUAAAUUUGUUAUUCGUUUUUGUUUUGUUUUGUUUACUUGAAGAGUGUAUCAGAUAGAUAUAUUGUUGUAAUUUAGUCAUGUUAUUUUCUUGAACCUUGGAAGUAUAUAUAAUAAUCUGAGUUUAAAGAAGACCUUAAUUAACUCACCGUUUGUAAUCUCCUGUAGAGGACUUACAUGGAACACCACCACCGUGCCCAUGACAUCAUGGACUAAUAAUACAACUUCAUUUGUAAUUAAAGGAACUCACAUACGAUAUUAUAUUAUUGAACCGAGACACUAGUGUAAAUAUUUUAAAUUGAUGAUAGGAUCCUUUACUCUAUUCUUAUAGAGUUGAGUAAUAGUUUUAUAAAAUCAUUAAAAUUAGAGCUAAAAUAACUAUUAAAUUAUGAAUUUUCAUUUCUAAACGUCGAAGAAUUUCGUCCUGUUACCUAAUAUGGUGAUUUUUGGAGUGUGCAAUCUUAGAGUAUAUAAAAACAAGUUUGAUAGUUUGAUUGCUGAAAUUAAUUUUGAGACAUCGAAAAUCAUCUAAAGAACUAAAUACGCCAAUCAUGUCUGUUACCUUUGCCUGACGAAAUAUUAUGUUUUGCCUUAUGAAAUAUAAACCCUAAUUACAACAUAUACCUUUGCGCGACGAAAGCUGGGAGGUUCGUCGUGUAAAGGUUGCCAUUUUAUGUGCCAAACUUUUAUCUUGGUGUGAAAACUUUAACCCACGACAUAAGCUUUGCUCGUCAAACUCUGUUCGCCAGGCAAAAGCAUCUGCAGAAACCAAAACGUUUGACCGUUUUGCUCGACAAACGUUUAUUUUGUCGGGUAAAGACUAUUUGGCGGAUGAAAUACCGUUCGUCUAGCAAAACUUUGUCGAAGAAAUGGUAAUUUCUGGUUGUGUAAUAUAUAUAUAUAUAUAUAUAUAUAUAGGUUUCUCUCCCUUGUGUGUGGCUAUUAUGUCUGUAUCUAUUGAUAAUAGCGUGUUCGCAGGUUCACGUGAAUGUGUAGACUGUAGUGCAUUGAAUUAUUUUAACUGCAUACGUUAGGUACCGCAUGUAAGAUAUCAGAAGGAAAAAAAUAUCAACGUCAAGACUUUCAAAAAUAUAUCAACGUCAGGUACCACAUGUAAGAUACAUGCAACACGUACAACUUUCUUAUGGAUUUUGGAAGUUUGUCUGUAUUUAUACCAAGGCUUCCAAAAAAUACGAGCCUUCUCCUGCAUCGAAGUCCUGCUGAAUCACAUCCACCAAAUCCAAAGGGGAUUGGGAAUAUAAAAAACAAAAAACAAAAAAACAGGUUAGCGAUCGUACGAUCGAUAUCGACCACCAUAUCGACAAUAUAAAGGGAAAAAGAAUAAGAAAUGACAUGUCAUCACCUAACAUUUUCAAUAAUGUCACUAAAACAUUUCAAGUUCCAAUUCAAUCAACCUUUCCUGUCAGCAACGUAUGUCUCGCAUGCUGACAUGCAAUGCCGACCUCUAGCGUAUAUUUAAAGGAAUUUUAACGAAAAGUUUUCGAUACUGUUCAUUUUAACGAAAAAUUACAUUUUUACACUAAAAAGUCAAUUCUGGUACUAUUCAUUUUACCCUUUAUUUUAUCAUUAUCGUUAAAACUCAAAGUUUUCAAACUAUUUUAAUUAGUUUUUCUUAUAUUUAAACUAACAUAAAUAAUAGAUUAAUUUAAACCAAAUUAAACUAGCAAGCGCACAAAUCAAUUGUAGUAAUAUAUACAAAUACGAGGUCAAUCCCACAAGGAUUGCUUUAACACCAAUUUAACCGAUUAAUCAUGCUAGACUUAAUUAAACAAACAAAUGAUAGAUUGAGUUGAAUAAUUGAGUAAUUGAUUAAGACUAUAAUUAACAAGAAAAAUAAAAGACAAUUAAUUAAAACACACACAACAUAAGAAAACCUAAUUUUAUGAAUCCACCAAUAACAAUCCUAUUUACUUUUCCUAGAGCCAACUACUAUCCAAUUACCAUGCCAAUGUUAAAUGUUGUUCUUUCUAAGGUAUGAAUUAAUCCGUGGUCAAUCAUCAACUCUUGUAUCUCUAUAUGAUAAUUAUAUCCUAUUGGUUAGGCAUACAAUUAAACACAUAAAACCCCAUUAAGCGUUGAAGAAUCAUGUCAACCAAGUAGGACUAGUUUGAUAUUGGUCAUCCUCACUAUUUUGUCUACUUUUCUUAAUCUUAGUUCCAAUAAACCUAAUUGAUUGGGCAUCCUCAUAGAUUUAUCUAAAUAUCUAGAUACAAAAUUCAUAAAGGUGAUCAAUGAUUAGAAACUCAAACCUAGAAUAAAAUACCCACAAAGAUUAAAAAUAUAACAUGACAUAUAAUUAGAUAAUAAUUAACAAAGUACUUCGCAAAUAUUCAUGUCAUGGCUUCAUCAUAAACCUUAAAAAAUAACUUAGUUACACAUAGAAAUAAAAAUAAAAGAAAGAUAGAACCCGGAACCCAUAGCAAAGCACGUCCCUAAGCUCUUCUUCACAAAUUGCGGAGAUGGUGAAUGGUAGUAUGGUGUGGGUGAUAUGGGUAUGCUGGGGUGGAUGAUAUCUUAGAGAGCUUAGGGCACUUAUCUAUACUAGAAUAACCCUAAAAGGUCUAGGAGAACUCUCCUAAAAUAAAACAAACUCCUAAACAAUUUAUGACACAAACUAGAAAAAGAAUCCUUCUUGGCUUGGGAAACACGUCAUCUGUCUUGCACUCCAGUUUUGGGGUCGAUUUAUCUUCUGGAAAAUUCUGUACAAAUAUGGGAAACAUAGCUUUAUCUCUUAUCUUUCCAAGCAUAUAUCGCAUGUCACUAGGAAAAAUCAGGAAAGCCUCCAAAUCUUCAUUCUCUCACAGCCGUGCAAUUCUGAUGGGAAAACAACUUCUGCGGGAUUGAUUUGUGAAACUGAAAUGAAUGGCUCUAUGGAAAAUUAUGAAAUUCGGAUACAACGAUCUUCAGCCCCUUAGCUUCCUUCUCCAAUUGGCCUUGCAUCAAAACUCCUCCGGAAAGUCGAGUUAUCACCAAAAACGUCCCAAGUGUGCAGAAUAGCUGAAACUGAGAAAAAGAAAGUAAUAAAGCUCUUUUAUAAUCAAUUCCUUAACAAAACAUAGGGAUAAUUAUUAUGAAAAUAUGAUAAAUAAUGCACCUAUCAACCUCUCAACAGCAAAGCACUUAUGUCACUCCUACGAGAAAUUCUAAGAUCCGACCGAACAAGCCAAGACACAAAAAACCCUUCCCCUAUCCCACCCCGAUUUUAACAUGUUAACCUGGCCUACUUUUAGUCUCACUCUCCUCUCACACCACCUCCAAGUCGAAUGUCCUAGCUACACAAAAACCUCUCUCCAGUCUUUUUAUAAUCCCGCUCUAGUAACCUCAGUUGAAUGACAGGAUAAAUUUGAAUUUUCUUUGGGGGAGGAGGAAAUAAAACCGCCCAAAUAUGUAUCGGAUCACUUGUGCAUCAUGCAGUAUUCAAAUUAACGUGGGUAAAAUGUGGUUUCGUUAGUACUUUGAUGCCUCAGUUUUUCUGCUUUCUUUUGGUAUACACAUUAUUAUAGUGCACCACUUAAUCAGCACACCAUUUGAUAACUCCCUAGCUAGUAUAUACGUUAUUUUUUUAUCUCAUUCAUUUUCUUCCUAGUCUCUCUUCUUUUCUUUUUCCUUUUUUUUUUUUUCCAAUUAGAGGAAACAAUGCUAAGAGAUAUAAUUUUGACAUUAACCCUAAACCGUAAUUUUAUAUAUGAACCAUAAACCCCAAUUUUUUAUCUGAUCAUUUUGGUGGAAAAUAAUCUUUUAUUUUUUUGUUUAAAACGAACAAAAUUGUUUGUAGGGCGAGAUAUGAAAACUUCACAAAUAAAGGUGGGCGUCGGGCGUCCACAUAAUUGUAAACUUUGGCAAGGGUUGUCAAGGAAAUAGGUGUCCAGAGGCAAUGUUUGGGUGUAAACAGAACUACUCAUAUCAAACUCACGAAAGCAUCCUUGAAUAUUAUUGGGUUACAUGCGCGAAAACAUUUGAACUACCACCUUGGUUAUUUCUUGAGGAAGAAGACGACGACGAAUUGGUGAAAAAUAGGGCGCUGAGCUGAACAGCGGCUAAAAGCAUAAAUUUUCUUUGACCAUCUGCACGAACAGAGCGCCAGAGAAACUGGGCAAGAUUCGCAUUUUUCAACAUUUGUCUUAUUAAUUAGUUUCUGAUGAAAUUUCAUUUGCAUAUUGUAGUUUUAUCUGUUUGAUGAGAUUUUAGUAGAUUUUGUAUCUGGGUUUUGAUGUUUUCAGUUUUUCACAUAUGUAAUAACUUCGUACGUUAGAUUGAAGAAGAGCUUUUUUUCCCUUUUGUAUUCGAUUUUUGGGUGUUCUUACUGUAAGUUUGGAUAUUUACUCGACAGUUACUCGACAGUUGUCAUAAAGAUGUCUAGGAGAUACGAUAGCCGUACAACAAUCUUCUCCCCUGAGGGCCGUCUCUACCAAGUUGAGUAUGCAAUUGAGGCCAUUGGGAAUGCAGGCACCGAAUAGGGAUACGUUGCAGCAUGUGAUUGACUUGAGAUAGUUUUAGUGUGACGUGUUAAUUGCAUUUGUACUUCCCUUCCUACAACUUAAGUAACUUGAACAACUUUUACAACUAAUUCUGUGGUUUGUUUUAGUGCAGAUGCAAGAAGUUUUGCGCAAUUCUUUAAACCCCAAGACACAAAACUACACAAAAGCAAAUCAAUCCAUGAAUUAGAGAAGAGCAAGCUGAAAGCAAUAAAUCACUUGGACUUACAUUUUACGUUGGCUUCCCCAAAUAUUAAAUUCCAACCGUUCGAUGCCAGCUCUCCCUUCUCAUCACCACCGUUGGAUUCACCAGAACCGGGACAUCUCCCUCUUCCAGCGCCAAGCUCCGUAUCCCCAGUUCCCACCAAUUCCUCCAAACCCACCUCUUGCAAAUCCUCGUCCAUCUGGGCCCAUUUCCUCAUCCAUCCCAAACCCACCAAAAAAUUGGCCUAGCCCACACCCACCAACCACAAUCCCAACCCCACCCAAAUCAGUCCUGAGCCCACCAGUUCUUCCGCCGCUAAUAGCUUUCCCUCCACCGUCCGGACCGCCAUCCCCUCCGCAGAAAAAGCCGCCACAGUUUGCCGUGUGAGGCGUGGUGAAGCCGACAGUGCCGGACCCGAUAAUCCAAGAAGCCCUGGACUAUGCGUGUGGGUCCGGGGCAGACUGCAAGUCAAUCCGGCCCAAUGGGGUCCUGCUACCAACACAUUGUUGUCGCAUGCUUCGUAUGCCUUCAAUAGUUACUUGCAGAACACGAAGGUCGCUGGAGGCACUUGUGACGCAGGGACUGCCAUGCUUGUCACGGUUGAUCCAAGUAAGUCCAAAUUUUCCCCAUAUCAAGAUAUUAUUUUGGCAUAUUGCAUUUGAUAUUUUCGCAGAACUUUCCUUCAAGGACACGUUGUUUCAUUCAAGGACAAGUAGUCGGUUCUUUAAAAUUUCAAACGUUAUUUUAUUUACAUUAAUCUAAAUUGCGACUAAAAAAUUAAAUAAGUGUGCCUACGUAGUCUAAAUUCCUUACUAAAUCCAGUUUUCUUUGUUUUUAAAAGUUAAUACAAAUCCGAAUUUUUGUUUUUUGGGUUAAGAACCUAAUCGUUGUUAAUGGCGGGUAACAGCAGGAGAGUAUCACUUGACAAAACGAUAGCUUUCGUGUACUCGAUUAUAUUGUCCUUAACUGUUGACAAAACGAUAGCUUUCGUGUACUCGAUUAUAUUGUCCUUAACUGUAAUGGUGAAAGUCCAAGGGUACUAAUUUAAUCUAGACUAUAAAUAAAUUUCAACUUAAUACUAAUUUAAAUUAUGACUUAAAAUAAUCAUUUAUGCAAACUUAAUCCUACACAAAUAUUUAGCACGAAUAUAAAGAGCACACACAAGAUGUAGGAUUUUACGAGGCAAAACCCACCACUGGGAAAAUCCUCGGGCUACCAAGCCAGGAAGCAAUAAGAAAGAAAGAAUACAUAAAGACUUACAAAACUCAUCAACUAGACACUCAUACCAGUUGGCAGCUUUGUCUCCGCACUUUGCUACUCGAUCUUUCUUCAGUCUUCAAGUUAAAGUGGCACAACCCUAACGCAGUCGUCAAUCACUUUUCCCUCGAACUUUGCAGGAUGCUAACUCGAUCAUGCAUAAUAUUUAUAUAAUGAAGUGUUUGUUUGAAAAACAAUCAAUUACGAAAAUCACAAAGCUCAUUUCCAUAAUUGAUAUUCAAUUUAAAACCUCAAAGAAAACAGCAUGAAAAAUAACAAUUUCUCUCAAAAACCCAUGCUGUUGGAACCACAAGCUAACAACACUAUCCAAAUUGUUUUGUUCACGCACUCAAAAACCAAGCUGGUGUUUCUCAAAAAUUCAUUUCAAUAAAAUCAGUUUUUCAUGCGAUAUAUGGCUCACGUUCUCAAAGUCCCUGACAUCUCUUAUAAGGACUUAGAGUCCCACAUCUAUUAAACCGAUAAUAGUGCAAACCGUGUAGUCAGAUAACUCCCAUGCAAUCAGAUAAGUUCCAUCGUGCAAUUAGAUUAUUAUGAAAAGAUGUUUUAAUAAUUAAUAUAGAAAGGAUACGUCAACUUAAAGAUACAAAACACACAGUGAAAAAGAGACCCAUCUCAAAUACAAUAGCAUGAGAUAUAGAUGAAUGUAGUUGGAUGCAUGCGUGCAAACGUACCUGAAUGAGAAUCGCGUUUCGAUAACAUCUUCGCAUCAAAAGUGUGAGAAAACUCCCUAGACUAAAACUAUUACAAUUGUAAAUAUGUAACAAGUCUAAGCUAUUACAGACUCAGGCAUUUUGUCAGGGAUUGCAAUUUUACCCUAACAAUCUCCCCCUUUGGCAUUUCCUUGACAAAACCCUUAAUUACGACAUUUUAGAAAUCGUAAACCUUAUGCACUUAAGUCUGUAAUCUGUACACAGUUAAACGAAACACCCGUGACGUACAAAAGAUAGAUGUUGCAAGAAUAUUAGGAUAAUCAUUUAAACAUAUCAACAUCGCACAACGUUCAUAAAAUAAAAAGAGACUUUAUUAAAAAAAAUAUAAAAAGAACAUAAUAGAACUCUCACAACUAAAAUAAAAAUAAAAAUAAAACUUCUAGCUAAAAACUAUCUCAUCUAUUUCUCCCCCUAACUAUAGUCUCUCCCCCUUUUUGGCACAGGAAAAGCCAAAGAAAGAAAAUCAAUCAUCCUUGGCGGCACCGUCUUCAUCAGAAACCCAGUAGAGAUCUUCUUCUGGAUCCUCUUCGGGUUCUUCUUCAGGAUCCUCUUCUGGAUCAUCUUCUGGAGUAAGAGUGGGCAGUGGUGAGUGGUCCAGAAUGGGGGGACAAGGAGUACGAGUAGACGGUGGAACACAAUCAGAGCGGAAGUCAACCUCGUCAUCAGAUGAAGAAAUAUGAAUAAGAGGAGCAAACAAGUGGUUGGGAAGGCGAUGAAAACAUUGCUCAGAUCAAGCAUUUGUUGGAAGACCGCUUGUGAAAAAUCAACAUCAGGCAAAGCUGAACAAUCAGAGGGGGAAGAAAACAAUCGACGUUUCGCAGAACGUGUACGGGGAGAAGAGAAGGAAGGAUUAGUAACAGGAGUCUUGCCUUUCGGAGCUUGAGGACAUGCAGACUUGCGUGAGGAUGCCAUGACAAAAAAAUGUUUGUGUACAACGUGCAAUGAAUAAAAAAAAACCGACAAUAAAUAAGAGAGAACCACAAAUUGACCCCAAUUGUAAAGCAACUAAAAUACCAAAAAGAUAAAAAAUAAAACAGAAUACAAGAUGUAAUGUCCACAGAGACAUAAUACGAACGGGAGACAGCCAAAACAAUCGAAACCAUAGACAUGCAAUAUGAUUAAACAAGCCAACUCAACAGCAACCCCUAAACUCACAAGGAAUAUUCUCAAUUAUCACUCAAGGUGCUUGGGUUGAAGUGUGUACACUCAAAAAGAUCAUUAUGUGAAUGCUCUACCAUAGGCUUGCAGAUCAAUCUCAUCUCCACACAUCAACAACCUACCCUCAAGAGAUGAAGUAAGUUCUUACGAAGGGUUGUAACAGGGCGUAGGCACUAGAUGAAGUUAAAAAAGGAUAAGGAGAACAUAAGGCCGAGAAGCUAUAGAGUCCUUGAGACAUAAAACUGGAAAGAGUUUGAGACAGAGAUAACCACAAGAGCAUUAGAGAGUGCUUUGCACAUUUGAUAUAUUCGUGGUCUUCAUGUACAGCUGUUACUUUGAUUGUCUUCAGAGAUAAACAGCCACCAUGUGUGGCAAACAUACGACUCUUGAUUCCUUGUUUUUUUUUUUUUUUCAUAUCUUUUUCUUGACUUGGAAAGUUGCUGUCAGCACAAUUUUUGUGUUUGCAGUAGUGAAACAAUCGUGGACUCUUCUCCUUAAAAAUGAUUGAUGCAACUGGCUUUGAUUUUGCAAUGGAGGUGAGAAUCAGUGUAUAAAAAUGGAAGAGGGUAAUAUAUACUGAAGGAGAUGCUCAAUAAUGCGGAUAGGGAAAAAUAGAAAGGCACUGGCUUAUAGGAUAAUGAUGAAGAACGUAAGUCCUACUUUUAUCUCAAGAGGAGAGUAAGGAGUGAUACAAAGCCUUGAGAGAUCUCAAAGCAAGUUCUAGAGAGUCAAAUCACAUAAGAUAGAUCACACAGAAACAAUUAAAAGUGUAUGAAAAAUGCAUACACUAACUAGAGGCUCAAACCUCACAGGGUGCGGAGUUUCUGGCAAGUAGUCAUGUUUAAUCAGAAAACAUUCAUAUAGUAUCAACCACCAAGGCAAAAUAUAUCAUGUUUAGCACAAAGCAGAGGAUUUUGUGGACAACAGUUGUGUAUAUAAAAAAUAUGGAAAUCCUUUGUUUUUUUUUUUCCGGUACUUUUAUGAAGAAACAACUAAAAAAAAUGAAAAGAGAGAAAGAAAAAAAAACAUGAAAAAAAAAAUGAAAACAAACAGAAGUUAAGAAACACGACAGAUUCCUAAUGCCUUGCGAAGGGUUUCAAAACGAUGAGUGUCUAAAGGCUUAGUAAACAAGUCUGCAAGUUGAUGUUCAGUGGCAAUGUAUUCCAGUACUAAAACCUUCUCUUCAACCAAAACACGAAUGAAGUGAUGACGAAUGUCAAUGUGUUUGGUACGAGAAUGUUGAACAGGAUUCUUGGAAAUGUUUAUAGCACUAGUGUUGUCACAGAAAAUAGAGAAAGCAUUUUGAUGAAUGCCAUAAUCACGAAGCAUUUGCUUCAUCCAAAGCAAUUGUGUACAACAACUACUAGCAGCUAUGUAUUCGGCUUCGGCAGUGGAUAAAGAAACACAGUUUUGUUUCUUACUAUGCCAAGCGACAAGAUUAUUUCCAACAUAGAAACAACCUCCAGAGGUACUUUUCCGAUCAUCAGCAUUUCCUGCCCAAUCGGCAUCGGAAAAUCCAACAAUUUCAGAAUUGGUUUCAAAGGAAUAAUGUAGUCCAAACUCAACUGUACCACUCAUAUACCUGAUGAUUCUUUUGACAGCUUCCAGAUGCGACUCUUUUGGAUCAGCUUGAUACCGUGCACAAGCACCGACGCUGAAAGAGAUAUCAGGCCUACUAGCAGUAAGGUACAACAAACUACCAAUCAUACUCAUAUAAAGUGUUUGAUCAACACUUUUUCCAUUUGGAUCCUUGUGAAGUUUUGUGGUUGUUGCCAUGGGAUUGGAGACUGGUUUUGCUGAAGUCAAGCCAAACUUCUUAACUAGGUCACUAGCAUAUUUUGUCUGAAAGACGAAAAUACCUUCUUCAACUUGUUUGACUUGUAAUCCCAAGAAAAAAGUUAGUUCUCCACACAUGCUCAUUUCAAAUUCACUCUGCAUGACCUUAGUAAAUUCUUGUACAAGUGUGGCAGAUGUGGAACCAAACACUAUAUCAUCCACAUAUACUUGUGCUAUCAUCACGUCCUUCUUGAUUCUUUUAACAAACAAAGUCUUGUCGACAGCUCCUCGAAUAUAUCCUUUCUGUAACAAGUACGUUGAGAGUUUGUUGUACCAUGCUCUCAGAGCUUGCUUUAAACCGUACAAAGCUUUCUUCAAACGGUAUACAUGAUCAGGAUGUUUUGGAUCAACAAACCCCUUUGGCUGCUCCACAUAGACUUCUUCUUGAAGUAUUCCGUUUAAGAAAGCACUCUUGACAUCCAUUUGAUAUAAUUUGAAACGCAGAUGACAAGCAAAAGCAAGUAACAACCUAAUGGACUCCAAUCUCGCAACGGGUGCAAACGUUUCGUCAAAAUCCAAACCUUCUACCUGGGUGUAUCCUUGAGCAACGAGACGGGCUUUAUUUCUUGUGAUGAUACCAUGUUCAUCAGUUUUGUUUCGAAACACCCACUUUGUUCCUAUAACAUUUGUUUCUUUGGGUCGGGGAACAAGGUACCAUACAUCAUUUCUAACAAAUUGAUUGAGUUCCUCUUGCAUGGCCGUUAUCCAGUCAUCAUCUAGUAGAGCUUCCUUGGCAUUUUUUGGCUCAAUCGUUGAUAUGUAGCAUGUGAAGUUUACUAGAGCAGUAGUUUUACUUCUUGUCAACAUUUGAUCUUCGACGUCACCAAUGAUGUCUAACUUGAAGUGAUCUUUUUGCACUUGCUUGUGUCAUUUUCUCAAGGAUUUUGUUGAAUCAAUAUUUUGAUGCACUUUACCCUGAGUAGUGGAUAACCCUUCAACUGAUUUGACUUGAAAGAAUUCUUCAUCUGAAGCAGAUUGUUCAAUACUUACGAGAGAGUCAUUCACAACAACAUUAAUGGACUCCAUAACAUUUUGAGUUCUCUUGUUGAACACCCUGUAUGCUCUACUGGUGAGAGAGUAUCCUAGAAAAAUUCCAAUAUCAUUUCGAGAAUCAAAUUUUGCUAACAUUUCUCUAUCUCUGUAAAUGUAGCAUAUACUACCGAAUACUCGCAAAUGCUUAACAUUUGGCUUCUUCCCUUUCCAGAUCUCAUAGGGUGUACACUUUGUACCGGGUCUAAGAUAGACUUUAUUAGCCGUAUAGCACGCAAUGCUAACUGCUUCAGCCCAGAAAUGCUUAGCCAAACGAGCGCUUGUCAGCAUGACACGACUCAUGUCAAGUAAAACACGAUUCUUUCGUUCCACGACUCCGUUUUGUUGAGGAGUGAUUGGAGCAGAAAAAUUGUGAUCAAUUCCUUUUUCAUCACAAAACUUAGAAAAUGAUAUGUUUUCAAAUUCAGUUCCGUGAUCGGUUCUGAGUUUUACCACACGAUCAUUUGAAGCCACUCUAUCAUUUUGAAUUUUAUUCAACAAACCAAAAAAUGCUGUGAACGCAUCAGAUUUCUCUCGCAAGAAGACAACCCAAGUAAAGCGUGAGAAAUCAUCCACCAAAACAAGUAUGUAUUUUUUUCCCCCAAUGCUUUCGGUUUGUACUGGUCCAACCAAGUCCAUGUGCAUCAGUUCCAAAGGUCGUGAAGUUGAGAUGUAAUUUGUGGAUUUGUGUGAACUCUUGGUUUGCUUUCCCAUUUGACAUUCUCCACAAAUUCCAAGUUCUCCAGUCAACAACGGUAAACCUCUUACAUAUUAUUUCUUGGAAAGCUUGAUCAAAUCCUUACAGUUCAUGUGACCCAAUCGUUUAUGCCAUAAAUCCAAAACAUCGUCAGUUGCUUUAUUGCAUAUGUCUGGCACAUGUAACUCAUUUGCAUUCACACAAUAACAAUUGUCUUUAGACCUUUUUCCUUCAAAACUGUCAACCUCUUUAGCAAUCUUUACACUACAUUUCAACUUAUUGAAAAGUACUUCAGCAUCAUCAUCAUCACAAAUUUGACUAAUGCUAAUUAGGUUAGCUUUAAGUCCAUCUACUAACAUGACAUUUUUUAAGCAUGGAAUUCCUAGUGUUUUGAUUUCUCCUUUUCCAACGAUCCUUGCUCUUUUUCCAUCUCCAAACAUGACUGCUCCAUUUUUGCAAUCCUCGGUGAAAGUUGUGAACCAUCUUUUGUCUCCAGUCAUGUGCCUUGAGCAACCACUGUCUAGAUACCAAGUAUCAGACUGACAAGAUGAGAGAGCAGUGAAGGCCACCAAGCAUGUAAGAUUGUCCUCCUCAGAUGAAGGUGACACCUUAUCCAACAACCAAAUUUGAGUCUCUUUUCUUCUCCAUACUUGCUUUAAGUUUUGAGUAAGGAAGUUAGGCAUUAUUUUUGAAAUUCUAUUCAUUCCCUUUGGAUGAGCAACAAAUCUCCCUUUGAGAUUUGAUUUUUCAGAAAUCCAAGAAGUGGUGUGUUUAGUUUGAUUUUCCUUUCGAAGUUUGUAACACCUAGGUCUGAUAUGUCCUAUUUUUUCACAGUAGUGACGGAUAGGAAUAAAAGUUUUUGACCUAAUGAACUUCUUUGGAUCAACAAAAUUUCUCACGGAAUUUGACUCUUUUGUAGUGAUACACGAAUUUCCAAAAGAUUCAUCUACUCACUUUCCUGCUAGGUUCUUGUAAAGCUUUGAUAAACUUGGUAACAGAAGUGGAAGAACUUCCAGUUAUAUCAAAACCUAGACCGCUUCGAUCACUUGAAAUCUUUCCAUAGCUCAACAUUUUGUCAAUUUUGCUUGAGCCAAUGCUAAACUCUUCAACUUUCUUCUUUAUGUCAUUCAAUUCACUUUCAAGACCUUUGUUGUCUGAUGCUAGCAUAUGUAGCUUCUCCAACAUUGACUCUCGUAGCUUUUCUGCAUGUUCCAUUUGAGAUUGAUGCUCGGUCUCUGCUUCCUUCUUCUCACUUUCAAGCUGCACGAGUUUAUUUUUCAGUUAUUCAUUUUCCUUCUUCACUUUCAUGGUGAUAUCAUAAAGUGCAGUGUACUUUUGUAAGACUUUUACGGAGUCAGGCUCUUCAACUUCCGAAUCAUCAGUCUCAUAUCCAUCAAAAGUUCCAAUAAAUGCAACCACUUCCUCAUCAUCUUCAGAUGCCGUGUCUUUUUCUGACUCACUGUCGCUCCACGUGGAAGUUAAAGCCUUGUUCUUUUCAUCUUUCAGCCUUUUAAGAGUAUUGGCACAUUCAUGAGCAUGAUGUCCAUACCCUUGACACUCGAAACACUUAUCUUUAUCAUUCCAACUUUUCUUUUCACCAAGUUUGACAGACUUGGGAGUAUUUCCAUGAGAAACAUCUCUAGAACGAGGGACUUUAGAGUUUGAAUCAAAAUUGUUUCGACUUUCACGUCCCCUAGAACUUCUAAGCUUCAAAAAUUUCCUAGCUUGUUUGGUAAGGAGGGCAAAUUCGUCUUGAGUCAAGGUUUCAAAUGGAUCCUCAUUCAUUUUUUCAUUAUUGACUUUAAAGGCAACAUUUUUCCCUUUCUUGCCUUCUGUAAAGUCGGACUCAUAUGUUUGUAAGGAUCCAAUCAAUUGUUCUAACUUGUAAGUGUUCAAAUCUUUCGAUUUUCUAUAACUGUCCUUUUUGCAUGAAACCUUGAAGGAAGAGAUCUUAGAAUUUUCUUAACAACCCUAUGCUCUGGAAUGCUAUCACCAAGAUUGUGACAACCAUUGACAAUUACACUAAGCUUAGCAUAGAAGUCAGAAAAACUCUCAUCAUCUAGCAUUUUGAUAUUUUCAAAUUUUGUGAUGAGAUUUUGAAGCUUGGAUUCUUUGACAGUAGAGUUACCUUCAUGAGUAACUUCAAGAAUAUCCCAAGCUUCUUUUGCCGUUAUGCAUUUACUAAUGUAGUUAAAUUGCUCAGGCGAAACGGCAGUAAAUAACGCAUUCAAUGCCCUUUGAUUGAAUGUGCUAGAGUUGCGUUCUUCUUCGCUCCAUUCCCUUCUAGGCUUAAGCAACGACAUGGUUACCGAAGACUGUCCUUCGCCUUUGGUUUCUUUAACUAUUGGAGGUUCCCAGCCUUCUUCAACCGCAAGCCAUACUCUGUCGUCAAGCGCCUAGAGAAAUGAUUUCAUCUUUGCCUUCCAUGCAGCGUAGUUGUCACCAUCAAAAUGUGGUGGAUGAGAAACUGAACCCAUAGCACGAUUCAUCCUAGACUACCCACGGAUCUCACUAGAUAUUUUUAGUGACCUACUCUGGUGCCAAUUGAAAGUCCUAGGAUGGGUACUAAUUUAAUCUAGACUAUAAAUAAAUUUCAACUUAAUACUAAUUCAAAUUAUGACUUAAAAUAAUCAUUUAUGCAAACUUAAUCCUACACAAAUAUUUAGCACGAAUAUAAAGAGCACACACAAGAUGUAGGAUUUUACGAGGCAAAACCCACAACUGGGAAAAUCCUCGGGCUACCAAGCCAGGAAGCAAUAAGAAAGAAAGAAUACAUAAAGACUUACAAAACUCAUCAACUAGACACUCAUACCAGUUGGCAGCUUUGUCUCCGCACUUUGCUACUCGAUCUUUCUUCAGUCUUCGAGUUGAAGUGGCACAACCCUAACGCAGUCGUCAAUCACUUUUCCCUCGAACUUUGCAGGAUGCUAACUCGAUCAUGCAGAAUGUUUAUAUGAUGAAGUGUUUGUUUGAAAAACAAUCAAUUACGAAAAUCACAAAGCUCAUUUCCAUAAUUGAUAUUCAAUUUAAAACCUCAAAGAAAACAACAUGAAAAAUAACAAUUUCUCUCAAAAACCCAUGCUGUUGGAACCACAAGCUAACAACACUAUCCAAAUUGUUUUGUUCACGCACUCAAAAACCAAGCUGGUGUUUCUCAAAAAUUCAUUUCAAUAAAAUCAGUUUUUCAUGCAAUAUAUGGCUCACGUUCUCAAAGUCCCUGACAUCUCUUAUAGGACUUAGAGUCCCACAUCUAUUAAACCGAUAAUAGUGCAAACCGUGUAGUCAGAUAACUCCCAUGCAAUCAGAUAAGUUCCAUCGUGCAAUUAGAUUAUUAUGAAAAGAUGUUUUAAUAAUUAAUAUAGAAAGGAUACGUCAACUUAAAGAUACAAAACACACAGUGAAAAAGAGACCCAUCUCAAAUACAAUAGCAUGAGAUAUAGAUGAAUGUAGUUGGAUGCAUGCGUGCAAACGUACCUGAAUGAGUAUCGCGUUUCGAUAACAUCUUCGUAUCAAAAGUGUGAGAAACCUCCCUAGACUAAAACUAUUACAAUUGUAAAUAUGUAACAAGUCUAAGCUAUUACAGACUCAGGCAUUUUGUCAGGGAUUGCCAAUUUUACCCUAACAAAUGGUAAUCAAAUUAUAGAACUUUGAUGAAGAUAAUUAGAAGUACACGUCCUUGAGUGCACAUUUAAUUUGUAAACCUACAAGCACAUCCACAUAUUUUGGAUUCUCAAGAAACAUAUAAUAAUUCAGUAAGCUGUAAGCUCUUUCUUUACUCGAUGACUGGAAAAUUGGAUGCAAAAAACGCAUGCUACAGACAUCGAUACAGGAUGAGGAACCAUGACAAAAAGUAAGUGUUUUUUUUUCCUCUCUUUUUCCUCAAACGAUAAACUAAAUGUUUGGUAGAACAUUAUCCUGUCUUGGUUAAUAUAUUAGGAUUUAAAUAGUAACAUCCAUAAACAAAGAGAUAAUAUUGGAUGAAAAUCAACGUCUCUCUUCUGUAAGGGAGCAGGGUUGUUGGAAAAGGUAAUCAAGGAAAAGCCAUGCAGAACUUUGCAUUUUUGUUUGGACCCACAAUCGAUUUCAAUUUGAUUGAGUGUACCCCUAAUGGGGAAUAAUUAAUUCUUCGAAGUUUUGCUAGCUAGCUAGCAUAACCCUGCACGUAUAUGGGUGGCUGUCAAACUAUUGAUGAAUCGCAAUUUAUUCUCAUUAAUAGUUAGAUAGUUGUUAAAUUAUUGAUGGAUCAAGAUUUGUACUCCUCAAUAGUUGAUUGAUUGUCAAGUUAUUAAUGGGUCGAAAUUUACGCUCAUCAACACUUGACAAUAACGCGACAAUGUUACUGGCAAUUCUCCAACAAAUAACUUACAUUUUAUUCAUUGGUGUCAUUGCUCAUCAUGUGCAUUUUUUGACCUUUACAAAAGAUCCUGUCUCUAGCUAAAUUCCUACGACUCUUACAUCUAUGAAAUAUAUGCUUACAAAGUUUAACAAGUAGUUAAUUAAUAAUAUUUAUCUUUCUUACUUUAAUUGUGGUGAGCAAUAUCUUUAGUAUAAUUACUUUAUAUUUUCUCAUAGGGUGACCCCACACUAAAUUUGCUUAAUUUUAUCUCUUUUACUUUAAAUUGGUGUUGCUUUGGAUGAGUGACACAAGAUGCUAACACAUCCUUUGCAUGAUUGUGACAUGGCAGGUUAUGAUGAAUGCAAUUUCUUCUUCAACGGAUCAUCCUGAAACAGAUAUAUAUAUAUGACUCUAUUAGCUAUUACGAGAUUAAGAAAGAAAAAAUGAUAGGAAGAUCCAAUUUGUUAGACUAUUUUUUGUAGGCGUAUGAUGUGGCCAGUGGCGAAGCCAGGAAUGGAUGGGGGGAGGGGCGAAGUCAGGUAAUGAAAGGGGGACACGCGGUCCCCCCAAUAUAUAUAUAUAUAUAUAUAUAUAUAUAUAUAUUUAUUUAUUUAUAUUUUUUUUCGAAACAUACGAAACGGCGCCGUUUCAAUUAUUAUUUUUAUUUAUUUUUUUUGCCAAGACCAAAACGACGUCGUUUUGGCCUGGAUGAUUUAAAAAAAAACGCAAUAUGCUGUUGCGCGCAACAGAACCCACACAUCACCAGACCACAGGGAGCUCUGAACCCAGUGGCGGAUCCAGGAUUGUAAGAUUGGGUGGUCCAAAUCUAAAGUUCCAAAAAUUAUUAGACGAAAAAUAAUAUUAAAAAAUUAAACAAUAAACAACUGUUAUUCACAAUCUUCUUACAAACAACAUUACAAAUUACAAAGACUAAAUAUGUCCCCAACGAGAUUUCAUACUAAAAAAUGUCAUGAUAGAUUUAUUGUCAACUAGAGCAAAAACAUCCGUAUAUCAUUGAAACCAUCCAAUAUUGAAAUUCAACUAUUUGAUCUGGGUACAUUGGAGAGGAGACUAGUGUUGCGCUGGUGGGGUGGGGUGGGGUGGGGUGAGGUGGGGGUGGGGAUAAGGAAUGGUUCUCUAUUUCAAAUUUGAACUGUUUUGUUUUUGUUUUUUCAAAAAAAAAAAAAAAUUGUGAAAACUAUAUAUUAAAGAAGUGCACCAAACGCACCGUUUUACUAAGGGUGUUUUCAAACCCCCCCGAGCCCUAUGUAAAACAUAGUCUUCUUCUUCCUUCUAAUUUGCAGAACACCAGAACUCUGCAGCCCCACUCCUCUUAUCCUCCACCUUGUGCCCAGACUUGGGUGGUCCUCGACGUCCUUAUAGCAUAUUAUCUGGACUUUCGGGUGGUCCCGGGACCGCCCAGGUCCCUUAAUAGAUCCUCCCCUGAACCAGUGGGUUUUUCGGCGAGGGGAGGGGCGGACCCAGAAAUCCAGUCCUGUUUUCCGGCGAGGGGAGUGGCGGCCGCCACUCCUCGCCCUCACGUGGCUUCGCCACUGGAUGUGGCGGUUGAAGGUUGGACUCAUUUUUUAAAUAAUUUAAAGAAAAAGUCUAACUAUCAAUAGCCACAUCAUGUAAUUAACAAAUGAUAAUUUCAAAUUUUGGUCUCUCUAGCAUCAAAUUCUGUUAACUUAAAAUUUUAUUUAUUUUUCAGCAGAGAUCUACACUACGUAUACAGCACAUUUUAUUUAGGAGGAGUUCCAUAUUUGUGAGUGCAAAUGGAAUUUUGGCUGUAAAGAAGUAGUGGCACGUGAAAGUGAAGUUGUAUUGAUCUUCCUGUCUUCCGGUGUCCAUUUUAUGUACACGGAGUAUACCUAGCAGUUGCAUGUUCCCUUUGAGAUUUCCAGAUUGUCCAAAAACUGCUUACACUAAUAUUUCUUUUAUUUAGCAGGAUUAAAAAGGAGGGUGCUUUUGUUCCACAAAUAAGUAAUAAAUCAUGAUGACGCUGGUCUCAUAUAACAUUCUAGAGUCUCUUAAAGACAAAACAUGAGAAAAUGCGGGCAUAGAAGAUGGAGAAGUGAUGUUGGGAGAGAUGUAGAGAAAAUGUAUAAAGAAAGGUGUAGAAAACUAAAUCUAAAAACUAAAAUUUAAAAUUAUAUAUUUUGAAUUGUUUUCACUUUCGAGAUUUUGUUUUCAUUCAUUCUUCUUUGUUUUGUCCCGUCUCCCCCUCGACCUUUCUUCAUCCCUAAUAUCCUCAAUAUAUUUUGCCCAUAUCUCAAACAAAAUAUAAAAACUAAUAGUUAAAAACCCAAUGAAACUUGUUUCGUAAUCAGCUAGCAUUAUUACUCCUUUUUUCUUUUCCUCUCAAGAGUCGAGAUAGAAUAUCUAGCUAGAUCAAUGUUUUUGUCAACAAAGAUACCUUGCACCAAAAGUAGGCCAGCUGCAAUACAAUUUUUAGACAUACUUCAAAUGGCGUGACCGUGAGGUUGGACUUUCACCAUUAAACGCCAGUACACAGGCUUGUUUGCAAUAGGAAGACGAUGACAAUACAUGCAUGCUCAUUAUUUCCUUCAUAUUUAUUAGAUCUAGCAUUCAUGUUGUUUUCGUGUCAUACCCGAUAGCUUAAUGGGUUGUGUCGUGUAAUACCAGUUAAAGUAAACGGAUAAUAUGACCCGACCUGAAAUCAAUCUGUUAAUAUUAUUAGAUAAUAUGACCCGACCCGUUACCCUUUAAGAAAAAUAUAUUUUAAAUCAAUAAAAAUGAAAAUGAAAAACAUAAUUUGACCCAAAAAAUGUAAAACAUAAUACUAAAUUAAUAUAUAUAUAUAUAUAUAUAUAUAUAUAUAAAAUUUCGGAGUUAACCCCUUCAUGAAAGUUGUAAAACUUUUCAUUAUGAGUGAUUACAUUUUUCACACUUCUACAAUAAUUAUUAUUAAUUUUGCACUUAAAUAAAAAACAUUGUUCAUGAGAUUUGGAGGGUUUUAAAAAUCUAAACGACCAUGUAACCAUCGUCUAAGUGUUGAGGAUGCAAUUAUGAAAGUUUAUUAUGCUUCCACAUCUUUCAGACUUAUACAUUAAUGAGUAUGAAUUUUGUUUAUUUUGAACACCCUUAUAUAAGAGUGUGAAAAUAUUUAGAGAGGAUCCUUGCCCCAAAGAAAAGGGCAAUAGUCUCUCUCUCUCUCUCUCUCACCGUCAAGCAUACAAAUUAACACUUAGGUCUGUCUCACUACCCACAAAGCCUUUAUAAAGCCAUUUGCUUGGUAUUGGGAUUCAAUAUCCAGUUCCAAACUCUCUUGAGAGUUGUGGAGUUGUAGUAUUGACAUGGAGAUCAAUUAUGCUCUGCCUUUGCUCUUAGUCCUCAUUCUCAACUUGGGUAGUUUGCUCACUUCUCUUGCUAACUCCUAUUGUCCACCACCAACAUACCCUCCAGUUCCCCACUUGCCACCCAAACACCAUCCCCACGUAACGCCACCCUCCCACCCUAAACCAUCAAAGAAGCCACCACCGCAUGUCAAACCAGAUCCACAUGUGAAACCACCUCAUGCAAAGCCUCCUCCCCAUGUUCCCAAACCGCCUUCAAAGCCACCUCAUGCAAAGCCUCCUCCUCAUGUACCCACGAAACCACCUCAUGUUAAACCACCUAUUAUAAAGCCACCUCCUUAUCC